UACAUUCAUAUAUGACAGACUAGCCAAAACAACUUUCAACAUUUUCUUUGUCACCAAACAGAAACACUUGAACCUUGAAUUUUAUUUUAUCUCAGUUCAUCAUAUUCCAAGAAGCAAUGCUCUUCUUAGAAGGUUAAUGAGGGACAUCAAGAGAACAAUAAGAAACUUGACAGGGGUUUCGUUCAUCAUAGAAAAUCAAAAGGUGUUUGUCCCAAACGGGAUAUCUGCCAUUAGUCAAAUUUGACAUACAAAAGAACUUACAAAGGAACUCAAAAUGGCCAAAGAUUUUUUUCAAAGAAAAUAUGAACAUUGGACAUUGGGAAAUUCUGGGUGUAGUAUACAAUAACGAGUAGUAGAAGUUCAUCAGCCUCUAGAUGAAAAUCUCAAAUCCCAGGUUUUUCGAUAAGGAAAAUGUUAAUUACUUGGUAAUUCCUGUUUAUCUUUGUUGGUAUUUAUAUUCUUGCCUCACAAGCUGCUAUAUGUUUGCAGCCUACAGAAGCUGGCAAUGGAAGAAUAAACAAAAAACAUUGCUAUAACGUAAUCAACAGCAAUUAUAGAGAGGCAAAUCCGGAGUUUCCAAAAUCAAUCAAAUAGAUACCCAUUGUAGAGCGAAUCAUUCUAAAAGUUUCUCUUUUUGCUCAUGCCGGCAUUUCAAGGAUGAAGAAUCUUACUAUGUCUUCUAUUGGGUCUACAUUUUGAUCUUGGCUGAAACAUCACGUCAGCUUCUGGCCAACUCCCCCACUCCUUCAAUAAUGUAAGACUAGCAAUUUAGACCCUGUCAUGGAAAGCCUUCUUGUCAGAAGAAGAUGGAGAUGUAAAGUUGGUCAUGGAUCUCAGAAGAAAAAUGAUUGUUCAUUGUUGAUGUACCUUUGUUGAAGAAACAUUACUCCUCUCACUGUUGUAAUACGGGUGUAAGAUUUAUUACAUCAUUAUCACCACAAGAUAAUGUUUCCAAAGAGAACUAAAACAUAAACCAGGGACCUAGUUCAUAAUUUCUGUUGACGUGCAUUCCAGAUAAGUUAGGUAUUGCUUCUAAUGAGUCACAACCAGAAAUAUCCAAAUAAAUUAAAUUCAACAUUUCAAGUCCCCGAAGCUGAGCAAGUUUCUUGCAGUCUCGAACACUUAGAAAUCGUAAUUUCUCACAUCCCAUCAAAUUUGGCAAAGUCUCCAUUAAUUUGCAUCCUGUAAAAUCCAACACUUCUAAGGACUUCGCACCGUCAAGACCUUGAAUUUCAACUAGAUUGCGACACCUAGAAGCCUUGAAUUUCUUCAAACACUUGCAAAAAUUUAAAAAUAUGACCUCCAAAGACUUCAAAUUAUCACAGCCCUUAAUUUCAACUAGGCUAUCGCAAUGCUCAAUGCGUAAUCGUUUCAGAUGAAUAAAUCUUGAAAGGCCCAAUGUUUUAAUGGAAUUGCACUUUUUUAUUGAAAGCUCUUCCAAGUACGUGAGUCCGCUGAGCAAAAGUGAUGUCAGCUUAUCCCACUCCUUAAAACAGAGUUUCAAUGUUAUUGAGGAAAGCUUGCGGAUGUCUUCAGGUAAAUGGCAUACCUCAAGAUCGAGUCUUUCUAGGUGGAUAAGGCGAAGGAGCUGUGGCAGUCCAGGUCCAAGGCGCUGACAAGUAACCGACAGACAUGUUAAGCCCAAAGGAAUCUUUGGCAGCGAUUGGAGCUUGUAACAGCCCCUUAGGUCAAGGCUUUGGAGAGAAGAAGGAAGCUCUGGCAGCGACCAGAACUCACUACACUCCCAUUGGUUAAGGAUUUGGAAACAAGAAAGAUUCCAGAUGCUUUCUGACAGGUCAGAUAUCGGUAUCACAUCGAGAUAGGUAGUCUGGGGGGAAGGCAAGUCAUCGAUUUCACUUAGAAUUGUCCCUUCCAGACUACUGCACUGGUUGAGAUUUAGAAACUGUAGAUUUUUCAACCCUCCAAUAGCAUUGGGAAGCUUUUUGAUCGCAGUACAUUGCAAGUUAAGGUAUUGCAAAUUCUGUAAAUCCCCAAUUGAGCUGGGGAUUUCUCUCAGUGACUCACACAUGAAGGCACUCAGUGUCUUCAAUUUCCUCAAAGAACCAAUAGACGAAGGAAUUGCUGUAAUACCAGAUUCACCUAAAAGAAGCUCUUCUAAAUCUUUUAAUCCACCCACCUCCUCUGGUAGCUCUUUGAGACCUCUACAGGAAUACAAGCCCAAGGUAACGAGGCUUGUGAGUUUGCCAAUAGAAGGGUGGAGAUGCUCCAAUCCAUCACAAUGGUUCAAUAGGAGAAUUUUCAACUGCGUGAAAGCUGAGAGUUCAGGAGUACAUCUUAACUUAGGAAAACCUUGAAUGCAGAGAACUUUAAGCUGCUUUGACGCCUAAUACAAAAGGAGAAUAAUCCGUCAAAUGAGGAGUUGAUUGGCUAAACAAAAAACAAACCUCAAGAUCGCAGAGAGGAUGUAUUCUUUUCCCAAUCUUACCAUGAAUGAAUUCCAUCCUUCCCAAUUCUCUGUGAUUCCUUCCCAAUACUCUCUGAUUCCUUCCCAAUCCUCUUCACUCUCACCCUCCAAUAAGUUCAGCACCGAUAAUUUUGGCAAAUGAAAGUUGAUCGUCGAAAGAGACGCAUCGUUUCCAGGAACGGCCCACUCAAACCAUCUCACUUCAGAAAACUUGGAAUCUCCGCUAGAAGCUGCCCCCAAAAAGUCGUGGAACCAGGGGUGUCUCUGCAAGUUUUUUCACUUUUUAGUUUUUGCUUUUUUUAAAUCUUGAAUUUGCACGAUUACCUUUUUAUCCUUCCCCUAUACAUGUAUGGAUAUGUAAACUCACAUUUAUUUCUUUCUUUUUUUACGACCUUUUGAAAGUUAAACAAAUGACGCAAAGAUAAAGAAAAAAAUAAUUAUUGCUUUAAAACAACUAAGGCAAAUGCACCUCAAUGUUUCAUCUCUUGCUUCUUCUUCUUUUUCAAAAUUUUGUAGCGCAUGGAUUUUCACUUUCAUUUAAGAAGAAAUACAUAAAACUAGUUUACAACGUACAAAUGUUUACUUAUAAAUUUUUAAAUGACUUACGUAUAGUUUUUAAAAGAAUUUGUUAAAGAGUGUCAACGGGCCACCUGUAAGUAGCUAAGGAAGCACCCUAUUUUCAUUUCAUUAGUUAAAUGUAAUAAUGUGGAAGAGAAAAAAAGGGGGAAUUUUUAAUAUAUUCAGAUAUAUAGAAAAGUUUACGUGGAGGGAAAUUAAAAGAAAUCAAAUAUGAUAUGCAUUAUCAAAAUAGAUAUAGAAAAUUAAAAGAAAUAUCCUUAUCUCUAGAAGGUAUCUAAAUAUCUUUAACGUCAUUAACUAUUUGCGUGAAGUGUUUACUCAUUUCUUUGACAAUUGAAAGACCAGGAUUGAAAAAAAUAAGUCGCUUUCAGAAUAACUAGAAAAUGAACCGAUUAACUAAAAAGUGCCGUGGUAACAAUGUUUAAUCAUCAUACGUUGGCUUCCAUAAGAAUAGCAUCGUUUCUUUUUCCAUCUUAUAAAUAAAAAAACAUACUGUUUAACUUUCCUGCUAAAACAGAUCAUUUCAUUAGUUGCAGACGGUGAAAGAAAUUUCCUUAUGGCUUUAUUUGACUUUUAUAAUAAUACCUAUAUUUUCCCCCAAAAGUUUAAUUGGUUAGAAAUUCACUUUUAUGGUUAGACACGUUUGUCUUUAUAUCUGCUUUAAAUAUUAACCAGUGAAAUGCAAUGGGUAUAAAUUCUCUUAAGUCUAUUCGUCUGAAAAGUCACUAAAUUGUUGUAAUCACCAUCCCACACUAUCUUUAAUAAUUUUCGCUCGUACAUUGAUCUAUACUAUGUAUUACAUUAAAAAAAAUCUAUUGUAUGGAAAGGGGAUUUCAAACCUCAAACUUUCGUCAAAAGUUUCCACACAAUUCGCAUAUAUUUCACCAAAAUGAACUAAAGAAAUAGGAUAUAACAAAAUAGACAUAAUCAUAUUUGAAAUAGUCAAUUGGAAAUUAGUCCCAUAAGUAUUUCAAUUUCCAAAGUUAAAUCAAAAUCUCUCGAAUUGUACAAUAAUCAUUUUUUUCAAUGUUAUUUAUCAUCUUUCAGCAUUUUUAUCCAUUCAAAACAGAAUUGACUUUUCUUUUUCAUUUUUCCAAACACCUAAAUGGUGUGCUCUUUUUGCUAAUGUUAAGAAGUUAUUGGAUCAACAAAAGAGACUGAUAUUAAAUCAUAGGAACGAAAUCUCUUGGUCAAUUUCUAGGGUUAAUUCCUCAUCAUUGAUCAGCCAUGAGCCUGUGAAGCUUUUUAGAUGGACAAUAUAUAAUAAAAUGACAUGAACAUUGAUAAUCUAAGUAAAAGAUAAAACAUAUUUGAAAAAAUUGGCUUCAUGCUGAAAAUCAUAUAUGAUGAAUACAAGGUUAUGGAUAUAAUAAUAAGCAUGACAUUUCCUCCAAUUAAUCAAGUUUUCUUUGUUUAUUUUAAAAGAGUCAAGUUAGUGUAGUGAAUUCUGGUACAAAAGAGGCAUUGUCCCAAAAGAUAUAAAUAAUAUAAAACAACUUAUAGCGGAUAGAAAUGUCCGUUAUAAUGAAAUCCACUCUUUCUUAUACACCUAGACCUGACCUAAUCCAUGAAAUGAGCAAGGUCAAUGCGAUAAAUCCUUAGAAAACAGUAAGAUUUUCUCGUAUAUAUUUUUUGCUAUCUAUUAAGAGGAAAUAAGAAUGAAAAGAGAUAGAUCUAAAUAACUAGCACAGGGACGGUAUCUUCCAAAUCAAAAUGGAGAAAAAAAAUAUCAAACAUUCGAUUCCUAAAUCACAAGAGCACCACAAUACAUUCAGCCGUAAUAGAAAGCAAACAUAUGUGACAAGUGUGAAAUUUUUUUCCAAUCUUAUUUUUGAAUUAAUUAUCGGUUAUUAUACUAUCCUCUUUUUUUUUUAAAAAUCAGGAAAUCUUCAUUUAUUUGAUCUACGAUGUUUAUAUUUCAUCUUCAUUCAUAAUUAUAGUCCUUGUAAUUAUCAAUAUUUUCAACUAGUUAUGACAAUGGCAUGCUUUUAGUAAAUGAGUUUUAUAGAGCAAAAUUGUAGUUAAAAGAUCUUAAAUUGAUUGUCAAGCAAAUCUUUACAUUUGUAAUUUAUAUCACUGAAAUCGAAUCAAAUGGUAUAACUUUUUCAUCCUUUAAAUACUUAUAAUCCAUUUAGCUGUCACAAAUAAUCUAAGAUGGACAUAAAUGGAUGUUUAAAUAGAUUUUUUUUCCUAGAAAGUAAGAGCAUCUAUUCAUCAUCCUAGAUGAAAUAUUAGAAUAGAUCAGAUUAAAUAUAUUAAAAUAAGAGGGGAAGAAAAAGAAAGGAGUGCCAUAUUUUACCCAUUUAUAGGUUCUUAGUACUUUUGGGACUCCCUCGUAGUCGUCGUCCCAUGGUCCGCUACGUUUCUCUGGCGGUUGUCCUUGGCAAAAAAUGCUCCUUCCAAGAUCUCUCAAUUGAUCAUGCAUCUCAAAAUGACCAAAAUAUCCAAUCUUAAUUAAGCACCUCAACUUCAACUCUUCAAUACCUUGACUUGGAUAAAGCCCACAGUCCUCCCACAUGUACAUGGCGUAUUCACUCGUUUCGCCAAUAAAGAAACAAACAAUAUCGAGAAAAAUCUGCUUAUGUCCAUCUUCUAAUGCAUCAUAACUUAUUUGCAAUAUUUUUUGGACAUCUCUAUGUGGUUGGCUUUUUAAUUGCUUCCACACAUCUUCCCAUACUUUUCGAUUCAUUUUUUUAUACAAGUAUGAACCUACGACCUUAAGUGCCAAGGGAAGCCCACCCAUGGUGGAUACAAUAUCACGAGAUAGACCCUCAAAGUCCUUUGAAGAAUGGUCCAUAGAAAAUGCAUGUCUAUUAAACAAAAGCAAAGCAUGCUCCCGAUCCAAUUCAUUCAAAUCAUACUUGUGUACAUCGAAUUCAGAUUGAUCAAGAAUGGCUUUAUAUCUGGUUGUAACAAUAAUAAUACUUCCCGCCAUAAACCAAUUACGUUCUCUAGCCAAAGCAUUUAAUCGAUCCUCGUGAUCUAUAUCAUCCAAAAGAAUGAGAAUCUUUUUUCCUCUGAAUCUAGAUUUGAUCAAACUAAUUCCAUCAUCAACAUUCCCAAAUUCAAGGUCAAUUUGCAGAAUGUCCUUAAUUAGUUGCUUUUGUAAAUGAACAAUAUCGUUGUGGCAAGCUGUUUCUCGAAUAUUUGCAAGGAAGCUACGAUGCACUAAGUCAUUCGACAGCUGGUUAUAGAUUACCUUGGCAAGAGUCGUUUUUCCAAUCCCACCCAUGCCAUAGAUUCCAAUCAUUCGAGCAUCAGUGGUAGGAGUGUCUACCCAUUUCAUGAUUCUGUUCACAUGAUCAUCAAUUCCAACUAAGUGCUUAGUAACAUCAAGCUGAAAAUCUUGUCGCAACUUGCUUAGAACAUUUUCAAUAACUUUUUUCACUAAUUCUCCUUCAUGCCUGUCCAACAAAAAAACUCAUUGAUAAUUUUAUGAUUAUACAUAAUCUCAUCAAAAGGCACCGACAGACGUGAAGAAUGGAUGGGACCAAUUAAUAUGCAAGAUGUUUUGGUUUUACAAAUAAAAAUGGAGGAUGAUGGCCAGUGGUCAUUUCAUUUUUUCUUUUCUCUUUUGCUAGAUGGAUCUUGUUGAAAGAAAAUAUGGCGGUGCACCUGGCUCGUUAAGAGUCUUUAGAAGUGUAAUGUUUGUUACAAGGCUUAAGAUUGCUGCUAGUUAAAUGAUAGGAGGUCAAUUUUGUUUUAAUUAAAGAAGUUUAGGAGAAAAGUAUGUUACUCCACUCUAAGGCCAGGGCAUCUCACGUGCCAAAAUCGAGGACUUAUAGUUGAUUUACAAAUUGCUACCGAUGGGGUCUACUGACAGUGGAAAUCAAACCUAGACAUGGUAAAUGUGAAGUGUUCGGUCCUUUUCAGCUGAGCCAACUUCCAUUCGCAUGAGGAGGUCUAUUUUAUCUGGUGGUGAUAAAGCUUUGAAAUACUGAGCAUGCGCGUCCUUUCUAAGCGUAUUGUUUGGUGAUUGACACUAUUGGCUAGAGGGGUUGUCAUUUCUUUGAUUUUUGCUCUAUUGGAGACAACCGUAAUUCAUCCGUUUCGCUUGAACAAGAAAAUUUAUAAGAUAAUUACCAAAAAAAUCUUAAAUUUAUUAUAAUUGUGUUAAUUCAGUCUUUAAUUUUUUUUAUGGCCAAUUUAGUCCUACACAUUUUGAAAAUAUGCUAAUAUAGUCCAUCUAGCCAACUUUGGCUAGAAAUCGCUAACAUGGACGCAGGUCGUCUUACGAGGCACCGUCAAAUCAACGUGGAGUAUUUUUAUAAUUUUUUAUAAUUUUUUUCUGAACUUUGUUGAAUUUGCUUAUAUUUUUUUGUUUAUUCUUUCUUUCUUUUUUAUCCUUCUUCUUCUACGGUCACCGGCCAUAGAUGAGGGCUGCCUCGCCAUAAGGGCUUGGCCUCGCCAGAAUCUGGUCCUUCUAGUGGGUCCUAUAGAGAAUCGCAAGGAGGGACAGACCGAGAGUUUUUCCAACAAGAGAGGGCUGUCGAUGGGUCAGAUGAGGAGGUUCGCCAGCAGCCAGAACGUGCUGGCGAGCUUCGACUUGACGGCACAGGUGGCGCCGGUGGAUGCAACGGAGCAGAGGAACUCUUACUUUGAUGACAAAGACAGAGACAAAGAAGAGCGAGAUGAGGACGACGGCGACGAAGUGGUGAUUCUAUUUCCGUCCCUCAUUUUGGUAGGUGGAGUGGAGUCGAAGGCGAAGAAGGAAGCGAAUCUGUGGAAGAGAAGGACAAUGGCUCACCCUCAACCACUUCGCUUGCGACAUCCCCAUUAAUUCUGCAAAUAUAAUCGUGUUCUCGAAUGAUUGCGUUCCUGGAUUCCCGAUUUCUGAUGUUCUUCCUUCUUUUUUUAGGGUUAUUAGUUUGUGUUGGCCUGACCUCUUUAGAAGGACCAGAUUCCGGCGAGGUUGGCUGUGACAUCCAGAAUUUUCAAUAUUGUUUUCUAUUAAAUUAAUCGGGCAUUUCAUUGACGUGUCUAUAGGGUUGUUCUCAGAGCUGAUCACUCUCGAGAUAACUAGACUAGCUGGGUAAGCCAUUAAAGAAUAUUAAGGCAAUAGACUUGAGAAUUCGACCAGGAAGCGGCUUCUCGACCGUGUUCAUCUUUAGAGGUCACUACUGCACAGUUAAAGAUCGAAUUGAGAUCAGAGAUAGGUCGGUUCGACUGAGAUGUGUGGCCGAUCGUGGGUGACUCCACUAAAUUGGAAAAUUCUCGUCGACCGACACUAAUUUGAUUUUCUGUCGUUUUGGUACCCUGUGUUGGUAGUCGAGCCCUCGAGAUUUUCACGACAAUUGAGAGUCGCCAAUGUGUCGAGUGGGUUCAUUGUGGCUCGAAGAAAAUCGACCACGCGUCAAUUGCCCUAAAAAGUUCUGAAAACUACCCGGUAGUCUAGGUCACACUAAAAGCACGCCGGAGUGAAAUUAACCGUCGAUUUGAGUCAGAUUUCAGAAAUCGAAAGUUCAGUGAUGUCACAAGCUAUUUUAGGAACGUCAACUCAGUCUCAGAAGAUUUUUCGGAGAUUCGGGAAAUUUUACGGAAAUUGGGUUCGGACGUCGUGGAAGUUUGGCCGAAGUUCGGAUUGGCUAAAUUAAUGGGAAAUUUGACUUUCGGGUUGAGCCGUUGUGUGUCGGGGAAUUAUAGAAAAUCAUUUGGGAUUUUUCUACAUCAAAAUUGGACCUCAAUUUGGAGAGAAUGGUUGUGCAAAUUAAGCCAUCUCUCCCAAAAUUCGUGUACCCCCACCUAGCCACAACCUUUGGACCACUUGGUCUUCUAGAAGAGAGUGUUUUGAUGGCCUAUUGAAGGCCAAGUAUUCUUACAUGGCCAAGAUUGAUUUUAGAAGAUAUUUUGUGAAAUAUCCAACCAAGUGGAGCCCAACUCUUCCUCAUCCUCUCCAUCUUGCUGCCGUGAAUUGCUUCUCUCCUCUUUCCAUUUUUCUCUGGCGUGCGACACUUCUAGCAGCAAUUGAAGAAGACCCGGCUGCUUCCUUUGAAAUUUUCCGAGCGUCCACCAAGCUGCCCGAGGAGCUCAGCAUCCGCCGAAUUCUCCACCGCUUCGUGUCUUCAGCCAGCUCACGCUCGGUCAAUAGCGAAGCCAGAAGAAGCCCCGUCGUUGACUGAAGAUCCUCACCGCACGAAGCUUUGAAGACAGAAACUCCACCGAGUGAAGCCACGAUCCCACCGAGCUGGUCGGCCACUCACGCCAGCGAAGACCCCUACAGCAGCUCCACCGAAACUUUUUUAUUCUGCUUCGUUGAAGAUUGAUCGUCCACGAAGCUACUCCAAGCACCCACGCGGCCAGCGCACGCCAGUCAACUCCAAGCUUCUCCUCUUCAAUCUGUUGACCAAGCUGCUGCCACGUUGAGCCAGCGAAGACUCCACCAAGCGAAGCUGCUCCUCCUCCGCAACGGUCCACGGUUCUUCAGUCAACCAAACCAGCGAGCUCCCCCGUGAUUGACCGAAGCUGCCAGCGAAUGCCCUUCUCCACUAAGGUUGGUCGGCCAUUUUCACGGUUCUUCAUCAACCUGCGCUUCCUUCUCACGCGGGCAACACCGAGCAAAGCCAGCAGUUUCCAAUGUCUUCUUCAGCUCGUACGAAGCAGCCCAGCCCAGCUCCUUCGUGAGUUCAGCCGCAAGCCCAUUGGAAGUCCAUGAUUUCAGCAAUUCGGGCCCAGCAGAAUCAGCUCCGAAGCCCAUCAGUCCAGCAGUUCUUCAGCCAAUUUAAUUCAAGUUGCAGCCCAGUAAUUUGAGGCCCAAUUCAGUAGAAUUCUUACUGAGGCCCAUCUCCUGCAGUCUUCAAGCCCAGUCCAAUCCAAGUGAAGUAAUUAGUCAAGCCCAGUUCAGCAGCCCAUCAACUGAGAUUGGAGGCCCAAUUUCCAGCAAAGAAAUUUGAAGCCCAAGUGAAUUCAGUCCAGAAAUUUCAGCAGGCCCAAUUCAAUUUGGGUCUGGCCCAAAAGCAAGAAACAAAUCUCAAUUGGGCUGAGAUUUGUUGGGGCCAAGUCCAAGGCCCGGUCCAAGUACGCUGGUGUCGUCGAAAGUCCGAUUUCGGCCGCCGUCGCGUCGCCGUUGCGGUGAUUCGGUCUCCGCUUUUAUCAAGUGAGUUUUACUCACUAAUGCUUUAUUAGUUUGCUAAUUAUGCUUAAGGUUGGUUAGAUUUAAUUAAGUGCAAUUAGGUGGUUAGAUUAGGUUAGAACAAUUAAAUUAGUGACUUGAGGAUGCAUGUUAGGUGAUUAGACCUAGCUAUUAGCAAGUAGAAAUGUUUGGUUAUUUAUUGAAUGUAUCUCGGGAUUUUUCCCGACCCGUUUCGGGCUCCAAUAAGGCAAUAUAGGCCUAAAUUGGAUUUUCAAUGUUUAUUUAUUUAUUUUUCGAAAUUAAUUAUUUAAUUAAUUAUUUUUCCGGAAAUUCAACCGGGAUGGCCGGUGACCGGAAUUUCGUGCCGAUUGUCGUGGUGCAGACCGUUUAUUUAUUUGAGCUCUACGUUGUGUGGAAUUGAAUUUAUUGUGGAAUUUUAGGAAUUGUCCUAAAUUGUUUGUUAUUGAAUAUUUGAUUGGUAAUGGCCAAGCAUGGGUAUAUAGCGCCAGUACGUUGAUGGGCUAUAUAGUAGGGAGAAUGGUGAGACCAAUCAGGUACGAUGUAAUUGGACAUACGUGGUUCGGUGAUUGGAAGUAUCACUGGCGAAAACGGCGCCUUAAAGAACGCACGUAAAUGACUUAUAGACACACGUGGUUCGGUGAUUAUGGGAAUAUCACUGGUGAAAACGGCGCCUUAAAGAACGCACGAUGUUGUCUAUAGCCGAUGUCACCUUGGCGAAAACGGCGCCCUUGAAAGGACACGUGGUUCGGUGAUCAAGGUUAUCACUGGUGAAAACGGCGCCUUAAAGAACGCACGGUGUCGGUGAUCGGUAUGUCAUUGGCGAAAACGACGCCCGAGAAACACAUGUGAUUUGGUGAAUGAGUACACCACUGAGAAAGCGUGGUACGAGUGGGAAUGACCGAGAGAGGGUCUAAUUGACAUGUAAUCGACUUAGUCGAUUGGCCAAUGUUUGAUCGUAUGUCGUGAAUUGUUUGAAUAUCUGUGUUUAACCUUGAAUUGCAGGUUGGAACUGAGGCUAAGGUAAGUCCUCUGACUCGUGUUGUGCUUAGGCAACCGGAUGGCGUAUUAGUUUAUUAAUCGAGUCUUAGUGGGUAGGACUCGCUGAGACGUGGUCUCAUUGGUUAUUGAAUAACCAUUUCAGGACCCUGAGGAAAAGCUGAGGAAGGAGAAGCUGAGGAAGGAGAAAGUAUUUUGAAGUAGAAGAUGAUCCAGAGAGGGAUCUUGAAUAUAACCCGGAUGUGGAUUGAGAUCCCAUCCCUUUUGUGCACCUUGUCUUAGUGUAGAUAGCAGUGAGACUUUUAUGCUGUAAAUAAUAUUGUAAAUAUACCAUGAGUGGUGAUGUUAAUGAAAGUGUGGUUGUGAAUUUCAAUAUGAAAAAUAUGGCCUACUUUCCUAUCCCAUUGUUUUAUUGUCUGGGGAUUUAUAACUGCUUCCGCAUGUGUAAAAUUAAAAGAAAGGGUCGGCGAUACAUAGUCCUGGGAUAUCGCAUUAUAAAAUCGACCAAGUAGAAGGAUGUGCGCGCGUCCGAGGAUCGGGGCGUGACAUUGGCCCUCGACACUUGACAGGGAGGGCGAGCCUCACCAACCCUAAUCUGUGGCCUGUUGCCGGCCAUCAAGGAGGCCGGCAGCCGGAGAGAAAGAAGGGAUUUCUAGCUAAAAUCAGCCGGGUAGACUAUAUCGGUAGAUUAUCAAAAGGUUUAUGAUUAAAAUGGCUAAAUUAUCACUGUUAUAAUAGGUUUAAUAUUUUUUUUGGUAAUUUCCCAAAAAAUUACUUAUCAAAAAAUAGAAGUUUAGGUGGAAGCAAAGUACCCGUUAGCAACUUUCUGAGACUCCCAUCCCUGUAAAUGACUCACGUCUCUGAGUGCUUGCCGCACUUUCUGGAUGUCCUCCUCAGCAAAAUACUUCUUACAUGAACGAAAGGCAUUUCCAAAGUUUCCUUUUAGAUUCCCCGCAUCCGAUGGGUCCACUUCAUAAAAGAUGGGCAAAACUGUGUGUGAUGGGCUCUUCACACGAUCCAUGAUAUGAAUAAGCUCGCGAAGGCACCAUUUGCUUGAAGCAUAAUUUUCGGAUAUGAUGAGAAUCGAAAUCUUAGACCGAGCGAUGGCAUUGAGAAUUUCCGGACCGAAUUCCUCGCCAAUUUGGAUGCUCUUAUCAUCCUUGAACACAAAAACUGGUGCAAUCCCUACCUUGACUAGACUGUGAUAGAGGUGAUCGGUGAAUCCCUUGCGAGUAUCUGACCCUCUAAAGCUCAAGAACACAUCAUAAUGAUCGUUACGUAUUCCUUCACGUAUUCCUUCGAGUGUUGGAGAGAUUUUCGAAGGUGUGGACGCUCUCUUCUUCUUGACAAGAUAGAAUGCAAGCAUACUAAAAAGAAUCGUCGCGGCAAGCACCGCGGGCAUUAUUAAAGGGUGCAUCCCUUCGUUUGUUUCAGUGUAACUCCGCCCUUUGUCGAUGGCAAUCUGAGAGGGAAAGUUGGAGAGAAAGAUGCUCUCCUGCUGCAUAAAAAGGAUUGAUAAUUAGUCUCUAUGAAGUAUGAACAAGUAUGAACAUGAAAUCUUUUACCAAGCAAGAAAAGAUAAACAUGAAAUUAUUAAUUAAUUAUUAUUUGAUUGACUAGGAGCAGUCGCUGAUGCUUUCAAUCCUUGCUUGAUCUUCUUUUGGAUAUCAUCCUCUAGUCAAGUCAAUCUUGCCGGCUUCGGUCCCCUUACGUAUAACGUGUACAUUAAUUUCUUAAUUGGGCUAUAGAAUAAUGGAACUAUGUACAAGCAUAUUGCAUUCGUUCAAAAUUAUACGUAGUGGUUCAGUUGUUACUUGGUUAUUGAAAAUAAGAUUUUGAAAAAUCAUUUUUUUUGUCAAAGAAUUUCGUAAAUCAUUUAAAAGCUGAUAAUUGAGUUGAGACAAAAUUGACAAUGUGGGGAAGGCGUGAAGAAAGGACCUAGCUAGUAAUUAUGAAAGUGAUUUUAAAUUUAAUUUCGCCAUAGAUUUCUCCUCCUGCACAGCACAAAGCCUCCCUUCUCCUUGUUUAUCUGCUCCUCUCGCCGACACAUUCUCUCUUCCCCCUCUCUCCUUUCGUUUUUUUCUUUCUUUUCCUCUUUCUCCUUUCUUUUGCUCCUUUCUUUUCCUUUCUUUUCCUUUCUUCUUUUCCUUUUUGACUCUAAUGUAUUUUCUUCUUCUUUUUCUCAUCAUUUCAAACUCCACUUCACCUAAUAUUACUACCUUUCCACCAAAUCACUUUUCACUUUUGACCGCAUUUUACUGUUCACUUUGACUGUAUGUUCCCACAUGUAAUUGAUCGGAAGUGACCGAGUGAGUGUCAGGGAUAGUGAAUGAAAAGUUUUUAUUCUAUUAAAUUAUAUUAGAAAAUUAAAAUUUUAGAAUGUUACAGCAGAUGUGGAAACAAUUUAUUAAGGAGAUAUUCCUAUCAAAUAGAUAAAGUAAUGAGAUUAGAGAAUAGAAGAAUAUGUCUAUAGAUUUAUAAGAGUUCAACUCAUAUUAAAUCUACAUCCACUUUCUCAAAGUAACAACCAGCAGUAUGGCUUUUUUUAACAGAAAGAAUCAAAUGCAUGCUGAAACAUAUUGUGAACGCAUGAAAGAUCGAGGCAAUUUAGAGAUUUGAAUCUUUCUGAAUUUCCGCCUAGUCCAUUGGCAUCCUCUAAAUCCUUUUAUAAAAAACUAACCGUUGGAGAAUAAUUUUACCUGUAAAACAUCCUUUCAUAGGUUUUCUUUGGAGGGUGCCCUUUUUCUUUGGAGGUCAUAAAUACCAAACCUAUGUCUGGUAAAAUUCCACAAAAAUAAUAUUUUUAUUCAGUUAAUAGUAAAUUUCUUUUGUCUAUUUUCACUAAAAUAUGUAAAUUGAUCAUAACUCUCCUUUGUACUUGGUAAAGUUUUGACACCCAUGUCUCAGUAAUUUUCCUUACUCAUCGUAAGUUUUCUCAAUCAAAUGAUAAUUUGAUCAUGGUUGCAUCUAACUUUCUUUUAAUGUUCGGAAGUGAUCAUAAAAAAUCGAUUUUGCAAAAUAGAUUUGACGGUUCACCUUUUUUACCCUUUUUAACCAACAGUCCACGUCGAAUGUAGGACUCAUCCUAGAGUUUUCACUUAUGAAAUUUCCAUCAUGAUUAGCAUGUUUUAGCUAUAAGAAAGUUGUUUCUUCUUUUUGCAAAGGAGCCUUCACACAUAUUCCUUAUCUACCGAGGUCAACAAUGACUCAAACCAGAAGAACUGAUGGGGGUGCAAUAUAGAGCUUAGACAAAUUCCGAGUGCAAAAACGGAAUUUAAAAAAAAAAAAAUUGAAAAAGUAUGUCUCCAAUCUCUCCCAUUCUCCAGCAUAUAUAAAAAUAAAUGGGAAAACAUUAAUCCUGCCGUCGCCCUAGGAAGAUUUUUCGAGAAGAGCACUUCGAGCGUGCGCUCUGGAGAGAGACUAGCAAUAAUCGAUUCUGACUUGUGCAUUAUGGAUCAAUCGAAUCGCUCGAAUAGGCUGGACAUCCAUGGAGGAUCGGGGCCCGGAGGUAGAGAAAGCUCGUUUACUGACUUUGGCGCCUAAUUUCGGCUUCAACGAGCAGUCCGCCAACAGGUGGUUGGACAGUCUUGUUUCGCUCCACAGUGUCCGAAUCAUUAUUUUGUCGCGCAUUUUUUGUGUCAUUUUCCGGAAAUUACGAAAAUUGCCAAUGUAAUGGAAAAUGAUUUUACGGACAUCCGAAAAUUCUCUAGUCGAUAUGAUCUGUUCAGAUAAAUUUUUGUUGUUGACAAUUCUGAUUCGUAGCCUUUGAAAGGUUUUGUGCAAUUAUUGAAGAGAAUAGACCAGCACCAUUGAUAUUUGGAAAAAAUCAAUUUUUAAAUGUUUUUAAGAAAAAAAGAAUUAUUUCUGCAAAAACAGAGUAUUUUGGAUGUUUCAGGCUUUAAGUAAGUUUGGCUCCGACCAAAAAAAAAAAAAAGAGGUAAUUUUGGACAAUCGGAGUGCAUAUAGGGCGAUGGACCCAAAAUCGGGUCUAGAAGGGUAAUUUCAGUACUUUAAUCGAGCGGGCUUUUCGUCCCGAGGGAAUUUCACAUGUAUUAUUCUGUUGCCCUAGAGGAUGUUAGGCGAUGAGCAAUAACCGAAUGUAUUUUUGUCCUAUCAAUUGUAAUAGACCGGAGAAUGAAGGUCGGACUUACCUCGAGGAGGAGAUAUUCAGAGAUGAAAUAACCGUGAUGGGUUUCAGUGUUCAAGAAGAAGUCGGCUUGAAGCAGUCCAAGUCCCAAACGUCAGUGCAGUCCCGAGGAUCACCUUCACGCCUCGACCUAGACCGGCUUGGUUAGGAAAGAGACGGAGGCAAAUUUGCAGAUCAUCUCAGGUCAGAACGUCGCGAGAAAGGACGAGUAGUGGCUACGAAAUCACCAACUACAGACGAGGAACUUACUGUCUUUCGAUAAAAUCCAGAAACGACCCUCGUGUUCCGCCGAAGACCCCACAAAUCCAAGAACCCUAAUCACCUCAGCGGAGUCCAUUAUCAGAAAUCAUAGCAAGCGGAACACUAAAAAGUUCGAAACUCGACACGAUUCAAGUUGAUUUUACCUGCCGAUUGGUGCCCGCCGAAAAACCAGUCCUUUGAAGCCGGUGGUUCGGAAGGAGCGACUGCAGGUGCUCUUCGCGACGGCCUCGGGUGUACUGCUUGGGUGGAUUCGCGAGAAAGAAGAAUCGCUGCUUCCUCCGCCGAUUCAAGUCGAAGCUCUCGCUCUGGUCGUAGAGGCUUCGAUGUGCUUCAGAUCUGGAAGUAAGAGAGAACUUGUACCUGGGGAGUCGGACGACGCGGUUCUGUGUUGACUUUCUGCCGCGGGAACAUGAUCACGUUCCAUGUUUAGGUGGAGGCACGUGUGUUGGACGCCCGAGCCAAAGUUGGCUAAAUUUCAAAAGAACACCGACGUCCCACCGUGGUAAAACGGUGAAUCAAAUAGUUGAUUGGCAGGUCAAGGGCGAGGGCUCGCUGCCCUCAUACGCGGCAAGCAGGAGCCGAGAGCCCUCUAUGGUUAGGCCAUCGUCGAAAUCAAUAAUUCCCGAUUAAAUUAUCCAAAUAAAUUACAUUGGAAAUUUGUUAAUAAGUUGAAGAUUAAACUGGCUAAAUUAAAAAAUUUAUAACUGAAUUGGCAUAAGUAUAAUAAAUUUAGAACUUCCUAAAUAAUUUUUCCCUAUUAAAAUAAUAUGGAAACCACUCUAAAUGAUGAGUUUCUCUAAUACAAUCCACAUAUGUCUUCUUAGAAAUUUCCUACACAUUAAACUAUUUUAGAAUGAAAGAAGGUCACCUUCCUCCCAUGAAGUUCACAAUGGGUUCUAAAAAACAAACAAUACACUAGGGACCACCUCAUGGUUAGAAUAGUUUACAAUAGAGCAUUUUAAUAUAAUAUUUAAAUAUAAUUUGUGGAAGAAGAAUUUUAACCAAACUAAAUUAGUGGAAGACUGGAGAGACGUUUCUGUCAUUCACAAGUAAUGACAGAUUUAAAUUGCAAUUGUCAAAUAUGGUGUGUCACCUAAGUCAAGAAUGGUGGGUGCCUUCUUUUUCAAAAUGGUCUCAUGCAAUCAUCCAAACCACUACAAUUGUCAAAUAUGGUGUGCCACCUAAGUCAAGAAUGGUGGGUGCCUUCUUUUUUAAAAUGGUCUCAUGCAAUAAUCCAAACCACACAACGAUUAACCUUUAUCGCAAUGAGAUUUAAUUAAUUAGCAAUUGAGGGACAAUGAGCAGUUGCAAAUGCUUUUAGUCCUUGUCUUUAUCUUCUUUGAGACCUCACCCUUAAGUCAAUUCAAACUUGUUGGCUUGGUCCACUUCUGAUUAACGUGUACGUUAAUUUCUAAGUUGGGCUGUAGAAGAAUUAGAAUACGUUUUCAAACAUAUUCCAUUCGUUUAAAAAUAUAAGCACGAAUUCAGUUGUUAUCGAUUAUUGAAGAUCAUAAUUUCAUAAAUCAUAUCAAGUUAAAACAGAUUUGGAAAUGGAUGGAAGAUGUGAACAAAGGAUCUUGUGAGUACCUGAGCCGCUAAAACUCAAGAAUACAUCAUAGGUAUCACUUUCCUACUCCUGUUGGUGUUGAAUAGAUGAACAAAUAUAUAGAUACUCCAUCGGUGCUCUUACUUGCUUGAUUUGUAUCGCUUCGACUCUUUUUCCUCUUCUUGAAAAGAUUACAAGUGAAUUUAGAGAGAAGAAUGGGUGCAACAAGCACCCCAAAAGAAUGCCCUAAAAUGAACUGAUUUCAUUAUUUGAUUUACUAUGGCUCUUUCCUUUAUUUGAAAUAUUCAAGUAGCUAAUUGGCUUGCUACCCUCACACGUUGCAGGUGAGGCCACAUACCCUUGUGGACCACUAGGCGAGGGCUUGCUGCCCUCACACGCAGCAAGCAAGAGCUAAGAGCCUUCCCUGAUAAGUGGGCAACAACUAUGAGUCCUUGCUAGCCAUGCCACAUAGGACGUAUGUCGUCCACAUCAGCAAUUUUCAAUCAAAAUUAGCUGAAUGAAUUAUAUUGAUAAAUCGUUAAUAAAUUGAGGACUAAACUAGCCAAAUUAAAAAGUUUAUGGCUAAAUUGGCACAAAUACAAUAAAUUUAGGACUUUUUUUUUUUUAUCAUUUUUCCCAUUAAAUCACACGAAAACCAUACUAAAUGAUGAGUUUCUCUGAUCCAAUCCACAGACGUCUUCCUAGAAAUUUCCUGCACAUUAAACUAUUUUAGAAUGAAAGAAGGUCACCUUCCUCCCAUGAAGUUCAUGAUGGGUUCUAGAAAAGAAACGAUACACUAGGGACCACGUCAUGGCUAGAACAGUUUACAAUAGAGCAUUUUAAUAUAAUGCUUAAAUAUAAUUUGUGGAAGAAGAAAUUGAACCAAGCUAAAUUAGUGAAGACUGGAGAGACAUUGCUGUUAUUCACAACUAAUUAUAAAUUUAAAUUGCAAUUGUCAAAUAUGGUGUGCCACUUAAGUCAAGAAUGGUGGGAGCCUUCUUUUUCCAAAGGGUCUCAUGCAAUCAUCCAAACCACACAACGAUUAACAUUUAUCGCGAUGGGAUUUAAUUAAUUAGCAAUUGAGGGACAAUGAGCAAUAGCAGACGCUUUUAGUCCUUGUCUUUAUCUUAUUUGAGGCCUCACCCUCUAGUCAAUUCAAACUUGUUGGCUUGGUCCACUUCCAAUUAAUGUGUAUGUUAAUUUCUAAGUUGGGCUAUAGAAGAAUUAGAAUCUGUUUUCAAACAUAUUCCGUUCGUUUAAAAAAUAUAAGCAUAAAGUCGAUUGUUAUCAAUUAUUGAAGACCAAAAUUUCAUAAAUCAUAUCGAGUUAAAACAGAUUUGGAAAUGGAUGGAAGAUGUGAAGAAAGGAUCUUGUGAAUACCUAAGCCACUAAAACUCAAGAAUACAUCAUAGGAAUCACUUUCCCACUCCUAUUGGUGUUGGAUAGAUGAACAAAUAUGUAGAUGCUCCGUCAAUGCUCUUAUUUGCUUGAUUUGUGUCGCUUCUACUCUUUUUCCUCUUCUUGAGAAGAUUAUAGGCGAAUUUAGAGAGAAUAAUGGGUGCAACAAGCACCCAAGAAGAAUGACCUAAAAAUGAACUGAUUCCAUUGUUUGAUUUACUUCGGCUCUUUUCUUUAUUUGAAAUAUUCAAGCUCAACUCAACUACUUCUUGUGAAGAAAAAUCAUGAAAUGGAUGCGUACGUGGUAACUUUUUUUUUUUUUUUGGCCGGUCUUACUCUAUUCCUACUCUAACUCUCACUCUCAAACUUUUGCCCUGCCUCUUUGCAGGCGCGUGGAAGUCGAAACCUACUCCUAAAACUAAAUCAUCUCCACCCCAACCCCCUGAAAAGAUAGGGAUUUGAACCCCCCACCUCCUCCUUCCAUGUUCGAAGGGUGGCCACUGGGCGUACGUGGUAACUUACUAUGUGGAAAAUUAGUAGGUAAUUUGUGAAUACCAAAAAUGAAUAACCAUUAAUUAGAUGGGAUCUGGUCUCAUUUUCCCUUGCGAAUCUUUAGGUGGCUCUGGGUUGCGAAAAACAUAUGGAAGGAUUUGUUCUAGUCAAAGUACCAUGUCAUAGCUCUCUUUCUUUGCUUUUUUAUCUCUGUAUAGCCGUGGUGUAUGCUUAGCAUUUUAUGAUUUUUUACAUGAAGUAACUGCCGUAUGAUCAGCUUAUGUGAUUUUAUUGCUAAAUUUGCUCACUCCUGCAUAACAACCACUCAUGGGGAGGAGUCGUUGCUUGAGAAAUCUGUUACUUUCAAGGGAGUCAUCAUAAGUUAUGUAGGUCAUAUGAUUUGUAAUAUUCCCCAAACUAUAGUAAUCUGCCAAAGUUUUGGGUAAAUUUCUUUAUCUUUGAUUAGUAAAUUAUCUAAAGGAUCGUAACUUUCCUUUUGGCGACGAAAUUGUCCUCGUUAACAGUAGUUUUACUCGUAAAACAUCCUUUCACAAGUUUUCUUUGGAGUUUGGAGGGUGUACUUUUUCUUUGGAGGUCAUAAAUUCUCCGGAACCUUUGUUUGGUGUAAAAACCACAAAAAUAAUAUUUAUUCAGUUAAUAGUAAAUUUCUUUCGUGUAUUUUUACUAAAAUAUGUAAAUUGAUCAUAACUCUCCUUUGCACUCGGUAUAGUUUUGAGACCUAUGUUUUAGUAAUUUUCCUUACUCAUGGUAACUUUUCUCCAUCAAAUGAUAAUUUGAUCACUUCUGUAACUUUCCUUUAAUGUUCAGAAGUGAUGAUAGAACAUCAAUUUUGCAAAACAGAUUUCAGGGAUCACCUUUUUUUUCCCUUUUAUCCAACGGUCCACGUUGAUUCAACGUCGUUGAAUGCAGGACCGAUCCCAUAAAAGAGAACUUUGGCUUGGGAAAUGUCCAUCACAAUCAGGACGUUUUGGCCAUAACAAAGUAGUUCGUUAUUUUUUGCCAAACAGCAAAGUAGUCUUGGAAAUGCGAUUUUUCCAAACUUUUGUAAAUCGUUCCAUUAAAACAUAUAUACAAAGGUAAAAAUGUAACUAAGAAACCAUACUACCUUGUCAAUAUUUUCUUUUGCUGAUGCACAACAAUUGAUAAAGGAAAUUUGAAUAUUUACUCUUUGCAUCCGAAUGUGGGACCUUCCCCCUCAAUCAGGGGUCGUUGGACUUUGGUAUGGCGAUGGCGGGUCGACUUUGUCGUGACUUAAUUACUUACGACUUUGUCGUCCUACCUUAACCUGAUUUAAUAAACUAAACUCAAACGUAUUACAUACGAGGAAUUCCCGCAUCUGGAAAAUACAUGUCCACCUUAACUUGCUCUUUUCCAUAUUCUAAUGUUUAAAUCUUCACCUUGUUCAUCCUUGACUCGUAACCAUUUUUAACGCUCUUUUAUCUCUCCAUCUCUUCUGGCGUUCUUUGGUAUUUUCUGAUUCUCAAUGUGAUUCUGAUGGUGAAGUCAAUGCGGAUGGUCGUAUCAUCCGUCGCCAUCGCACUCGUUGAUCUUCUCUUCUUUUCUUUGGGUUUUUACCACAUGGGUUGUGUGCGAAACGAAGGAACAGCAGCAAUGAAAAUAGAAGAAAGAAAUGGAUCGCUCUUUCAAAUCUGUGUAAAUCAUCAUCAUACGACCUCAGCCCACGAAAGCAUUAGACUCGCUAGAGCUUUGUGCCAAUUUCCAAGCCCCCUCCGCCCCCCCAAAACCCCNNNNNNNNNNNNNNNNNNNNNNNNNNNNNNNNNNNNNNNNNNNNNNNNNNNNNNNNNNNNNNNNNNNNNNNNNNNNNNNNNNNNNNNNNNNNNNNNNNNNNNNNNNNNNNNNNNNNNNNNNNNNNNNNNNNNNNNNNNNNNNNNNNNNNNNNNNNNNNNNNNNNNNNNNNNNNNNNNNNNNNNNNNNNNNNNNNNNNNNNNNNNNNNNNNNNNNNNNNNNNNNNNNNNNNNNNNNNNNNNNNNNNNNNNNNNNNNNNNNNNNNNNNNNNNNNNNNNNNNNNNNNNNNNNNNNNNNNNNNNNNNNNNNNNNNNNNNNNNNNNNNNNNNNNNNNNNNNNNNNNNNNNNNNNNNNNNNNNNNNNNNNNNNNNNNNNNNNNNNNNNNNNNNNNNNNNNNNNNNNNNNNNNNNNNNNNNNNNNNNNNNNNNNNNNNNNNNNNNNNNNNNNNNNNNNNNNNNNNNNNNNNNNNNNNNNNNNNNNNNNNNNNNNNNNNNNNNNNNNNNNNNNNNNNNNNNNNNNNNNNNNNNNNNNNNNNNNNNNNNNNNNNNNNNNNNNNNNNNNNNNNNNNNNNNNNNNNNNNNNNNNNNNNNNNNNNNNNNNNNNNNNNNNNNNNNNNNNNNNNNNNNNNNNNNNNNNNNNNNNNNNNNNNNNNNNNNNNNNNNNNNNNNNNNNNNNNNNNNNNNNNNNNNNNNNNNNNNNNNNNNNNNNNNNNNNNNNNNNNNNNNNNNNNNNNNNNNNNNNNNNNNNNNNNNNNNNNNNNNNNNNNNNNNNNNNNNNNNNNNNNNNNNNNNNNNNNNNNNNNNNNNNNNNNNNNNNNNNNNNNNNNNNNNNNNNNNNNNNNNNNNNNNNNNNNNNNNNNNNNNNNNNNNNNNNNNNNNNNNNNNNNNNNNNNNNNNNNNNNNNNNNNNNNNNNNNNNNNNNNNNNNNNNNNNNNNNNNNNNNNNNNNNNNNNNNNNNNNNNNNNNNNNNNNNNNNNNNNNNNNNNNNNNNNNNNNNNNNNNNNNNNNNNNNNNNNNNNNNNNNNNNNNNNNNNNNNNNNNNNNNNNNNNNNNNNNNNNNNNNNNNNNNNNNNNNNNNNNNNNNNNNNNNNNNNNNNNNNNNNNNNNNNNNNNNNNNNNNNNNNNNNNNNNNNNNNNNNNNNNNNNNNNNNNNNNNNNNNNNNNNNNNNNNNNNNNNNNNNNNNNNNNNNNNNNNNNNNNNNNNNNNNNNNNNNNNNNNNNNNNNNNNNNNNNNNNNNNNNNNNNNNNNNNNNNNNNNNNNNNNNNNNNNNNNNNNNNNNNNNNNNNNNNNNNNNNNNNNNNNNNNNNNNNNNNNNNNNNNNNNNNNNNNNNNNNNNNNNNNNNNNNNNNNNNNNNNNNNNNNNNNNNNNNNNNNNNNNNNNNNNNNNNNNNNNNNNNNNNNNNNNNNNNNNNNNNNNNNNNNNNNNNNNNNNNNNNNNNNNNNNNNNNNNNNNNNNNNNNNNNNNNNNNNNNNNNNNNNNNNNNNNNNNNNNNNNNNNNNNNNNNNNNNNNNNNNNNNNNNNNNNNNNNNNNNNNNNNNNNNNNNNNNNNNNNNNNNNNNNNNNNNNNNNNNNNNNNNNNNNNNNNNNNNNNNNNNNNNNNNNNNNNNNNNNNNNNNNNNNNNNNNNNNNNNNNNNNNNNNNNNNNNNNNNNNNNNNNNNNNNNNNNNNNNNNNNNNNNNNNNNNNNNNNNNNNNNNNNNNNNNNNNNNNNNNNNNNNNNNNNNNNNNNNNNNNNNNNNNNNNNNNNNNNNNNNNNNNNNNNNNNNNNNNNNNNNNNNNNNNNNNNNNNNNNNNNNNNNNNNNNNNNNNNNNNNNNNNNNNNNNNNNNNNNNNNNNNNNNNNNNNNNNNNNNNNNNNNNNNNNNNNNNNNNNNNNNNNNNNNNNNNNNNNNNNNNNNNNNNNNNNNNNNNNNNNNNNNNNNNNNNNNNNNNNNNNNNNNNNNNNNNNNNNNNNNNNNNNNNNNNNNNNNNNNNNNNNNNNNNNNNNNNNNNNNNNNNNNNNNNNNNNNNNNNNNNNNNNNNNNNNNNNNNNNNNNNNNNNNNNNNNNNNNNNNNNNNNNNNNNNNNNNNNNNNNNNNNNNNNNNNNNNNNNNNNNNNNNNNNNNNNNNNNNNNNNNNNNNNNNNNNNNNNNNNNNNNNNNNNNNNNNNNNNNNNNNNNNNNNNNNNNNNNNNNNNNNNNNNNNNNNNNNNNNNNNNNNNNNNNNNNNNNNNNNNNNNNNNNNNNNNNNNNNNNNNNNNNNNNNNNNNNNNNNNNNNNNNNNNNNNNNNNNNNNNNNNNNNNNNNNNNNNNNNNNNNNNNNNNNNNNNNNNNNNNNNNNNNNNNNNNNNNNNNNNNNNNNNNNNNNNNNNNNNNNNNNNNNNNNNNNNNNNNNNNNNNNNNNNNNNNNNNNNNNNNNNNNNNNNNNNNNNNNNNNNNNNNNNNNNNNNNNNNNNNNNNNNNNNNNNNNNNNNNNNNNNNNNNNNNNNNNNNNNNNNNNNNNNNNNNNNNNNNNNNNNNNNNNNNNNNNNNNNNNNNNNNNNNNNNNNNNNNNNNNNNNNNNNNNNNNNNNNNNNNNNNNNNNNNNNNNNNNNNNNNNNNNNNNNNNNNNNNNNNNNNNNNNNNNNNNNNNNNNNNNNNNNNNNNNNNNNNNNNNNNNNNNNNNNNNNNNNNNNNNNNNNNNNNNNNNNNNNNNNNNNNNNNNNNNNNNNNNNNNNNNNNNNNNNNNNNNNNNNNNNNNNNNNNNNNNNNNNNNNNNNNNNNNNNNNNNNNNNNNNNNNNNNNNNNNNNNNNNNNNNNNNNNNNNNNNNNNNNNNNNNNNNNNNNNNNNNNNNNNNNNNNNNNNNNNNNNNNNNNNNNNNNNNNNNNNNNNNNNNNNNNNNNNNNNNNNNNNNNNNNNNNNNUGCAGAUGGUUAGAGGCUCUGCUAGCACGUGGCUGCCAUUCUAGUUCAGUGAAUAUGCAUCGCUAGAAUCAAGGACCUACAAAGAGGUGUCGUGGAAAGAGAAGCAGUUUUCAGGUCUGUGAAUGUGUGACAGCAUGAUUCGUGAAGUUUUCUUGGCUCCUGUCAUUAUGGAUAUCAUCAUUUCUCUUUUUUAUUGGCUGGAAACCAGGAUGGUCCAGGGAUGAUCACGAGAAUGAUCCAGGUAAAAUGACAUUUGAUGUUAUGUAUCUUUCACGUGUUACGUGAAACCAUCUGAAUGAUGCUUCUGUGUUUGAGGACCAGAAGGAGAUCAUGGAGAAAGCAAUGUUAGAAGGGCACUUGUUGGAUUCAUCCCCCCCCCCCCCCCCAACCCAUCCCAUCCCAUCCCAUUCAAUUCAAUCGUGGCCACUCCAUUAGCAGGCACGGUUGCUGCGGCCCGUCCCUAUUCCAUGGUCAGCUUCGGAAAGGAAAGGUUGGAUCCCCAUCAGCACGCCACCCCCGUCCAUCACAAACAACAAAUCUAUAUCCAUUGAAGUUGCGGUUAAGCGAGCGAAUCCCGCCCGCCCCCAAUAUGAUAACUCGACAUGUGUAUUUGCCAGUAUCAACGAUCCAAUCGGCCCAACCAACGCAUUGAGCAAUCGGGCUUUCCAAGCCCAUGCUUGUCUUCAUAUAUCCUGAGUUUCAUUUGCUAUGAUGAUUCGGCUCAUGAUGCCAAAUUUUAAGAAAAUUCGCAUUUUCCCAAAAAAAAAGACAAAAUUAGAACGUUCAGCAUAGACCGGUCAAGAACAUAACCAUCGAAACUUUAUAAGUUUGAGAUGCAAGUCUUCUCCUAUAGAGGGGGGGGGGGGGAGAAAAAAGCCUUGAGUAAGUAUUUUACAUGAUAGUUAAGUAUUAACGGUGACAAGAGGGGGGGGUUUAUGUAAUUUGAGAUAAGGCGUUAGGUUUAUGUAGUUAUAAAUUCAACAUAUGAAGGAAAUAAAGGAUGUCACUAACACAAAAAGAAAAAAAAAAAAGAAAAAGAAAAGGAAGGACAACCCUAAAAGAACAGGAAAAAAAUAUGCCACAAAGAAAGGAAAGAAGAUCUUCUUGGAUUCCAUGUUAUAGAUGUCAAAAAUCGGAGUUUAUAUAACUCGAAUUUAAAAAAAAAAAAUAGUAAAGCUGCUUUGUCGGUUGUAAGAAAAAUUACCCAAUCAAUCAUAAAUUUAUUGUACAUAUACCAAUUCAAUUUUAAUUUUUUUUAAUUCCGUUGAUUUAGUCAUAAAUCCUUGCGAAAAAUUUCAAUAUCAUCAUUUCGAUCAAUUUUCGCCAUGAAUUGUUGACGUUGAGAUCCAAUCACUGUCGACCAUUUACGUGGCAUAUUGCAAUGUCAACAAUUUUCAGAGAAAAUUGAUCAGAAUGAUUAGCAAAGAUUUCAAAUUAAUUUAGUAAAAUUGAUAAGUUUAUAACCGCUUGCCUCUGUACUUGAUUGGACAAUCUCCCUGCUAAUUGUAACCCAUGGCCACUUUGUUAAAUAACGCUUGGCUUGACGUAUCACGUGGAUGAUAUACCUGUAACUCUCGCAUAUAAUACUUGCUCUUCUUCUAAUACUUACCCAGACCCAACCCAAGGGUGUCAAAUGAAACCCGGAAAACUUAUGAGGGGGGCAAAAAUAGAGCUUCCAACAAAAUUCAGGUGCAAAAAUGGAAUUUUUUAAAGAAUUGAAAAAACAAUGUGGCUCCAAUCUCUCCCUUUCUACAACCGGUAAAAAAGCAGAGCUAAGAACAUCAGUCACGCCAUAGCUGGCAUGGUUUUUCUUCGAAGAGAGCGCUUCGAGUGCCAGCUCUCUCUCUCUCUCUCUCUCUCUCUCUCUCUCUCUCUCUCUCUCUCUCUCUCGAUCAAUUCGAUUACUACACUUGCAUCAUCGAUCGAUCGAUUCAAAUCGCGUCGAACAGGUUGAGAUUCCAUGGAGCAUCGGGGGUUGGCGGAGGAGGCAGAGAAAUCUUGGUUUGCUAAGCUUGGCUCUCGAGUUUGGCGUCGACGAGCAGUCCUCCAGCAAGUGCUUGGGAUCGUCUCGUUUCGCUCUACGGUAACUUCAAUCGUUACUUUGUCGUCCAUCUUUUUUUUUUUUUUUUAUAUGCUGAUUAGCGUUUGCAGAGGUUAGGUUGUGUAGGUAUUUCCCAUCCACCACGACGAUGGUGAUGAUGGCUAGGCAAUAGUCUGCUCUAGGUUUGAAUAGAACGGAGCGGGUUUGGUGAAGUAGUCUUAUCUCUGAUGAUAACUAGGCACGCGGCUAAGUUUUUCCUGCUUAUUGACCAAAAUGCGGUAUGUGGUCAUUAGGGAAUGACAUAAUUGCUCGUGCUGCGUGGAUAAUUUGUAAAUCGAUUGAUUGCGCAUUGCUAAUAAGGAGAUUUGUUGUGGUUAGUUGCUAUUCUGAUGAUGGCUAUAGAAUAGUCUACUUUGGAUUUGAAUGGACUGGAGCUGGUUAAAUUUAGUUGACUGAGCCUUAAUCUCGUCCUUGUUUGGCAGGGUAGUCCUAUUGACUGGUGAGCUGUCUGGCUUACUUCUGAACUCACUUCGAAUUACAUAUGGUGUCUUGCAAUAAUACUAAUAUCGUGUCUCACUGAACUAAGUGCAAAUCUCAUAUUGUAGAUUGUAUUUAUAUGAUCUCUUUUUUGCCAUGGAACUUGCAAAUUCAUCUCUUUUUUCUUUUGGUUUUCUUAAGGUGACCAAGGUCGAGUGUUUAUCAUUGUGGAGCACUAUGGCUAUGACUUCCUAGUAGAACUUGCCAAAAAUAUGCAAGAUGCUGAGGAUUGGGAUGAUUUGCAAGCUCCGGAAUAAGAAGCUUGUGGAGUUUUGACUACUGUGUUUGGCCAAGACAUCCAUUAUGGCAGUGAAUGCAAUGUUAUACAUGGUGUCGACAUUAUCGAAGAUUCUCCACGACCUGAGGAAAACCAAACUUUUCUUGAGGUGGAUUCCUCUACUGAUACUUAAGACAAAGACAAUAUACUUGGCAGUUAAAUGGGUAGGAAAUCUACACGCUAUAUUCCUCACCAAAGCAGUACUAGAGCAAUUCAUCCACUCAACUCCAGGCCAGACAAUGUUUAGAAUCUAUGGUAUGCUUCUCCCAUGGACGUAGAUAAUACUGCCAAACCGCUUAAGUCAGUGUGUUGCUAUUCUUUUCUCUUAUAAUUUGUUCUCUCCUUGAUCGUUUCCAAUUUGCCUGUGAUUUUGCACACAGCAAAGGACGUCCACAAUGUACAUGCGCAAAAGCAUUUAGUAAAUUGCUUAUGGGGCCUCUUGUGACAUCCUGAAUUUCAUGUUCUGAUUUCGAUUGGAUAAGAUGGGCCUUUCGUCAACGUGACUAUAGUGUUUUUCUCUGAGUUGGCCACUCACGAGAUAACUGGCCUAUCCGGUGAAGCCAUUCAGGGAUUUUAAACGCAAUAGACUUGAGAAUUCGACCAGGAAUUGACUACUCGACCGUGCUAGUCUACAAGGGUCAUUACGGCAUUGUCAAAAUCGAUCAGAGAUCGGAGAUAGGUCGAUUUGACUGAGAUAUGUGAUCAAGUGUGGGUGAUGCCACCUGAUUGCAAAAUUCUCAUCGAUCGGCACUAAACCAAAUUUCUGUCGUUUUGGGUACCCUGUGCUCGUAUUUGAAACCUUGAGAUUUUCAUGAUCAUCGAGAGUUGCUAAUGAGUCGGAUGGGUUCAUUGUGGUUCGAAGAAAAUCGACCACGGGUCAAUUGCGCCAAAAAGUCCUAGAAACUACCCGGUAGGUAAGGUCACACUAAAAACACGUUUGAUUGAAAAUAACCGUGAAUUUGAAUUCAAUUUCAGAAAUUGGAAGUCCUGUCAUGUCACGAGUCAUUCUGGGAACGUCGACUCACCUUAUGAGGAAAUUCCGGCAAGUUCGGGAUUUUUACGGAAAACUGGAUCGGACGAUGCGGAAAACGAAUGGAGAUUCAGAUUGGCCGAUUUGAAGGGAUUUUUGACAUCUGGUGUUAGUGAAUUAGUGAUUGAAAGUUGUUUGGACUUUUUCUGAAUUCAAAUUGGAUUUCGACCGGAUUUAUUUGUUCAGAAAAUCGGAUUCCGAAAAAAAAAUGAAUUAAAAUUCGGAAUUGAAGAAAAUAGCCGUUUUGUUGCCCUAAAUUUAUUGUUCGAGGGAAAUUUGAUGCAAGAAAGCAAGUGAGGAUCAAGUACCUUAGUCUGGGAAUUUUCAGAGAUCAAAUUGGACUAAACAAAAGCAAGUGAGACCAAAUUUGAAUUAGUUUGGGAGGUUCUAUAUAAUUUUUCUUCCUCUCCUUCGGUCCCGCAGGCACUCUUUCCCUCCCUCUCUCGCACACAUUCUUCCCUAGCCGACCAUCCCCUGCGAAUUGGUCUCCAUUGCUUUUCAGUUUUGAUUUUUAGUUUGAUCUUAUCCCAUUCCCUCUCUCAUCAUUUCUCUCUCAUUCGUCUCUCUUUCUCGCAAAGCCUCUCUCGUCUCUCUCAAAGACCCACGCGAGAAGGCCCCACCACCUACCGACAACCUCUGCUUGGUCUUCAAAUGCCCCAUCUUUUUUUACUGUACACUGCAUUCUUAUCUUUCUCUCUCGUCUGUCUCGCACGAAACCCCCUGCAGUCUUCAAUUUCUUCUUUUCCUUUGACCGGUCUCCUCUUAUCACUUUCUCUAUUUUUCUUCUUCCAUACGUUGCCCACCGGAGCUUCUGCAUCUCUCUCUCCGCUCAGCCCUCAUCCCACGAAGCUGCUUCUCCACGCUGCCACUCGGCCGCAUCUGCUCUUUGUUUGGUUAAUGAAACCAGCCGCUUCACCAUCUGGUAGACUGAAGCCAGCGAAGCCGGAGCCGCACGCGUCUUCCCUAGCUCGGCGCUGCUUCCUCUCCAUCACGUGGUCUUCAGUCCACGCUCGAUCGACCUUUGCUGCUUUUGCUCGGCCCAUCACCCCACGCCCUCUGCCCCUCACGCUGAUGCUCCACUGAUCUUUGCCCCCACCAAUUAUGGCGCUAGCGAAGCUACCCAGGCCAGUCAACCCAGCAGCAAACCGAAGACCGCCCUUGCCACCGAACAGCGAGCUCCCAUCUUCGUCCGCUUCUCCUUCCCGUGAAGCAGAAUCAUCGCCCACCGAAGCCCCACGCUGCCAGCUCACGCCAUUCUCCAGCUCAGUCAACCGAAGCAGCUCUUGCGCCAUCUUCAGUCCACGUCUCCAGCGAAACCAUCUCAGCCGAAGCAAGUUUCGAAGCCCCUCUUCAAUCAGCAGCCCACAGUUUGGCCAGAGGCCCAGCCCGUGAGCAAGAAGUCCACGCAGCAAUCCAGCUCAGCCCACAAACUAAUGGAUUUCAGCCCGCGAGCUCAGCUCCAUUCAAGCCCCACGAGCCCAAAUGAAAUCAGUCCAUCAAAAGCCCAGCGAAUUUUUGAGGCCCAAGCCUGUGAAGUCAGGCCCACCGAAUCAGUGGACUUAGCCCAGCUCGAGCAGCGAGCUUGUAGCCCGAUUUCGGCCCCGGUUUGACCCCUGUUGGCGGACCCGCUUUGGACAGGAUUGACCCUUGUCGCGUGCUCGUCGAUUUGAUCCGAUCAAAUCGUUAAUCAAGUGAGUUUUACUCACUAAUGCUUUCUUAGUUUGCUAAUUAUGCCUAAGGGUUGGUUAGAUUUAAUUAAGUGCAAUUAAGUGGUUAGAUUAGGUUAGAACAAUUAAUUUAGUGACUUAAUGAUGCAUGUUAGGUGGCUAGACCUAGAUAUUAGCAAGUAGAAAUGUUCGGUUAUUUAUUGAAUGCAUAUCGGGAUUUUUCCCGACCCGUUUCGGGCUCCAAUAAGGCAAUAUGGGCAUAAAUUGGAUUUUUAUUAUUUAUUUAUUUAAUUUUCGAAAUUAAUUAUUUAAUUAAUUAUUUUUCCGGAAAUUCAACCGGGAUGGCUAGUGACCAGAAUUUCGUGCUGAUUGUCGUGGUGUAGACCGUUUAUUUAUUUGAGCCCUACGUUGUGUGGAAUUGAAUUAAUUGUGAAAUUUGAGAAUUGUCCCAAAUUGUUUGUUAUUGAGUAUAUGAUUGGUAAUGGCCGAGCAUGGAUAUAUAGCGCCAGUACGUUGAUGGGCUAUAUAGUAGGGAGAAUGAUGAGAGCUAAUUGAGAACAUUAUUGGUUGAGACCAAUCAGGUACGAUAUUAUUGGACAUACGUGGUUCGGUGAUUGGAAGUAUCACUGGUGAAAACGGCGCCUUAAAGAACGCACGUAAAUAACUUAUAGACAAACGUGGUUCGGUGAUUAUGGAAAUAUCACUGGUGAAAACGACGCCUUAAAGAACUCACGAUGUUGUUUAUAGCCGAUGUCACCUUGGCGAAAACGGCGCCCUAGAAAGGACACGUGGUUCGGUGAUCAAGGAUAUCACUGGUGAAAACGGCGCCUUAAAGAACGCACGGUGUCGGUGAUCGGUAUGUCAUUGGCGAAAACGACGCCCGAGAAACACAUGUGAUUUGGUGAAUGAGUAUGCCAUUGGGAAAUUAUGGUAUGAGUGGGAAUGACCUAGAGAUGGUCCGAUUGACAUGUAAUCGACUAAGUCGAUUGACCAGUGCUUGAUCGUAUGUCUUGAAUUGUUUGAAUACCUGUGUUUAACCUUAAACUGCAGGUUGGAACUGAGGCCAAGGUAAGUCCUCUAACUUGUGCUGUGCAUAGGCAACCUAGACGGUGUAUUGGUUUACUAAUCGAGUAUUAGGGGGUAGAGCUUGCUGAGACGUGGUCUCAUUGGUUAUUGAAUAACCAUUUCAGGUCCUUGGAUGCAGUAGACUUGGAUUUUGAAGAUCUCGAAAGUCCAGUGCAGUCUGCUGAAGGCUCCAAUUAAAGUGUAGAGGAUGAUGGAGAGGAGGACAGGGACCCGUAGUUUGUAGAACCCCACUCUUGUUUGUAGACCUUAUUUCUACACUGGCUUAAGUUGAAUUUGACUUAAUAGUUCACCUUGUAUAUAUAUGUGCAUUGGUUUGCAAUGUAUAUAUGAAUGAACGUUUUAAAGGUUUGAAAUUUAAUCCCACUGUGUUAUCCCAAUGUUUUAUUGUCUGGGGAUAAUUUAUAUGCUUCCGCAUGUGCUUAAAGAAAUGAAAGGGUCGGUGAUGCGUCCUGGGACAUCGCUAUUAAUCGACCAAGGUAAGGGAUGUGUGCGUGCCUGAGGAUCGGGGCGUGACACCUCUCAUCCAAUCAAAUGUCCAAUAGAAACUCAUAACUUUUGCCAAUCACUUCCCCAAUCUUCAAGAUCCAAAAUGAGAUAUUAGAACUCUUUAGUCAAUAAAGAAGUUGAUUUCAGUUUUGGAUGACGUACAAAUACCUAUAUUUCUCAAAUACUUUGAGAGCAUAGCAGAUCAUUAAAGUGUGGAACUUAGCAAUCUAGCAUCAUUGAUAGGAAUGUUUUGCGUAAAUGAAGGCUUGUGAUUUUUUUGUGCACAUUUUUCAUUUUCCAUGACAAUCCAUGUCAGAGACUAUUACGGUGCUAAAGAGGCUUAUUUCUGUUGAAGGACUAUAAGAGCAUUAUCACUCAAGGUUCAAUAUCGUCAGUUUUGUCAAUUUCAAAUAAAAGACAUUGCUCCUGGAUUUCAACUUCCAACCAAGGGACUCUUGAGUUAUGAGGAAUUGCAAGCCUUGGAUGACAUAGAAUUGGCAAAUGUUGUCAUAUUUGGAAACAAGGCAUUUCGAUCAAUGCAGCACCAGGCUUGUAAAGCUUGUGUAGCCAUGUCAAAUUGCUUUAUUCUUAUGCCCACUAGAGGGGGUAAACGCUUAUGUUACUAGGUUAGUGAAUGUUAACAUUGUCUUUGCUAUGUAAUGAUUGUAUGUAGAAGAAAGUGGAGAUAAUGUUUAAAGCACAACCCCCGUGCACUUUUGUCAAUGGUUCCACCAAAUAAAUGCAAAAGGGUGGACCCAUAUGUCAAAAUUUAAGCUUUAACAUGAUCUUUCUAAUAUGCUUUUUUUAGCACUGUUGAGAAGGUUGUGAACUUAAGGAUGACAAUAUUUUUCAGAUGAAUAUUAAGCAAUAGGAAGUGAUUCUGGUACAUAUCCGUGGGUUCCAAUGUAUGGCAUUGGAGAAAAUUAGAAAAAAAGAAAAUACAGGACAUUCUCGUUUUUUCUUCGCAAAUCUCUAUCUAUUGUGUAAUUUCUAGGAUUUAAAAAUCGUACUAUGCUUCUAGGACUCCUAAUCACUUGUUGGGGUAUUCAUCUUGUUUAUGCUUGUAACUGUUGUGCAAACUCCAACUUCGGUUUGAGCAUGAGUUUUCUUAGAUUUAAUUAAAUAUGAAAGGGUUUUAAUAAUAUGAGUCAGGUCGAAUAUGAGUUGAGUAGUGAUCGGGUUGGGCAUGGAUCUAUUUGGUUAUUUCAUAUGAAGAAUCACAAACGCUCUCUAGGCAUACACCACCACUAUACAAAGAGAAAAAGGCGAAGAAAGAAAGAAAGCUAUGGCAUACCAUUUUAAUUAGAACAACCAUACUCUUCGCAACCCAGGGCCACCUAAAGAUUGGCAAGAAUCAUUUGAACAGUCAAUGACGACCACAUGAGAAGGCAAAAUGGACUAGAUCCAUCUAAUUUAUCAUGAUCUUUCUUUAGUAUCUGUAAUUUUCCUAAUUAAUAAUAAUUUACUAAUUGAAGAAUUUUUUUUUCUUUUGUUCCUUAAAUUUUGUGUAUCUUAUGAUUUGGAAUAUAUCACCAAAAAAAAUUGUCUAAGUUUAUGAUAAAUUUUUUCUUAGAUUGUUAGUAAAUUACUUAAUAGAUCAUAAUUUUCCUAUGGCAUAUGUAGUUGUUUUUACUGUAGUAAUUUAUUUAUAAAAUAUCCUUGGAUAAAUUUUCUUUGGAGAGUGUAAUAUUUGUUUUUGUAGGUCAUAAAUCCUAUGAGCGCUAUGGUUCACAAUAUUCCAUAAAAAUAGUAGUCUACUUAUUAAUAGUAAACUUUUUGUGUGUACUUCAGUAAAAUACUAAAUUGAUUGUAACUUUAUUUACACUUUGUAAAGUUUUUUUUUUUAUUUUUAUGGUAAGAGUAAGCAAUAUAUUAAGAGGGGUCAAACUGUACAACCAACACGACACCAAAAACUUACACUCAAAAUGAACAUGCUUAUUAAGAGUGGAAGGAAGCCGCGGAAAGCAACAACACAACCAACAGAAAGCCAAAGGCAAACAAGCCUCGCAAAACACCCAAGCAACCACUGAAAAACCUAAGUCAGACUACGAUCAGAGGAAGCGAAGAUAAUGGGGUCCACAUCCCACGAGCGUUGCAUCCGCCUGUUCCUUGUAGAGUCCUCAACAUUCUUAAAGGUAAGGGCCUUAUCCUUGACGACCUUGAGGAGAUGCUCCUUCAUGGCCGAAAUAGAUAACGGCUCCUCCCUGAAAAGAAUAUUGUUCUUGUUCCUCCAGAUGAUGUGACACAGUGCCCCAAAGGAGAACCGGGCAACACACUUAUAAAAAUCCUUGCCGACGAGUAAGGUAGUAGCCCAACUGAGAGACUCCUCCCAAGGCCUGUUGGUCCAGGGGAGAUUGCAUCUAGUAGCCCAGAAGAAGGCAAUACUUGAGGUAAUGCGUCAACCAAAAAAGAGAUGAUUGAUAGAAUCAGGCACCUCGUUGCAAAAAGGGCAGGAAGCAGCAUCAAUCCUACCAUAAGACAUGAGAAGAGACUGAGUAGGCAACCUCCUCUUGGUGAUAAGUCACAAGUUCAAUUGGUAUUGAGGUAGGAUGGCAUUACUCCAAAUGAAACAAUGCCAAUUGACUCUAGCCUUCUUCCGCCUUAUGGCCUCCCAAGCCGAGGCCACCGAGAACAAACUGUCGAGUCCUCCCUCCAACAGAAUCGAUCUUGGGUUCCAAACAAGGAAGGAAGCGGCGAACCCCAAGACUCAAUCUCAGACCUGAUAGCUCGUCCAUCCUUAGAGAAGAGGUCGGCAACCAAAGCCUACCUAGAGAGACCGGAGCUAUAGAUUUAGGGAUUUGUGAAAUAUAAAUUCAAAAGACCCCUGGGAUGCCAAUUAUCGAACCAGAGCGACGUUGAUAAGCCAUCGCCCAAUCUCCAGUGGAAGCGAAGCUGGCAAUCUGUCCUAAGUUGUAGAAUUUUUUUCCAUGCCUAAGAAUAACAGGUUGGCUUCUUAACUACCUAGAAGUUCUUGGUUUUUAAGAAGAUCGAGUGGACCCACUUAGACCAUAACGACUCCUUAUUUGCAAAUAAAUUCCAUAUAUGUUUGAGCAUAGCCGCCUUAUUACACUCACGCAAUCUCCGGAUACCAAGACCUCCCUCUACUUUAGGAAGGCAAACAUCUUCCCAUGAGACUUUGGCAGCCCCCUACCCAACUCAGGUCCCUUCCAAAGGAAUUGUCUGAGAAUACGCUCUAUCUGGUCCAGUACAGUUGCAGGAAGAAUAAAGACACUUGCCUAGAAAGCCUGAAUGGCAUGGAGGACUGACUUGAUUAGCUGAAGUCGGCCAGCAAAAGAAAGAAACCAACGAGUCCAAGACUGUACCUUAGAGGUGAUGCGCCUCACAAGCUCAACACAAUCUGCCUUCCCGAGCCUCGAUGUGAUGAUUGGGACUGUGAUGAUUGGGACCCCAAGAUAUCGGACUGGAAGGUUACCCUCAACAAAGCCAAGCUCCAGGAGGAUUUGAUUUCUUAAGGCUGGCAGGCCUCCCGAGAGGAACACCUCGCUUUUCCUUGGGUUUGGGAGAAGUCUACUCCAAGAAGAAAACAUACGGAGACCAUCCCUGAAAAGCUUCACGGAUGGCAAGUGGCCCUCACAAAAUAGGAAAACAUCAUCCGCGAAGAACAAGUGCGAUAGGCAAGUAGACCUACAUCUCCAAUAGAAUCUGAAAUCCGGCUGUAGCGAGCACCUCCCAAGAAUUCUAGAGAGCACCUCCAUAACCAACGUGAAUAAGUAGAGAGAGAUGGGGUCUCCCUGACGUAGGCCACGCCCACUAGGGAAGAAACCAUGUACUCCCCAUUCAAAGCGAUGGAAAACCAAGGAGUCCUCACACAGGUCAUGAUGAGGUGAACCAAUCGAUGAGGAAAUCGAAAGGCAAGUAGUACACUCUCGAGAAACCGCCAGUCCACGGUAUCAUAUGCCUUUCUGAAGUCAACUUUAAUAGCACACUUGGGAGAAUAGGGUUCGACAUGGAACCCAGAGAAAAGUUCCUGCACCAAGAGAAUAUUAUCCCUAAUUCGUCAUCCCUUCAUGAAGGCACUUUGAGACGGAUUGACAAGGUCUUUUAGCACGGCUGCAACCCUAUUCGCCAACACUUUGGUAAUAAUCUUGUAGACCGUGUUGCAACAAGCAAUAGGCCUGUAGUCAUCAAUAGUAGUUGCAUUGGGAAUCUUCGAAACCAUGACCAAGAUGGUGUUAUUGAUUUCCUUAAGAAGUCUCCCCGAGGUGAAAAAGUCCUUCAUGGCUUCUGUGACCAGCUGACCCACUGUAUCCCAAUUCUCCUUGAAGAACUCAACCGUGAAGCCAUCCGGACUUGGUGCCUUACCUCUGGCAAGGGAAAAAAGAGUAUCUUGAAUCUCAAGAUCAGCCAUAGGGCGAGCAAGAAAAGUAAUCUGAUCAUCAUUCAACUGAGUGCGAAUAAUUUCCCGAAUCUCCGAUACCUGAGGGGUGUCCAGCUCCAUCCUUGGCAUAAGGAGAUCAUGAAAAUGCUCCACAAAAUGCUGUUGGACCAAUUGAGGCUCAGUAAUUUGGUUACCUGAGGAAUCCACAACAGAGAGAAUUAUGUUUCUCAGAUGUCUCUUACUAACAUACUGGUGAAAGAACUUUGUGUUCCGGUCACCUUCCUUGAGCCAUCUUAUACAAGCUUUCUGUCUAAAGAAUUACUCUUCCUGAGACCUAAGCUCCACUAAAGUAUGCCGUUGAACUCUCUCCAGGUCCAUGAGGACCAUGCUGGUAGGGUCAUUGAGGAGGCCCACUUGAGUUUGCUUUAAGGCUUCCCUCGCUUUAGCAGUCCUUACAAAGAUGUUGGCAAAGGAAUCUCUAUUUAACUGCUUGAGCCAACCCUUCAAGAUAUUUAGUUUGUGCACCAGCCUAAACUUGCUUCACAAUUGAGUCGAAAUCUGAGUGCUACAUCUAGAAGUUGAAGAACUUGAACGGCCUUUUCCGAAGGAUCGGGUUCUCCACCUUUACACCAUAGGUAAGUGGUCGAAAAUCCCAGGCACAAGGAAAGAUGCUUCCGAAAAGGAAAAAACCUGACUCCAACAAGGGUUUACGAAGACUCUAUCAAUCUUUCUCAUCUUCCGAGAGGGCCCUGAAGAGGUCGACCAAGUGUAUCGAAACCCCACAUACCAAAGGUCAUCCAGCUCCGCUUGAUCCAGACACUGCUGAAAUUCAUCAAAGCACGGUAACCAAAGGUCCGAGCCACCCAAUCUGUUCGAGGGAUCCUUUAUAGCAUUAAAGUCUCCCAAAACAAGCCAAGGCACGUCCUGUAGAGAAUAGCUUCUCGCCACCAAAUCCUCCCAAAGAGGUCAACGAGUAGAAAAAGAAUGCUCAACAUAAAUAAUAGAGAUAUAGCAGGCCACUCCGGUCUCCAACCAGCAAAGCUUCCCAAGAAUCAUCUGAUCCGAGACCGAUAAAACUUCAAAGGAAACCACAGUAGGAUCCCAACCAACCCAAAUCCUACCCCGAUUAAAGUACUCAGAAUUAGCCUGCCAGCACCAAUUCGAAAUUAAGUUCCCGGAAAUGGCAUUGAAGAGGUUAUGAGGAAUUUUAGUCCCAACUACCCCGAUCAAAGCCAACCGGUUCGUCAAGGCAAAGUUCCUCACUUCCGCUUGCUUGAGAGGGGCACCAAGCCCCCUAAUAUUCCAGCAACCUAUAUACAUAUAUAUACAAAAGAAGAGGGCAAAAGCAUUACCUCCUUUUAGAGGAACUACGCCUAGUAGUAGGCGGAGCUGUCCGGAUCGUCGAAGGAGGAGGAUCCGGGGCAAGAGCAAGUAGGUUGUCCUGUAUAGUCGAAGGAGGAUGCUCCGGCGUCUCAGUAGGCCUCUCCUCCUCUACAGAUGCCUUUGGUGAAGUGUAAAGGGAGAGGAGGUCAUCCUCCGACAAAGAGAUGUCUAUGCCCCCCUACAACCUCCAGGUGGGGCACCGCAGUGUCUACCGGCACUGAAGUGGUGAUAGCUUUAGCCAAAGUAGUUGGAACAGCAUCACCCUGCUCCGAGAUAAUCAAAGGCCCCCUAGGGGGCCUACGUAAAUAAGUACCAGGCAGCCUCUUCUCCACAGCCACAGUCUUGAGAUUUAAAGACCUCUCUCCUUCGCUCAGACUGCCCGGAUUGGGUGAAAUCCGCUCCAAAGGUUGAGCCUUGUUCUUCUUGCUCUUCACUUGCUUCCAGCCUUGCUCUGGGUCUUCAGGAAUCUCAGAGGGUUGGUCAAGGGGGCGAGCAGUGUCCAAAGGAGCAGGAAGAGGCCGAAGAGGGGGAGGGGCAACAUCACAUUUAUGUCCAAGACCCCACACUUAGAGCAUUCAAGGGGCCUCCAUUCAUAGUCCACAAUAAUGAACCUAGUGACCCCAUCAACAUUCGCUUCAACCGUUGAAACUCUCGGCUGAUUAGCUUGGAUCUCCACGUAUACUCUGGCAAAGGAAAUCAUCAUCAUGCCCUCGGUUCAUUGAUCCACGUGAAGGGGUUUGCCAACGGAGCUGGCUAUAACACUAAUUGUCGGUGCGGACCACAAGUCGAGGGGAAGGUUCUUGAGUCUUAUCCACACCAGAACAGAGGUUUGCUUAGCCUUCUUCAACUCCAUAAGGGGUUUCCAUUGUUGUAAAAUAAGGGAAAUCCGAGUAACAGUGAUCGGUCCCUCCUCUAGGAUCUUCCUCUUGAACUCCGGAUCUGGGAUAUGAAAAUAGUAGAACCCAUGGUCAUCCGCCAGCAUAUCAACUAGCUUUGUCCCUCAAGUAUUCUUCAAAGUCUGUUCUAUCAUCUGAAAAAGGGAGCUUUCUCCCAACAAAAUAUCCUACCAAGAACUCCUUCCAUUUGGGAUCUGCAGCCUGCAACGCUUCUCCCGACAGAUUUACAACUGCUUUAUCCCCCACAACAGCAGCAGGAGGAAUAUAGGAAAGCUCGUAGCCCUUUGUGGCCAACCGUGCCACAUUGGCCCACAAACCGGCUUGGAGGGGCCUUGAUGAGCUUGCUAGCUUGCUCGGGGCCCUCUUAGUAGGAGCCUGAACUUGACUUCAACCCCGAGAACUGCCUUCCCGAAGAGGCCGAGAGAUCGGCCCACGUCUCGAGCCAUCCCUGCCACAGAAGACCCUCCUACGGGUUGGGAUUGCUGGCACGACUUGCUAGCUUGCCGGUCCACAAACUUGUGAGAAGGGGAGCUCGGCCCCUUACCCCCACUACCACCUAGCCGAGGUUCUGCUGAAGUAGAGGCCAUCGAGCCACUAAGAAAUCAACAAAACUCAACAGCCAAAAAGGAGCUCCAUACUAGGCCAAGCUUCAAAGAGGAGGGAUACUCUGGACCACCCCCGCCGCCUCAAACCAAAGUCAAGCAAGCCACAAUCCCAAGCAACUCCCGCAAGUCUCGAACCAGGGCCGAGUAGGACUCCAGCAAGCGACAACCGACCAAAGCUUAGACGAGUCCGAGCGUGAGCAGCUCCCACAAAGACUACGAACUAGAGCCGUUCCAAUCCAGAGCCGAGACGGGUCCGAGCAUGAGCCGAGAGGGACCCCCCAGUCGUCCCGAGCCAGAGCUGAGACGGGUCCGAGCGUGAGCAGCUCCAGCAAAGACUGUCGAACCAGAGCCGAGGAGGAGCUCCAGCUCGUGACAGUCAAAACAGAGUCGAGGAGGGUAGCAGGAAACUCAUCUCGAGGGAGAAAAUGAGCUGAUCCACUCACCGGGAAGAUGGAGGAAGGAGAGGGGAAGAAAACCCCCAAAAAUCGGAGCAAGAGGGAGGCCGAAUCGUCCAGGCCGAGCAGGGAACCAGUCGGCGUGAACAGUGCACGAUCGCCUGCCUUGAGAAAGGAGAUGAACAGUAACGCGAGAAACAGAUAACCCCCCACUAAGUCUACACUUUGUAAAGUUUUGCAACCUAUUUGUUAGUAAUUUUCUUUAUUUUCUCAUAAUGUUUCUCAUGUAGAUAUAUUUGAUCACAUUUGCAUCCAUAACUUUUCUUUAAUGUCUGAAAGUUACAAUAGAAAAUUGAAUUUGCAAAACAGGUUUGACGGAUUGCGUUUUUACGCCCUUUAUCCAACUAUCCACAUUAAAUGUAGGAUUGAUCCCAUAAAAGAGAGUUUUAAAUUAUGAAAUGUCCAUUACAAUCAUGAUGUUUUGAGCACGAUAGAGUAGUUUUGUUUUUUUUUUUGCCAAACAAUAAAGUAUUGUUGGAAACUCUAUUUUUCCAAAAUUUUUAAAAUCAUCCUAUUGAAAUAUGUAUAUUAAUAUAUAUAAAGGUAAAAAUGUAAAUUAAAGAAAAAAGCUAUUACUUUGCUGAUUGUUUGUUUAGUAGAUAAAUAGAAUCAGAAAAGAAAUUUGAGAUCCGUCUUGGAAAUUUGAAACUUCUAAUACCACAUGCAAGUGUCACGGGCCUAAAGAGAGUCGACCCGAGAAGUUCCCCAGAGUCGACCCCGACUCGCCCAUGGACCUCCUGCUUUCACUCGGAUUCCCACCAAGGCUUCUCUCCGAAGUUUCCAUGGGCGGGCGACACCGUCAUUUUGCCUGAUUCCAGAAGUUUCCUUUCAUUGAUGUCGGUAGACGGUAGUUAAGUAUUUAUGGCGGUUGUUGAGGUGGUGCGAUCUGGCCCGUCGAAUGAAAAGUAGAUCAAUGGAUGUAAUCUGAGGCCCUCAACUAUAAAAGGGGUGUCCUCCUUCAGUUGUAAUCAAUCCAUUCCAUUUCAGAAAUAUCAAAGCUUUCCUUUCCUUUCAGAGCUCCUCUUUCUAACUUUCUCUCUCAACGAUCUGAGUAAGCGAGCGGGUAAGCAUUCGAUCGAGCAAGGCUUGGCUUGGGUAAUCCAGAGUUGCCCGAGUCACCACACGGUCACGAUCCCAAUCGAUCGGCCCGUGACACAAGUCUCAUGUCUGCAUAGGGAGCCUUCACACCAAAUGAACCCAAGGGGGUUGAAUGAAACCAAAAAAACGUAGAAGAGGUGGAGAAAAAUAGAACUUAAACAAACUUCAGGGGAGGAAACAGAAUUGUCAAAAAAAAAAAAAGAACUGAAAGAUAUGGCUCCGAUCUUCCCUGUUCUCCGGUGUAUAAAAAUGGAAAAUGAAAAACAUCAAUCCCGCCAUCGCUGGGAAGGUUCUCGAACAAGAGCACUUCGAGCUCGCUCGAAUUCGAUUCAAGACUACGGAUCGAUUCGAUUCGAUUCCAACUCAGCCACCGUCAAUCGAUCGAAUCGCUCGAACAGGUUGAACAUUCCUUGGAGGGAGCAGGGCUUAGAGGUAGAGAAAGCUCCGCUGCUGAGCUCAGCUCUCGAGUUCGGCUUCGACGAGCAGUCCACCAGCAAGUGCUCGGACCAUCUCGUUUCGCUCCACGGCAACUCGAAUCGUUAUUGCGUCUCGCGUUUUUUGUUGCUAAUGAGCGUUUUCGGAGAUUGCGUAGGUAGCUCUCAUCCCCACGAUGAUGAUGAUGAUGAUGAUGGCUGUGGAAUCGUCUUGCUUUAGGUUUGAAUGCAUCGGAGCGGGUUUAGCGAAGUAGCAGUCCUACUGACGAGCGAAAUGUCCGGCACUGGUCCAGCUUGAUGUGCUUAGGUUACUUCAGAUGGACGGCGGUUUUUUCUUGACUAUCGGCCCAAAUUGCGUGAUAUCUAGUCAUCAAGGAAUGACUUUGAUUGCUUGUGUUGCGCGGAUAAUUUGUGCAUUUGAUUGAAUGUGCAUUUUCUUAAUUAAGGAGAUUCAUUGCGUUUAGUCAUUCUGACGAUGGCUAUGGAAUAAUAGUCUACUUUGGAUUUGAAUGGACUGGAGUUUGCUUUGUUGAGCGUUAAUCUCAUCCCCUGUUUCUUUGUGGGUUUGGCGGAGUAGUCCUAUUGACAAGCGAACCAUCUGGCUUUUUUCUAAAUUCACUGCAAAUUGCUUAUGGGUGUCUUGCCAUAAUACCAAUAUUGUGUCGCACUGAACUAAGUGUAGAAUACUUAUUGUAGAUAGUAUUUAUUUGAUCUCUUGUUCGCCAUGGCUCUUGCAAAAUCAUCUCUUUUCUUCUUUUGGUUCUGUUAAGGUGACGAAGGUCAAGAGUUUAUCACUGUGGCAAUAUCUUCCUAGCAAAACUUGUCGAAACCAUGCAAGACUCUGAGGAUUGGGAUGAUUUGCAAGCUGCGGAAUCAGAAGCUUGUGGAGUUUUGACUGAUAUGUUUGGCUAAGAUAUCUGUAAUGACGGUGACUGCAAUGUUAUACAAGACGUCAAUAUUAUAGAAGAUUCUCCACAACCUGUGAAAAAUCAAACUUUCCUUGAGGUGGAUUCCUCUACUAACAGUGAAUACGAAGAUGAUGUUUUGGGUAGUAAAGUUGGUAGGAAAUCCACGUGCUAUGUUCCUAACCAGAGCAAAACUCUCAAAUUGUGGCCAGAUGAUCUUUAGAAUCCAUGGUAUGCUUCUUCCAUGGACAUAGACAAUGCUGCCAAACCACUUAAAUCAGUGUUUCACUGUUCUUUUCUCUUAUAAUUUUUUCUCUGCUUGAUCGUUUCCAAUUUGCUUGUGAUUCUGGACGCAGCACAGGACCUACGCAAUGUACAUGUCCGAAAGCAUUUAGUAAAUUGCUUAUGGGGCCUUUCAUCCAAUCAAAUGUCCAAUAGACAGUCAUAACUUUUGCCAAUUACUUCCACACUCUUCAAGAUCCAAAAUGACAUAUUAGAACACUUUGGUGAAUAAAGAAGUUGAUUUCAGUUUGGAUGAUUUACAAAUUCCUAUAUUUCUCAAAUACUUUUGAGUGUAUAGCAGAUCAUCAACGUGUGGAUUAGCAAUCCAGCAUCAUUAAAAGUAAUGUUUUGCAUAAACGAAAGCUUGUGAUUUAUCCUAAGCAUUGUGACUGUCAAAUUAAUGAUCUCCGCUUCUGCUUUGCCUGCCUUUUCAAAAAAGAUAGACCAUUGUGCAAGCUGUUGUAUGUAACUCCUGAAAGUAUUGUGGGAAACCCAUCAUUUCUUGAGAUAUUGACAUAGAAAGGCAUUGUUUCUGAUGCAUCAUAACUUUUUCUAAAAGGUUCUUUGCGAAUAUUUUAUAUUUGACCAUCAUGCAUUGCAGGCACUACUAGCUGGUUUUGUUACUAAUGAGGCACAUUGCGUGAGGUAUGUGUAAUCUUUGGCAUGCCUUGUACAUGAAGAAAGAUCAUGCUAGAAUUACUUCAAAAGGAAUAAUUAUUUGUGAUGUCAUUGUAAAACUGUUGUCCUUGUUCCAGAUAAAUAUAAGCAAGUUAACUUUUAUGUAUGCUAACCUAAACUCUUUUUCCAAACUUUUUUGCAUUUUUCUAUGUUACUAGCCUAAUUGAAUUAUCAAUGUUACACUAGACCUACUAAAGCCCAGAACCCUGUGAAAUUCUAAUAUAACAGAAUUCAGUGUUCCAUGUUUGAUGAAAAGAUUUAGGUUCCAUUGUUUGAGUACACUUAGCAGCACAUUGUUCAUUAUAUUGAGUAAAGAGCACACAACUUAAAUAAGCUCCAAUGGAAAUUACUUCCUAGACUAAUUGGAAUCGGCAUAAGCUUGGAUAAGGAUCCAUUAUCCUCUCUAUAUUUGGCACGAUACUUAGUCUCUUAAGCUGGUUCUUGUGUCCCUGUUUAUUCUAUUAACGCUUAUACUUAACGUUAACAACUUGAGAAAGGCAAAGGUUCAACCAUGUGAUCAUUGAUUGUGUUUCUUACAAGGUUUUAAAUGGAUUUGCUCUGCCAGUUUGAUCUCAUGAAAGGAACGUACUGUUGGUUUGAGCUUUUCUUGUACAUUUGACUGAUUAACGUUGAAAGCUCAUUGGUUGUCACUUUUGUGGUUGUCAUUAUUGUAGUCUAUGGGGACAGUUAGUCCAGAUUACAGGUGUCACGCCCCGAUCCUCGGGCACGCACACAUCCUUCUCACUUGGUCGAUUUUAUACUGCGAUAUCCCAAGACAAUGUAUCGCCGACCCUUUCAUAUUUAAGCACAUGCGGAAGCAAUUACAAAUCCCCAGACAAUAAAACAAUGGGAUAGAAAAGCAGGCUAUAUUUUUCAUAUUGAAAUUUAUAACCAAACCUUUAUACAUAGCAUUAGACAGAGCACUUCACAAACUAUUCGCAACUUUAGUCUCACUCUAUCUACACAUAUACAAAAGGGUUCACAAAGAGAUGAGAUUUCAAUCCUUGUCUAAGUCAUACUCGAGAUCAUCCUGAUCCUCCUCUGAUUCCUCUUCACUCAGAUCAUUCUCUUCCUCAAUUUCACCUGCGAGUUCUCCUUCACAAAUUCCUCCUCCUCAGCUCCUCGUCGGGAUCCUGAAAUGUUUUCCCCAAACUGGGAUGAGACUACGUCUCAGCGAGUUCUACCCCACUAAGCCCGAUUAGUAAACUAUUAUACUAAAGGCUGCCUAAACACGCAUAGCUCAGAAGACGUACCUUAGCAUCAGAUCCCACCUGCAAGUCAGUACAAUUUACAAUAGACACUCAAGCAAUCAUAUCACCGAUCGAAGCAUCGAUCAAAUCGACCUAGUCGAUUACAAGCCAACAAGACCACUCACGGUCAUUUCCAUUCAGUCAAUCAAUUCACAACAUCAAAUCAAAACAAUUAUCAAUCGACCUCGUCGAUUACAUGUUAGAACACAGACAUUCUGGGUCAAUUCGAUUAUUCCAUCUCAAUCAUUAAUUACGAACUACGAUCCUCAUAUCACAUCUUAAGCAAAGGUGGAAGACACAGUCCCACUCGACAACAUUCAAUAUUUAUUGGCUUUACGGUCCCACUCGACCACUUUCGAUAAUCGAUACACAGAGAUACGGCCACGUAGGCACAAUCUACGCCACACAGGCAUGAUCAACUAUCGCCACACAGGCAUGAUCACUUAUUGCCACACAGGCAUGAUCAACUAUCGCCACACACAGGCAUGAUCACUUAUUGCCACACAGGCAUGAUCAACUAUCGCCACACACAGGCAUGAUCACUUAUCGCCACACAGGCAUGAUCAACUAUCGCCACACAGGCAUGAUCACUUAUUGCCACACAGGCAUGAUCAACUAUCAACAAUUUACGAGCAUUCUCUAAGGCAACUUCUUCGCCAAGAUGACAUAAUCAACCACUGAAUACACGUGCAUUCUCCAGGUGAUAUUCCGAUUCACCGAGCCCACGAAUUUCCUUUCAGGUGAUAACCAAUACCCAACGAUUUCUCAAUCAAAUAAUUAAAUCAACUCAACAAGCAUUAUAACCGCUGAAUAACAUACUUGGCCAUUUACCAAUCAACAAUUCAAUCUCAAUCAAUUUCAAUCAAUUUAGGGUAAAUCCCUAAAAUAUCACAAUUUAUUCAAUUCCAUACAACGUGGAGCUCAAAUGAAUAAACGGACUGCGCCACGACGAUCAGCACGAGAUUUCGGUCGUCGGCCAUCAAAAUCUUAAUUUCCGAAAAAUAAAUAAAUAAUUUAUUAAUUUCGAAAAUUACAUAAUUAAUAUUAAAAAUUCAAUUUAGCUCAAAAUCAAGCCCGAUUAAAUAAACGGACUUCACCACGGUCAUCAGCACAAUAUUCCGGUUCCAGGCCAUCUCAGUUGAAUUUUCGGAAAAUAAAUAAUUAUUUAAUUUAAUUCCGAAAAUUAAUAUUUAAAUACUAAAAAAAUCCACUUAGGCCCGAAAAAGCCUAAUUGGAGCCCACUAAGGGUCGGGAAAAAUCCCGAGACACUUCCAAUAAUUAGUAGACCACGUCUACUUGCUAAUUGCACGAUCAAUUUAUCUAAAUCGCAUCACAAUUGACUAAUAAUUGCUAAUUUAUUCUAAUCUAACAACCUAAACAUAAUUAAUUAAAACUUAACCAACCUUAAGCAUAAUUAGCCAACUAAUCCUGGAUUAGUGAGAUUACUCACCAAAUCGCGCACAAAUCGGAUCAAUCCGACGGCGGCGACGCGAGGAACGAAACUUCCCAAAGCACGGCUCGGGUUCGGGGCCCGGAAACGGCCCAAAAGCGGGCCCGAAGUCGCUGAAACCCACUCCGCAACUUGCUGGGUUGCUGCAAAACAGAGGGGAAAAAGAGAGGGUUGGGGGCGGUAAGAGGUCGGGAGAGCGGGCGGUGCUCCGGGGAGGGCCGGUGGAGGUCCGGCGGCUUCAAUCGGCAGCCGGAGGUGGCCGGACGGGGUGGAACGAAGGUUGAGCAGAGGCUGAACCGUGCGGGGGAGCACGCCUGGGCGCGAAGGACGGCCGGCGGAACACGCGGUGUCGCGCGGGUGGUGCGGACGGCGGCCCGGCGGCGAGCGACGGCUUCAGCAAGCGGCUGCUCCUGCUCUUCUUCGGCUUCUGGUUCGCUCGCACGAAGAAGAAAGAAGAAGAGAGAGUGACGAGAGAGAGAGAGAGAGCGAGAGAGGAUGAGGAUUGACCGGUCAAAAUGAAAAGAGAGAGAGAAGUCGGUGGGGGAAAGCUGUCCGCACGAAGGGGGAGGGGAGAGGAGAGAGAAGAGAGAGAAAAGAAAGAGAGAAAAGGGAGAGAGAGAAAAAGAAAAAGAAUAAUACUAUUCUAAAUUUUCUUUUCUCUUUCCAUUUCCUUUUCUAAUUUCUUCCGGUCUUCGAUUUUUCCUUCGAUAAUUUCUUUCUUGAAAUUUCGGACUCGUCAAUAAAUUGAUAGACGAUGAGACGGUCCUAAAAAUGAAUUGUGACACGCUCGAAUAUUCAAUUCCCGAAACCAAUUUAAAUUCCAUGGUUAAAAUCGACCGGACGUGAUUUUAGUCCAAUCCAACCAAUUAGGUAGCUUUUAGGGAUUUUACCAUGGAUAUAUCCCUUAACAACUUCACCCAAUAGGUUAGUUAACUCGUGAGUGAUCAGCUCAGAGAAAAAGAACCAUAGGCACGUCGACGAAAUGCACAUUUCAUUUUAUCGAAACGAGGUCGAAUUUCAGGAUGUCACAACUCUUCCCCUCUUAUAAAAAUUUCGUCCUCGAAAUUUAAACCAUUAUACACUUUGCUCAAAAAGGCGGGGGUACAAUUGUCUCAUCGACUCUUCAGUCUCCCAAGUCGCUCCUUUAGUACUGUGGUGUUGUCAGACCACUUUGACCAACGGAAUGGUCUUUGUACGCAGAACUUGCUCUUUGCGAUCGACAAUCUGAACUGGGCUUUGCACGUAUGACACACGGUCAUCCACGUCCAAUUCAUAGCUAAGACCAAGNNNNNNNNNNNNNNNNNNNNNNNNNNNNNNNNNNNNNNNNNNNNNNNNNNNNNNNNNNNNNNNNNNNNNNNNNNNNNNNNNNNNNNNNNNNNNNNNNNNNNNNNNNNNNNNNNNNNNNNNNNNNNNNNNUCAUGCUGGAUUAGUAGCCCGUCAAAGAGUAGCUGUUCAAAAGAAAUGGCAUACUAGAGAAGUCCAGAUUGUAUGUGCUACCAUUGUCUUUGGGAUGGAAAUAGACAAACCUGAUUUCGGAAGUCAAAAUGGACUUUGGCUUUGUCUAUUUCUUACAUUUUAGAAGUCGAUAAAGGUGUCGCGGUGGAAUGACCCCGAGACGCAGAGGAAGAGGAGGCUGGCCAGAUCCAAGCUUUAUUCGGUCCAGGGCAAGUUCAAGGCUUGUAUCAAACGAGGGUUCUGAUAGUUGAAGCACAAAUGCUCGAACAUCGUGCGUCAAUUUUAAUAUGUAGAAAUUACGGAAUCUCAUGCUCAUCGUAAUCAAGGGAGAAAAGGGUGGGAUCAGUUGAGAGGAAACAGAGAGGUUUCGUUUGUUUAUCGGGUUUUCAUCUUGAUAUGCAUCUAAUGGUAAUUAAGUAUUCAGAAGAGUGCCACAAUGUUUGAUCUUUCCUAUAUUAUGUUUGUUUAAAUCGUUCAUCGAUCUCCAGCAUUCCAAAAAUAGGAAAAUGAGACAACUCAUAUUUGAUAUUCAUAAAUAUGUAUAUUUGCUGAAAGUUUUCUAUUUUCUCCAAAUUUCCUUACCUUUUAAUUUAUCUGCAACAUGAUUCUGCAUACAUUGCAUUCCCAUGCAAAGUGAAAAUUGUCUGACCUACUAAUUUCUUCUCUUUUCCAUAAGCUGUUUGCUCAACAACAAGAUGCUGAUUGCAAAAUAAGAAGACUGCUUUCAUUGGUAGGAUUUGACGUUUAGCUCUACUUCGUGGUCGAUUUCUUUGUUUAAAACUUCUCUUUUUUUUUGGCUAAAUGUUGCUUAAGCCUCCGUUUUUGGGUUCUUUAACUCCCUAAUUUCCUCAAUUUGUCUAUUUCAAUUCCUCUACGUUAUAUGAUUCAUCAUAUGACAAACUCCCGAAGCUAUAUAUCCAAACAUGCAGUUCGCAGGUGUUCAAUAAAUUGAAAGGCCUUUAACAUUUCCGUUCUGAUUUGAGUCACAACUUUCAUAAUUCUCGAGCUAUUCCAUCAAGCCUGGAGUGUAAAAAAAUUCAGGAGAGCCAAAGAACCUUCUCUUGUCCUUUCGAAACUUUUGUUGUUAUUGUUUUUUAAUAAGACCUCAAUGUAAUAUGGGAUGGAGCUAUCGUAAACAAGCUUAAACCAAAUCAUUAGCAUGUAACCAAAAUAAAAGAGGAAAAUGGGAGAAACCCAUGAUCAGCACCAAAUGGUUCGAUCGGUUUAAUACAUUCAUCUAAUCAUUUGAUUGACUCACGUUCCAACUUCAAAUCACUUCGAUCGAUAAGGUCAUGACUAAUGUUGUAUAAGUAGUCAAACACAAGGCCAUUGCCCUUUGAAUUAAAUGCCUAGGCACUGGUUGAGCAAUUAAAUAGUAAAUUAUACAGUCAAUCGUUGACUUUAUUUGCGACUCUUCUGGUGUUAUAUUUAAUUAAUAUUUUGCAAAUUAGAUUAUUUCAUGUCCGGUAUGUUUAACUAGUGUUUUGACUCUUUAACGUGGCCUGCAUUUUAUGUGAGUUAGUACUUAAAGAUUCAAACUUAGCUUAACAAGUUACUCGGCCUUGUCUUCAGGUCCGUAAAGUAUUGACUUAAAUUUCAGCUAAACAACGAGCGAAUCAGACACUAUGAUGCGAGUAGCUUUAACUACUAAAGUUCCACUAUUGUAAUAUAGUACGAUAAAGAGGAACAUCUGAGAGUGGCUCCAAAUAAAUUGCUUCGAUUGAAACUCGAAUGCAUGACCAAUGACCACAAUUUGGUGUAGUAUAGUUCAAGUACUAACCAAUUAGAUGACCCCUUACAGUGUUUUUGUCCAAAGCAAAUCAGUAUAAAUAUUGGGAGGGACUACUUUCACCAUUCCAAAGAUUAUUCUUGACAUUUUUAUCUAUCUUCAACUGUGGCCAACGCCAAAGAAAAUUUGGUUCCAGGUGUGGAAAAUGUAUGGCCAUGUCUACUCUGCUUUAUGGAUUCAUGCUUAAAGGAAUCAAGUUUGAGAUUAUACACUUAAAAGUGAUUGCAAAAUGCCAAUACAUGAACUUCCCGAGUCCGAGAAAUGAUCGUACACUGACGAACACUUUUAUUUCAUGCUCAAAAUUCUUCCAAAUGAGAAACUACUGUCUUUUGGGAAUCUUUUCGCUGAAAAUCUGGCCUGCAAUUGAUAGAUUAUUUGCUGAUUCCAUGACAUUCGCUUUUUCCAUGAAGAAGUAUCUCACAUUGACAAAUUCGUAGCUUGAAGUGGACAUCUAAAUGGUAAUCUUUCUGAUAAACCUCACUUUAUGCUAAAUUUACAUACAGAACCACCUGUGCAUAUGCGGUCUUCUUGCAAGCAUUUUGAAAUUUGGCGUUUGCUAAAAAAUAGCACAAUUUCAAAGCUUGCAAAGAACUACUACACGUUAUAAGAGAUCCCUUUAUAUCAUGAAUCCUAUGAAGAAUAUCAACAACAUGGAGUACAUUAUAAGCACCAAUAGCGAAGAACUUUUGAACGCCUUUCCAUAACGUCUCAUGACAUAUCUCAUUCCUGCCCACAUCUCCUUCCUGUGAUGUUUCGGGAUGCUAUCUGAAUUUUAUGAAACGCAAGUUGAAUCUACACAAGAAGGCUAUGAUUUACUAAUUAUCAAUGAAUGAAGAUAACCAAGAUCAGACCCACCCUGCGGUGGAAGCGUUGGUUUGCGCCCUGCCCCCUCAUUCGGGUGGGAAGGGGUUUGAAACUUCGUGCCCCCAUUGCGCGACUAAAGUGGAGUGCUGUGGGAGGUGGGUCCCUGCGCUAGUGCUCCCCCUGGUUUAUGCUGCCGGCUGCCGGUUGUACGGUGAUUCUAGGGUCAUCAAAAAAAGAAAAAAAGAAAAGAAAAGAUAACCAAGAUCGGAGCAUCACAGUAUACACCAUGAAAGAUAAGGUACAAAUGCACAAAGCAUCAUUUGGCCCAAUAGCAGUUGGACAGCAAUGAACAGAAACCUCAUCAGCUGGCCAAUGAAAAAGAAAACAACAGGCUUAGGAGAUGAAAGCAAUUAGCAACACUUUCCUUGUUUGUGGUUAGGAACAUAAUUGGUGUUAAUAAAUUAUGCUGAAAAGAUGAAGUGCCUAAACUGCAGAACAGAAAGAUGAACUCAUUACUUGGUUAUUUCGCAAUAUCCCAUUAACAAAAUUAGCAGUACAAGAUAAUUUGCUAGGAGAUGAAUUUCAACUUUACAAAGUCGACGUGGUAUGAGAACUGAACUUAUCAAAUUGAAAAAAAAAUCAGAAUCCCAUCUGACAACCUUCAAAGGAUAAUAUCGCAUUGAUAAGAUGGAGGAGAUUGUCCUCAUGCAUACUUGCUUACUAAUUUUCAGGUGAAAUUCCACAGCUCAUAUAGUAUAAGCACAUAGGUUAUUUUUUCAUUGUUAUGGUACAACUAGUAGUGCAUACCUCCCUCUGCAGAGCCUCAUUGAGUUCAGGUGUGAUAACAUUAGAAUGCAAUGGCAUCAAACACCUUUGCAUUAGGGAGAUAUACAAAAGAAUCAGCAGCUACACAUUUGAUUGACAGAGAGGCUGAACCUCGUGAGCAUACAAAAAGCAGACUCAACUGAAAAUACAAAAUUUAAAUCAUUCAGGCAUGUGCUGUUGAGAUCAGAUAAAGUGUUUUGGAUCCUCACAAGCAUCAAAACUUCCUAAGCAUACUUCGGUUGCCCAUGAGCCUCUUCAAGGUUGGCAUGAAAGAUGGUCCUAAGCUGUUGCUGAUGCUUCCUUUGCAAAAUAUAUCUUCUUCAUUUUGAUCGGUCUCUGGCAUGGAAUUUGAAGUUCCUCAGCCAAGUUAGCUAGACUCAGAUUAAUCAUGUGAUAAAAUGAUUCCAUGACAACAAUAGGAUCAGAUGGGAUGCAGACUUAUUAGCAAGUUCUUGAGCUCCUCGCCCUGCUUGUUUCAAAGAAAGGGCAAAAAAUUUGUCCCAAUUAUGCAAAAGAUCAUCGAUACAGCUCAUCAAAUUGAGGUCCCAAAGUAAGCCUUGAUCAUCACAUAGACCAACCAAACCUAUCGUAGAAGCAGUGCCAAUUUACCUCGCUUGAUAAUCUUUCAAAACAAUAAUUUGACUGCAGGUUAAGAAUAGGCAGUCUAGAAUCAUAUAUGAGAGACUAGUUGCAAAUACUCCCCAUUUUUAUUUUUAUUUUUAUUUUUAUUUUUAUCACCGACUAGAAAUACUUGAACUUUGAUUUUUAUUUUAGCCCAAUUCCUUAUACUUACUGGAAUUGAUGCUUAUCUAGAAGGUUCAAGAGGAACAUAAAGGGAACAAUAAGAAACUUGAAAGGGUUCAUCAUGGAAAAUCAAAAUGUGUUCAUCCCCAACGGGGUUAUUUGCCAUUAUUCAAAUUUGACACAUAAAAGAGCUCACAAAGGAACUCAAAAAUGGCCAAGGAUUUUUCAAAGAAAAUAUGAAUUUUGGACAUAGGGAAAAUGGAUACUUGCCAUAGUUUACUAUAUUGAGUAGCAGAAGAUCAUCGGCCUCUAGAUGAAAAAUUCAAAUUCCAAGUUUAUAGAGAGGGGAACUGUUAAUCACUAGGUGAUUCUAGUUUACCUAUGUUGACAUUUUCAUUCUUGCCUCAAAAGUUGCCAAUCUGUUUGCAGUCUACAAAAGCUGCCAAUGGAAGGAUAAAUGAAAAGCAUUGCUAUAACGUAAUCAACAUCAAGUAUAUGUUGGAAAAUCCAGAGUCUCCAAAAUCAAUCAAAUAGAUACCCGGUGUGGAGAAAAUCACUAUUAAAAAAUACAGCUUCAAGAAAAGUGUUACUCCAUUCGCUCACGUUGGCCAUUCAAGGAUGGAGAAUCUUACUAGAAACCAAUGCCUUCUAUUGACAUUAGGGUCUAUAUUUUGAUCUUGGCUGAAGCAUCAUGUCUGCUUCUAUGACCAACUACCCUUGCUCCUUCAAUUAUGUAAUACUAGCAAUUUAGGGAAGUGCAAAACCCUGUCAUGGAAAACCUUCUUGUCAGAAGAAGAUAGUGAUGAAAAAUAGGUCAUGAAUAUUAGAAGAAAAAUGAUAGUUUACUACUUAUUUACCUCUGUCAAGGAAACAUGUUCCGUCCCACUGUUGUAAUACAAGUAUAAGAUUCAUCACAUCAUUAUCACUGCAAUAAAAUAUUUCAACAGAGAGAACGAGAUAGAUCUCUUUUUUAAUUUCCAGUGACGUGUGUUCUAGAUAGUUUCAGCAGCGUUUCCAAUGAGUUGCAACCGUGAAUAUCCAAAAGAUCUAAAUCCAUCUUUUCAAGUCCCUGAAGCUGAGUAAGUUUCUUCCGGUCUUUAAUUACUAUAGAUUGUAACUUGUCACGUCUCGUCAAACUUGGCAAAGUCUUCAUUGUCAUGCAUUGUGUAAUAUCCAAUUUUUCUAAGAACUACACACCAUCAAGACCUCAAUUUUCGACUAGAUUGUCGCACUCGAUGGCCCAUAAUUCCUCCAAACACUGUGAUUUUGGACAGAGAAGCCUUUUAAUGGAAUUGCAGUCAUAUAUAAAUAUACCCUCCAAGAACUCCAAAUUAUCAUGGCCCUGAAUUUCAACUAGGUUAUUGCAAUGCUUGGUGCAUAAUCAUUUCAGAUGAAUUGAUUGUGAAAGGUCCAAUCUUUCAAUCGAAUUGCACUUUUUUUAUUGAAAACUCUUCCAAGUACUUGAAUCUAUUGAGCUUAAGCAAUAUCAGCUUAUCACACUCCUUAGUACAGAGUUUCAAGGGUCUUGAGGAAAUCUCAGGGAUGUCUUCAAGUAGAUGGCAUGCCUUAAAAUGGAGUUUUUCUAGGUGGAUUAGGCUAGAAAGCUGUGGCAACGUGGGACUCUGACAAGAGAUCAACAAAUAUGUCAAGCCUGAAGGAAGCUUUGGCAGCAACCAGAGCUUGUCAUAGCCUAAUAGGCUAAGGCAUUGGAGAGAAGAAACAUUUCGAAUGCUUUCUGGUAGGUUAGAUAUCGGCAUGCAAGUGAUAUAGAGAACCUUGAGCAAAGACAAGUCACCGAUUUCACUUAGAAUUGCUUUUUCAGACAAGGCAUGAUAGGAAACUUAUAGUGCGAAGAUUUUUCAACCUUCCAAUAGCACUAGGAAGCUUUUCAAUCCCAGAACCACUAAUAUCCAUGUGUUGCAAAUUCUGUAAAUCUCAAAUUGAGCUAGGGAUUUCUCUGAGUGACUCAUAACAGCCGACGCUCAGUUUCCCAGAUUCCUCAGAGAGCCGAUAGACAUAGGAAUCUCAGUAGUAUCAGCAAAAUCUAACGUAAGUUCUUUUAAUUUGACAGAUUGAGUCUAACUCACAUACCAAUCUGCUCUUGGUCCAGUCCGUUGCCACAUUCUUCACCCAAGAUCUCAAUUCUCUUGUGGAUCCUAAGAUUGCCACACUCUCCCCAAUUGCAACUUGGUGAACCAACCGAACACUAAGAUGCACGUUCUCCCGUCCCAGCUUUGACUUGAUCUUAUUCGCCUUCUCCUCCUCCUCUGCAAUAAACACACUAUGUUAUAGCUACUAACAAUAGCUUCCUUCCUUUCCAAACAACUCAAACAGCCAUUUUCAUGUGAACCACCGAUUCUUUCUUUGUCAUUUAACACCACAUUCAAAGAGUUCAAAGAGAACCUUAAAUCAAGACGGUGUCAGAUAAUCAAUGCUGCUAGCUUUUAUGCAAGAAGAACUUGAAAGAAGAACAUAAAAAACUCUUUUUUCUACACUGAUUCUCGUUCAAGAAAUAGAGCCCACAUAAACUCCAUCCACACUAGAGACUCAAACAAACCUUUGAUAGAGAAUUGCAUAAAACAACCCAAUACUUCACUCCAGAACCCAGUGCUUGAUCAGACUGACAUAAGUGUACUAGAACAAAUCCAGAGAGAGAGAGAGAGAGAGAGAGAGAGAGAGAGAGAGAGAGACCUGGUUUUAGUGGUGGAAACGCUACCAACAACUGUGGAGGUGCCACUCCGAGUGGCAUGAGCUCCAUGUGUCCACCUAAGAGAAUCUCGAAGGGGAAAAGUAAUGCUGCUCUUUAAGAAAGAACUGGUCUCUCUCCUUGGUUUUAGGUAUGAAAAUGCACAUGGCUAUGUCUCUUCUGCUUUUAGAUUCAUGCUUAAAUAAAUCAAGUUUGAGAUUAUACGGCCAAAGUGAUUGCAAAAUGCCUACAUAUGAAUAUUCCAACAUAACCACACCAGAGAGAUGAUUUUACACUAACAAAUGCCAUUCUUUUGUGUUCAAAAUUCUUCCAAAUGGGAAACUACCGUCUCCUUGGAAACUUGUUCAUUGAAACUCUUGGCUGCAAUUGACAGAUUAUUUGCUGAUUCCUCGGCAUUUGCUUUUUCCACAAAAAAUGUCUCUCCCAGUCACAAAAUUGUAGCUUAAAGUGGACUGGUAAUCUUGUUAACAAAUCUCAUCUUAAGCUUGAUUCCACAUAUAGAACCAUCUACACAUGCGGUCUCCCUCCAAGUGAUUUGUGAUGCAACCUUUGCUACCUCCUAGCAAUUUGUGAUGCAGCCUUCGCUAAAGAGUAGCACAAUUUCAAAGCUUGCAAAGGACUAAUACACCACAUGAGAAGAGGUCGUCUCAUAUCAAGAAUCCUUUGAAGAGUAAUAACAACACGGAGCCAAUGACAAACGCCAAUAGCAAAGAACUCCGGAAUGCCUUUCCAUACUAACAUAGCUCAUUCUUGCCCGUAUCUCCAACCCGUGGUGUUUGGGGACUUUCUCCAAGUUUCAUCAAAUGCAGCUUUAAUUUGCACAAGGAAGAUAGCACUAACUAAUUAUCAAUAAAUCCAAGAUCGUAGCAUCAGAAUUUACCCCAUGAGAGAUAAGGUACAAAUGUGUAAACAUCAAUACCAAUCAAAGUUGGACCACAAUGAACAGAGACUUUAUUAGAUGGCCAAUGAAAAAGAAACCAACAGGCAUAAAAGAAGUAAGCAAUUAGCAACACUUUCCCUAUUUGUGUUUAGGAACAUAAUUGAAAUUAAUAAAAUUAUGCUGAAAAGAUUAGUGCCUAAACUACAGAACAAGAAGAUUUAUUUGCUACUGGGUUAUAUUGCAAGAUCCAAUUAGCAAAAUCAGCAAUAUGGGAUUAGUUUGCGAGGAGGUUAAUUUCAACUUUACAAAUCCAAUGCUGCAUACAUGAGAACUGAUCUUAUCAAAUCAGAAACCUAUUUGAGAACAUUCAAAGGAUGUCAUCACACAAAUAAACUGAUAGAAAUGAAGGAGCCUAGUAGUGCAUACCUCCCUCUAUAGAGCCUCAUCAAUUCGGGAGUGAUACCAUUAGAAUGCAACCACAUCGGACAACUCUGCAUUAGGGUAAAAUAAAAAAUAAAAAAAAUCAGCAGCUUAGUAUUCGAUUAAAGGAGAGCUAGAACCUGAUGAGCAUACAAAAAGCAUAUUUAAUUGAAAAAAAAAUACAUUUACAAUCAUUCAGGGAUGUGAUGUCGAGAUCAGAUCAAGUGUUUGGCAUGCAAGAUGGUCCUCAGCUGUUGCGGUAGCUUCCUUUGCAAAAUGCCUUUUCUUUAUUUUGAUCAGUCUCAGGUAUGGAAUUUGAAGUUCCUCAGCCUAGUUAGCCACACCCAAAUUAGUCAUGUGAUAAAGCAAUUCCAUGGCAACAAUACGAUCAAACGGGAUGCAAAUUAAUUAGCAAAUUCUUGAGCUCCUCAUCCCAUCUUGUUUCACAGACGGGCAAAAAAUUGUCCAAUAAUGCAAAAGGUCAUUGAAACAAUUAAUUGAAUUGAAGUCCCAAAGUAAGCCUAAUCAUUACAUAGACCAACCAAACCUGUCAUAGAAAUAGCACCAGUUUACCUUGCUUGAUAAUCUUUCAAAAGAACAGUUUGACUAAUAAUAAUGUUAAGGUAGUCUACAUUCAUAUAUGAUAGACUAGCCAAAACUACUUUUUACCAUUUUUUUUGUCACCAAACAGAAACACUUGAACCUUGAAUUUUAUUUUAGCUCAGUUCAUCAAAUUCCGAGAAGUGAUGCUCCUCUUAGAAGGUUAAUGAGGGACAUCAAGGGAACAAUAAGAAACUUGACAGGGUUUCGUGCAUUAUGGAAAAUCAAAAGGCGUCAGUAUAUCUACCAUUAGUCAAAUUUGACAUACAAAAGAACUUACAAAGUAACUCAAAAUGGCCAGAGAUUUUUUCAAAGAAAAUAUUAACAUUGGAUGUUUGGAAAUUCUGGGCAUAGUAUACAUUAAUGAGUAGCAGAAGUUCAUCAGCCUCUAUGCCUACUGACAUUAGGGUUUGCAUUUUGAUCUUCGCUAAAGCAUCAUGUCAGCUUCUACGACCAACUGCCCCACUCCUUCAACUAUGUAAGACUAGCAAUUUAGGGAAGUACAGAAUCCUGUCAUGAAAAACCUUCUUGUCAAAAAAAAGGCAGUGACCAAAAGUAGGUCAUGAAUCUCAGAUGAAAAAUGAUUGUUCGCUGCUUAUUUACCUCUAUUCAAGAAACAUCACUCCACGAAUCAAAAGAUAGCUCUUGUUCAUAAUUUCUAAAGACGUUAGUCCCAGAUAAGUCCGGUAUCGCUUCCAAUGAGUCACAACCAGAAAUAUCCAAAUCAAUUAAAUCAACUUUUCAAGUCCCUGAAGCUGAGUAAGUUUCUUGCAGUCUCGAACUCGUAGAAAUCGUAACUUCUCACAUCCCGUCAAAUCUGGCAAAGUCUCCAUUGAUUUGCAUCCUAUAAAAUCCAACUCUUCUAAAAACGGUGCACCGUCAAGACCUUGAAUUUUGAUUAGAUUGUUGCACCCAACAACCAUUAAUUUCUUCAAACGCCGUGAUCUUGGAUAGAGAAGACUUUCAAUGGAAUUGCAGUCAUAUAAAAAUAUGACCUCGCAGGGCUGUUGAAAGCCCUGAUCAAUCACCGGGAAAAUGAGAUCCCCAGGAAGCUGGAUUUCCACUAGGCUAUCGCAAUGCUCAGCACGUAAUCAUUUAAGAUGACACAAUCCUGAAAGGUCCAAUUUUCUAAGGGAACUGCACUUUUUUAUCAAAACCUCUUCCAAGUGCGUGGAUUCACUAAGCGAAAGUGAUGUUAGCUUAUCCCACUCCUCAAAACAGAGUUUUGAGGUUGUUGAGGAAAGCUUACGGAUGUCUCUAAACCGGAGAUGGAAUUCUUUUAGGUGGAUAAGGCUAGAAAGCUGUCGUAGUCUGAGACUCUCACGAGUGACUGAUAGAUAUGUUAAGCCCGAAGGAAGCUCUAGUAGUGACCCGAGCUUGUAACAAGCCUCUAGGGCAAGGUGCUGGAGAGAAGUAGGAAGCUCUGGCAACGAUUGGAGAUCGUUACAGCGACUGAGGUCAAGUUGCUGGAGAGAAGAAGGAAGCUUUGGCAGCGACCGGAGCUUGUAGCAGCUCAUUAGGUCAAGGGAUUGGAGAGAAGAAGGAAGCUCUGGCAAUGACUGGAGCUUGCGACAGUCGCUUAGGUUAAGGUGCUUGAGAAAAUAAGGAAGCUCUGGCAGGUCAAGGUGCUGGAGAGAAGAAGGAAGCUCUGGCAGCAACCGGAGCUCUCUGCAACUCAUUAAUUGAAGGGACUGGAGAGAAGAAGGAAGCUCCGGUAGCGAUUGGAGUGUGUAACAACUGUUUAGGUGAAGGUGCUGGAGAGAAUAAGGAAGCUCCGGCAGCGACUGGAGUUGGCCACAGUACCCUAGAUAAAGGUGCUGCAUAGAAGAAGGAAGCUCUAGCAGCGACCGGAGGUUAGUGCAACCGUAUAGGUCAAGGCAUCAGAGAGAAGAAAGAUUACGGACGCUUGGCAGGUCAGAUAUCGGUGUGUCAUCAAGAUUGAGAACCUCGAGGGAAGGUAAGUUAUCGAUUUCACUUGGAAUCGCCCCUUUCAAACUUUUGCACGAUGAGAGAUCUAGCGUCCGCAGAUUUUUCAACCUUCCAAUAUCAUUGGGAAGCUUUUUGAUCCCACAACCAGCCAAUUGCAGAAGUUGCAAAUUCUGUAAAUCCCCAACUGAGCUAGGGAUUUCUCUCAGUGAAUCACAACCCUUGACAUUCAAUUUCUCCAUCUUCCUCAGAGAACCAAUAGACAUAGGAAUCUCCAUAAUACCAGAAUAUUCUAAUAGAAGUUCUUCUAAAUCUUUUAAUUCACCCACCUCCUCCGGUAGCUCCUUGAGACAUGUACAGAAACUCAAAUUCAAGGAAAUGAGGCUCGUGAGUUUGCCAAUAGAAGGGUGGAGAUCCUUUAGCCCGUCACAUUCAGACAAGAUAAGAACCUUCAACUGUGUGAAAGCUGAGAGAUCAGGAGUACAUCUUAAAUUAUCGCAUCCCCGAAGGACGAGAACUUUAAGCUGCUUUGACGCCUAAUACAAAAAGAGAAUAAGCCGUCAAAGAAGUAGUUAAUCGGCUAAACAAAAACAAAAUCCUAAAAUCGUAGAGAAAUGUCUUCUUGUUCCAAUCUUACUAUGAAUGAACUCCAUCCUUCCCAAUCCUCUGUGAUCUCACUCCAUGAUAACUUCAAUACUGAUAAUUUCGGUAGAUGCAAAUUGGUUGUCCAAAGAGACAAAUCAGCACGCCACUUAAGCCAUCUCACUUCAGAAAUGAGUUGCAUGGAGUGUCCGCUUGAAGCUACCCCAAAAAAGUCGUGGAACCAGCAGCGUUGCUGCAAGUUUUUUAACUUUUUAGUUUUUGCUUUUUUUAAAUCUUGGAUUGGCACGAUCUGAUACCCUUUUAUCCUUACUCCAUAUAGAACACAUGAACUCACAUUUAAUUCUUUUUUCUGACGACCUUUCGAAUGUUAAACAAAUGAUGCGAGGAUAAAGAAAAAAAUUGUUAUUGCUCUUAAACAACUAAGGCAAAUGCAACUCAAUGUUUUAUCUUGUCCUUUUUCCUUUCAAAUUUUGUAGCGAGUGCACUUUGACUUUUAUUUAAUACGAAAUGCAUGAAACCAUUUUACAACGUACAAAUGUUUACUUGUAAAUUUUCAUGACAUUUGUAUAAUUUUUCAAAAGAAUUUGUUAAGGAGUGCCGGUGGGCCACCUGUAAGUAGCUAUGGAAACACCCAGUUUUCAUUUUAUUAGUUAAAUGUAAUAAUGCCAAAAAGAAAAAAAUAGGGGCAAUUUCAAUAUAUUUCGAUAUAUAGAAAAUAUUACAUGGAGAGCCUAUUUAUAAACUUUAUUAUAGGACUAUCUGCGGAAAUCAAAGAAAAUCAAACAAGAUAUGCAAAAUCAAAAUAGUUAUAGAAAAUCAGAGAAAAUAUUCUAAAUAUUUCUAGAAGAUAUCUACAUAUCUUUAACAUCAUUAACUAUUGUUGUGAAGUGUUUAAUCAUUUCUUUGAAAACUAAACUUUUUUUUGUUAAGUAUGUUUAAAAAGUGACGUGGUGACAUUGGACAAUAGUGUAUACAUCAUAUCAUGAGGCGGCCCAAAUGGACAAUAUAUAAAAAUAAAAUGACAUGAACAAUGAUAAUUUAACUAAAAUAUUGCUUCAUGCUGAGCAUCAUUAUACUCAAAGGUAUGGAUAUAAUAAUAAGUAUGGCAUUUCCUCUAAUUAGUCAAGUUUUCAUGGAUUUUUUUUAUGACAAAUAAUUGUAUGUGUUAUAAGUAACUUACAACGGAUAUAAAUGUUUGUUAAAAGAAAAUCCACUCUUUAUCAUACAUCUAACCUAAUCCAUGAAAUGAGAAAGGUCGACGUGAUAAAACCUUAAAAAACAGUAAUUCCUAAAAAUACUUUUAAGGGGAUUUUUGCUAUCUUAUCUAUUCAAAGGAAAUAAUAAUUAAAAGAGAUAGAUAUAACUAGUAGAGUAGAGAGACGGGUAUCUUCAAAUUCAAAUUGGAAAAAAAAAAAGUUAAACAAUGGAUUCCUAAAUCAUAGGACUACGACCAAUACAUUUGGCCGUACCAGUAAGCAAGAACAUAUGAUGAGCGUGAAAUUUUUUCCAAUCUUAUUGUUUUGAAUUAAUUAUCAGUUGUUAUGAUUGGCACAUGCAAUCUUUUUUUUUUUUUUUAAUCAAGAAAUAUUCAUUUAUCUGAUCUAUGAUGUUUAUACUUCAUCUUCUUUCAUUAUUGUAGUCCUUUAGAUUAUCAAUAUUUUCAACUAGAUAUGACAAUUACAUGCUUCUAGUAAAUGAGAUUUAGAGAGUAAAUUAUAGUUAAAGGAUCUUUAAUUGAUUGUCAAUCAAAUCUUUACAAAUGUAAUUUAUAUCAAUAAAAUCGAAUCAAAUGCAAUAACUUUUUAGUCCUUUAGAUACUUAUAAUCCAUUUAGCUGACACAUUAAAUCUAAGAGGGACAUAAAUGGAUGUUUACACCUAGAAAGUAAGAGCAUAUGCCAAUCCUAGAUUAAAUACUAGAAUAGAUUAGAUUAAAUGUAUUAAAAUAAGAGGAAGAGAAAAAGAAAGGAGUACCACAUUUUACCAUUCUAUUGCAUCUUAGUACUUUUGGGACUCCCUUAUAGUCGUGGUCCCAGGGUCCGCUACGUUUCUCAAGCGGUUGUCCUUGGCAAAAAAUGCUCCUUCCAAGAUCUUUCAAUUGAUCAUGCAUCUCAAACUUACCAUGAUCGCUAAUUUUAAUUAAGCACCUCAACUUUAACUCGUCAAUACCUUGACUUGGAUAAAGCCCACAGUCCUCCCACAUGUACAUGGCGAAUCUGCUCUCUUUGCCAAUGAAGAAACAAACAAUAUCAAGAAAAAUCUGCUUAUGUCCAUCUUCUAAUGCAUCAUAACUUAUUCUCAAUAUUUUUUGCACAUCUCUAUGUGGUUCGUCUUUUAAUUGCUUUUGCACAUCUUCCCAUACCUUUCGAUUCGUUUUUUUAUACAAGUAUGAACCUACAACUUGAAGUGCCAAGGGAAGCCCACCCAUGUUGGAUAUGAUAUCACGAGAUAUACCCUCAAACUCUCUCGGAGAAUUGUCCAUACGAAAUGCAUGUCUCUUAAACAAAAGCAAAGCUUGCUCCUUAUCCAAUUCAUUCAAUUCAUACUUGUAGUCUACCUCAAAUUUAGAUUGAUCAAGAAUAGCUUCGUUUCUAGUUGUAACAAUGAUCACACUUCCUCCCAUAAACCAAUGACGCUCCCUAGCCAAUGCAUCUAGUUGACUCUUGUCAUCUAUAUCAUCCAAAAGAAUAAGAACCUUUUCCCGUUUGAAUCUAGAUUUGAUUAUACCAAUUCCAUCAUCAAUUCUAGACACUUGACUUUUGUACUUUAGUAUAUCCUGUAUUAGUUGACUUUGUAGAUACGUAACACCAUGGCGCUUGGUAGUUUCUCGAACAUCUAGAAGGAAGCUGACAUACGAAAAUUUAUUUGAGAGUUGAUUGUAGAUGCACUUGGCAAGAGUUGUCUUGCCUAUCCCGCCCAUGCCGUAAAUUCCAAUCAUUCGAGCAUUGAUGGAAGAAUUGUCGAUCCAAUUCAUAAUUUCCUUCAUACGAUGAUCAAGUCCAACUAGCUGCUCAGGCACAUCAAGUUGAAAAUCUUCCUGUAACUUGCUUAUAACAGUUUCAACCACACGUUCUAUUAACUUUCCCUCAUGCCUGUCAAACAACAAAAACAAUGAGAUGUUAUGAACCUAGAUAUAAUCUAUGCGAAGUAUUCAAUCCUUAUCAACUGAGCUAACCCUUGUUGGCUAUAGGAGGUCGAUUUUAUCCGGUGUUGAUCAAGCUUUGAAGACCGAGCAUUGGAGUCAUUUGGAGGCCUAUUGUUUAGCGAUUGAUACUAUUGGCUGGAGGUAUUGUCUUUUCUUUGUUUCUUUGUUUUUCUUUUUCUUUUUUUUGUAUUUUUGUAUUUUUGUUGUUUUGUUUUUUUUUUUUUUCGCUCUAUACCAGAGGAAAAUUUAAAUUCUUGGGCACUAUAGGAUGCUUUGGUUUCAGUUGUCAUCGGUUUAGUUUUCAGGGACAUCUUGGGGCGUACUGGUGUUUGUUGUCUCCGAGGCAUUGCGACUGUUUAUUUUGGGGAUCUUUUUUGAGCUUGCAGUAAAAGUAAUUCAUUUGUUUCAUUUGCAUUUCCUCGAUUCUACCAAAAGAAGAAAACUUACUUAUCAAAAAAGAAAAGUUCAGUAAAAUACCCGUUCGCAAUUUUUUGAGAUUCCCAUCCAUUUAAUUGACUGACUUCAUUUAGUGCUUGUUGCCCUUUAUGGAUCUCCUUCUCAUCAAAACGCUUCUGACUCGAAUGGAAGGCGUUUCCAAAAUUUCCUUUUAGAUGCCGCACAUCCGAUGGGGCAACUUUGUAAAAUAUAGGCAACACCAUGUGCGAUGCACUCUUCCAACGGUCCAUGAUUUGAACAAGCUCGCGGAGGCACCACUUGCUCAAAGCAUAAUUUUCGGAGAUGACGGGAAUCGAAAUCUUAGACUGUGCGAUGGCAUCGAGAAUCUUUGAACCAAAUUCCUCACCAAUUUGGAUGUUGUUCUCGUCCCUAAACAUGUAAAACGGUACAGUCCCUGCCGUGAUCAGACGGUGAUAGAGGUGAUCGGUGAAUGUAUUGCGGGUAUCCGAGCCUCUAAAGCUCAAGAACACAUCGUAUUGACCGCUACCUACACCUGUGGCUUCUGGAUAGAUGAAUGAAGAAGUGGAUGCUCCUUCAGUGCUCUCUUCCUCUGCCUUCUUUCUCUUUCCCUGAGUCUGCCCUCUGUCCAUGGCAAUCUGAGGUAUGCUUUUUUUGCUGCUUAAAAGGAUUGUUGAACAACAAAAGACGCUUUUAGGAUGCGUUUCUGCAAAAGCUUGUUGGCUUCAAAUAACGUGUUCGUUAAUUCCCUAGGUAAUAAAGACAAAACCUUCAGUUAAGUAAGCUAACGUUGUUUCACUGCAAAAGAUUAGGUGGCCCUUAAGAGGCCCCCAAAAAGCCCACAUCAUUUACUUGUUUAGAAACACAUUUGAAAUUACACAAAUUGCAUUGUAAUUAAUCGACUUACUUAAAGCACAUUUGAACAAUUACAGAACUUCAUGCAUGUACAUGAUACUUAAAGGCGGAUUCUUUCAGUUCAAGGUAAGAUAUUGAUAUUAUAUGUAUGAAACUUUAUGGAUGCAUCUUCCUCUGAAUAUCAGCUCACACGAUGCCUAAUUCUUGUCAUGAUCUUCGACCUUACUCUUAUUAUUUUUAUCCAAAUAUAUAAACAACCCUAACUAUCCCCACCACCUCAUUUUCACAAUCCUUUCUGUCUAAUCCCAUGUCCAUUGGCCAAACUAAUGAAGUGUCAUGUAAUUGUUACCCAAUAAACCACAUCCUCUAGAUGUGUGCACUUUCCUGAUUGGAGGGAAUUUUCAUCAAUCACGUUUUUAAUUUGGCGGGUUUCAAGUUUUAGGCAUUGUUAGAUGGCACCAAAUGGAGGAGCAGAUGCUCCCUCAGUGCUCUUUUUUUAUGCACUCUUUUUUCUUCUUAUUGAGAUUAUUGAACGUGGUUAUUUAUCUUUUAUCUAUUUUAUGUUGGCACCCCAUGCUACAAUUUCAUGUAAAAUGAAUUUAUUUUGAAUUAGUAUGCUAUCACCAAGCCUUUCAUUUCAAAUUUUCAAAUCUAUAAAGUUGAUUGAUAUCUUGUCUAUAAAAUAGAGCUAUAAUUUGUUGGAUGGCACCAAAUAGAGGAGUGGAUGCUUCCUUAGUGCUCUCUUUUUAUGCACUCUUUUUUCUUCUUAUUGAGAUUAUUGGAUACAAGCACAAAGACACAAGAAGCACCGGAAAGGAACAACUUGAAAUGGAAGUAGAAUAGGAUAAUUGGGAAAAUUUGUGAUAAUUCAGGUUAAAUUGAUUAAUCACAUUUUGAAGAAUGAAUUCAUUGUUUGUAAAGAAAGAGGUGCGAGAAAUGAGUGAUAUAAAGCUAGGUGACUCUCCUAAUAUGCGUGUAUGGCCCAAUUUAUUCGAUUGUUUUCAUGAGUGUGUCAUAAGAUCAAUUUAUAUUUUUUUCUUACUAUUGGAUAUCAUGUAAAAGAUCCUAGGAAGUAUCAUACUAUGGACUUUGGUAUGUUUUAUAUUGCUAUGAUUGAAAUUGUCAUGAGUUGUGAGCAAGUAAAAAGUAGUGAUAUAGUUAAAAUGCUCAAACUCUCACCGUACUUUUUAAUUCCUCAUUUACUUUUCUUUUUUUCAAGUAAAGACUCAGUCAAUUUUUGAAGCUUUGAAGUGAGAAAAUGAUUUUUCUUUUCUUUUUUCUUGCUAAAGAAGGGAGAAAAUGAAUCAGAGGUGAAAGGGAAUAUACUUUCUAGGAUUAAUGGUCCAACAAUUCGAGUAAAACAGGAUAAUACUCAUUUGGAAUGUUCUAGAGGGAGUAAAAUUAUUGAAUUAAGUCUUCUUAAGAGAAGACUUACUCUUAGGAUGAUUGGCUUCAGGAUAAAUGGGUUCUAAACAAAGAAUUAGGAACUUAUUAUGUAAUGAUUGGUUCUCCUCUUUUAUAACCGAUAACCAAAAUAGUUGACCCAGAACCAGCCUACUUUUAAUUUUUUGAUUUAUUUUUCCAUAAAUUGAUCUAGGAUCUUCAAACAUAGAGAAACCUCACAAUGCAUAAAAAAAUAGAAUGGUCUAUGAAUUCAAAUGAAAUGUGGCAAAUUUACAUGCAACAGAGUCUAGUGUACUUGCAGAUCUACUCGCUCUAGUUCAACAAAAGAUCAGUACUAAAUUAUGAUGCAACUAAGAAUCAGAUAGGAAGGGCAUCAUAGGAUUAGCCACAUCUAAAGUCGAAAACAAAAGGCUUUCUUUUUUUCACUGAAGUCAAAUCUAAGCUGGGGACAUACCUCGUCAAUAGGCAAUAGCGACUCCAAAAGAGAGAAUAGAAGACCCUCCUCUACUAUUCAGCGAACACCCCCACAUCCCCAAUAGACAAAACGGGCCCAGAGCACACUUGGUUUAGCCAAUUAUUCCUAUAAUAAAGUGACAAUCAAAAUAAAUGGGAUGCUAAUAAGAAUGAAAAAGUGACUACCACAAGCGAGCUGAGAUGCGAAGAGAGGCACGAGACUCGAAAGAGAAGAGAUCAUAAACAAGCCUUGGCGAGAACUUUCAAGAGGGAUAAAGAAUAGAGAAAGCGAGUGAGGACUAAUCAGUAGACGAUAGUCUCGAAUUGUUCGUCAAGAGAGAGGCCAAAUGCGAAUGAUAAAGUGAGAAAUGAGGGACAGAGAGAGAGGACCAAUUAGUAGUAGGCGAUAGUCUCAAAUGAUAAUUGAUGGACCAAUAUCCUUAUAUGGCUGAUUGACUAGUAGCAAUAAAAUUGUUUUCAGGUGGCAAGCCAAGUCAAGCCACACAAUUUGGACUAGAGUACAGAAUGACCGCUUCGGUUCAUAUCUACUUAGAAACCAUUUUUUUAAAUUGAUAAAUGUGGCUCUAACCGAAGUGUGAAUCUUCCAUUAUAUUAUUUUCAAAGAUGUUCUUACUCCUGUAAAUGCUAAAUUCUCCUCCCACCCUAAACAUGCAUAAAUCAUAUUGUCAAAUCCAUUGUAAGUCGGUAAUUUCCUACGCUAUAUAUGUAAAAGUCAUGUCUUGGGAGUUCUCGUUACAAAAGGCAUCGGAACAGCAGAUCAAUCAGCAGAUAUUUUCACUAAGCCGCUCUGCCAAAGACAACACAAGUUUCUAUUAAGCAAGCUAGGUGUCCUUGACAUAUAUAGGCCACCAGCUUGAGGGGGAGUGUUGGAAGAUCUUAGAAUCGAUUCUGUACAUAAUUGAUUCUAGUAAAUAUUAGUAAAUAGGAAACUCCGAUACAUGUAUAUUACUUUUCCUAUUUUAUUUUUUCCUUCUGGCACUAUUUAUGUACAAUGUAAUGGCACGAUUGAAUACAAGUCAGACAAUACAAUUUCCCCAAAGUUCCUGUUACCUUUCUGUCAUUUUCCACCCUAGCUUCCGCGACCUUUCUUGAAUUGCCAUUGCUUCCUUCUGAUCUGUAACUGAGGAUCCCUUCCUGCAGAACAGAUUAGCAAAGCAAUUAGGAAUUCAUCCUUGGUGCCAUGACAAAAGAUAAAGAGGUUAUGAAUCCCUUAGUAGAAUCUUCAUCAGUCCAGGAUCAGACAAUGACUUCCCAUUCAGAUGGAUCGACUGGAGAAGAGCAGGUAACCAAUGUUGCCUCUGCUGAUAUUUGGAAAAAUAUAGUUUUUUUCUAACUAUUUUCAGGAAAAAAAAAAGAAAUAUUUUCACAAAAACUAAGUGUUUUGGAUCUUUCAUGCUUUAAGUAAUUUUGGACAAUUGUUGUAUGUAUAAGGCCAAUGGACCAAAAUUGAGUCUAGAAGGGUUUUUUCACAAUUUUUAUCGAGCAGGCUUUUUUGUCCCAAGAGUUCACUCAACCAUUAAUGUUUUGAAAACAACGUCAAGAUAAGGGCCAGCAUGUGAUUCCACCAAAUUCAACCAAUCUAAUCAUUCAUAACGGUUUUUUUUUUUUUAGGGUUCAAAAUAACCAAUUAAUUUAAAUGAGAAGAUUUUAAUAAGAAAAAUUGGCAAUAUAUGUGAUGAUGAUUUUGAAAAAAUCGAGGGAAUUUCACAAGAAAUAUUUUAUAUGCCUUAAAGGAAGUUAGGCAUCAGGCCAUGAGUAAUAAUCGAAUAUAUUUUUGUCCUAUCAAUUGUAAUAGAUGGGACAAUGAAGGCCUAGCUUACCUUGAGGAGUGAUGCAGAGAUGAAAUUACUGUGAUGGGUUUUAGUAGUUGAGAAGAAGUCACUUUGAAGUAGAUCAAGUUGUGUUUGAGUCUCAAAAGACAGUACAAUCUGAGGAUCACCUUCACACCUCAGCCUAAAGCUAUCAAACCAAAUAUAUUUGAGAACAAAAAUGAGAGUCUCAAUGAUUUAUGGUGAUUGGCGUUUCUCCUCUUUAAGCACAAGCACUUGGGACUUGAUAUUUUAAUUUUGUUUAAAAUUGUCAUAUUCUUAAUGAGGUUGGAAAUGUGAGGUAGAGAUAAACAAAUGCUCGUGGUUUGAAUGAGUAUGCUAUCAUCGAGCCUCUCAAUUCAAAUUUUCAAAUCUAAAAAAUUAUUUGAUAUCUUGUCUAUAAAAUAGAGCUAUUGGAUGGCACCAAACGCAGGAGCGGAUGCCCCCUUAGUGCUCUCUUUUUAUGCACUCUUUUUUUCUUCUUAUUGAGAUUAUUGAAUACAAGCAUAAAGACACAAGAAGAACCGCAAAGGAACGACCUGAAAUGGAAGUAGAAUAGAAUAAUUGGCUAAAUUUGUGAUAAUUCAGGUUAAAUUGAUUAAUCACAUUUUGAAGAACGAAUUUAUUGUUUGUAAAGAAAAAGGUGUAAGAAAUGAGUGAUAUACAGCUAGGUGACUCUCCUAAUAUGCGUGUAUGGCCUAAUUUGUUCGAUUGUUUUCAUGUGUGUGUCAUAAGAUCGAUUUAUAUUUUUUUCUUACUAUUGGAUAUCAUGUAAAAGAUCUUAAGAAGUAUCAUACUAUGGACUUUGGUAUGUUUUAUAUUGCGAUGAUUGAAAUUAUCAUGAGUUGUGAGCAGGUAAAAAGUAGUGAUAUAGUUAAAAUGCUCAAACUCUCAAUGUACUUUUUAAUUCCUCAUGUACUUUUAUUUUUUUAAAGUAAAGAAUCGGUCAAUUUUUGAAGCUUUGAAGUGAGAAAAUGAUUUUUUUUUUUUCUUUUUUCUUGCUAAAGAAGGGAGAAAACAAAUUAAAGGUGAAAGGGAAUACACUUCCUAUGAUUAAUGGUCCAACAAUUCGAGUAAAACAGGAUAUUACUCAUUUGGAAUGUUCUAAAGGGAGGUAAAAUUGUCUAAUGAAGUCUCCUUAAGAGAAGAUUUACUCUCAGUAUGAUCAAUUUCAGGAUGAGUAGGUUAUAAACUAAGAAUCAGGAACUAUCAUGUAAUGAUUGGUUAUCCUUUUUUAUAACCGAGAACCAAAUAGUUGACCCAACAACCAGCCUACUAUUAUUUUCGGAUUUAUUUUUCUAUACUUUGAUCUAGGACCUUCAAACACAAAGAAAGCUCACAAUGCAUACCAAAAAAAAAGGAAUGGUCUAUGGAUUCAAUCAAAAUGUGGCAAAUUUGUGCGCAAUAGAGUCUAGCGCCCUUGCAAACCUACUCGGUCUAGUUCAACAAAAGAUCACUACUGAAUUACAGUGCACCUAAGCAUCAGACAACAAGGCCAUCGUUGGAUUAGCCACAUCUAAAGUCGAAAACAAAAGGCUUUCCUUUUUUCUCUGAAGUCAAAUCUGAGCUGGGGACAUACCUUGUCAACAGGCAACAGCGACUCCAAAAGAGAAUAGAAGACCCUCCUCUGCUAUUCAGCAGCCACCCCCACAUCCCCAAUAGACAAAAAGGCCCAGACCACACUUAGUUUAGCCGAUUAUUCCAAUAGUAAAGCAACAGAAUCAACAGAAAUGACACGCUAAUAAGAGAUGAAAAAGUGAUUACCACCUACGAGCUAAGAUGCGAAGAGAGGCACGAGAUCAGAGAGAGAGAGAUCCUAAAAAAGCCUCGGCGAGAACUUUCAAGAGGGAUAAAGAACAGAGGAAGCAAGUGAGGACUAAUCAGUAGAUGAUAGUCUAGAAUUGUUCCGCAAGAGAGAGGCCAAAUGUGAAAGAUAAAGUGCGAAACGAGCGCGCGCGCGAGAAAGAUAGAGAGAGAGAGACUGAGAGAGAGGACCAAUUAGUAGUAGGCAAUAGUCUCGAAUUAUUAUUGAUGGACCGGUACCCUUAUAUGGCUGAUUGACUGGUAGCAAUUAAAUUGUUUUUAGGUGGCAAGCCAAGUCAAGCCACACAAUUUGGACCAGAGUACGAAAUGAUUACUUCUGUUCAUAUCUACUUAAAAACCAUUUUGUUAAACUGAUAAAUGUGGCUCUAACUGACUUGUGAAUCUUCCAUUAUAUUAUUAUCAAAGACAUUCUUACUCCUGUAAAUGCUACAUUCUCCUCCCACCCUAAACAUGCAUAAAUCAUAUCGUCAAAUCCAUCGGAUGUCAGUAAUUUUCUCACUAUAUAUACGUAGAAGUCAUAUCUUUGUUGUAAGCAGUAAAAUCACAUGAAAACCACACUUCAUGACAAGUUUCUCUAAUUCAAUCUGCUAAAAUAAAGUCCAGCUAAAAAUUGUCCACAUAUUAAAUAUGUGUAAGUUCAUUGAAACCAGCAGCUUCGCUCACUUUCAAAUUUCCAUUGUAACCAGCACAAAAAAAUAGUACUGUUGUGAAUUUUUCAUAAUUUCCGGGAAAAAAAUUGAAUUUCCUGUCAUUUUCCAGAAAUUACAAAAAAUUGCCAAUAUAAUGGAAAAUGGUUUUAUAGACAUCCAAAAAUUCUCUAGUUGAUCUGAUCUGUUCAGAUAAAUUUUUUGUUGUUGACAAUUCUGAUUUGUAGCCUUUGAAAGGUUUUGUGCAAUUAUUGAAGAGAAUAGACCAGCACAAUCAAUAUUUGGAAAAAAAAUCUAUCUUUUAAAUGUUUUCAAGAAAAAAAGAAUUAUUUCUGCCAAAACUGAGUAUUUUGGAUGUUUCAGGUUUUAAGUAAUUUUGGCUCCGACCAAAAAAAAAAAAAGUAAUCUUGGACAAUUGGGGUGCACAUAGGGCCGAUGGACCCAAAAUCGGGUGUAGAAGGGUAUUUUCAUAAUUUUAAUCGAACAAGCCAUUUGUCCCAAGGGAAUUUCACAUGUGUUAUUCUGUAUGCCUUUGAGGAUGUUAGGCGCUAAAGCGAUGAGUAAUAAUCAAGUGUAUUUUGGUCCUAUCAAUUGUAAUAGACCGGAGGACAAAGGUCGGACUUACCUCGAGAAGGAGGUAUUCAGAUAUGAAAUAAUGUGAUAGGUGUCAGUGUUUGAGAAGAAGUCGCCUUUGAAGCAGAUCGAGUUAUGUCCGAGUCCCGGAAGGCAACGCAAUCCCGACGAUCACCUUCACGCCUCAACCCGGACCAGCCUGGUUUGGAAAGACGCUGAAGUAAAUUUGCAGAUCAUCUCAGGUCGAACAUCACGAGAAAGGACGAGUAGUGGUUACAAAAUCACCAACAACAGACGGGGAACUUACUAUCUUCCGAUGAAAUCGCAGCUCUUCUCUGGUAUAUCCAGAGAUGCAGACACGAUCCUCGUGUUCCAAGCGAAGACCCCCCAACCCAGGAUCCCUAAUCGCCUCAGCGGAGUCCAUGAUCAGAAAUUACAGCAAGCAGAACACUGAAAAGUUCGAAACUUGACACGAUUCGAGUUGCUUUUACCUGCUGAAUGGUGCCCGCCGAAGAACCCGUCCCUCAAGAUAGAUACCGAUAGGUCGGUCCUUUGAAGCCGGCAGUUCGGAAGGAGCGACUGCAGGUGUUCUUCGCGACGGCCUCGGGUGUACUGCUCGAUGGAUUCGCGAGAUAGAAGAUCCCUGCUUCCUCCGCCGAUUCUAACCGCAGCUCUCGUUCUGGCCGUAGAGGCUUCGAUGUGCUUCAGAUCUAAAAGUGGAGAGAACUUGAAAUUGGGAGUCGGACAACGCAGUUUUGUGUUGACUUUCUGCUGCGGGAAGAUGAUGAUGUUCCACGGUUAGGUGGACGCCCGAGCCUAGUUGGCUAUUUUUCAAAAGUAUAUCCGCGGCCCAUAACCCUAAAUGGAGAUGGGAACGUGAGGGAGAGAUAAACAAAUGGACGUUAAAACCUGCGUUGUAUUCAUUCCAGACUAGCUCCACAUGCUAACGAUUUCAUCUGUAUCCAAUACAUUUUCAAAUGAUACGAUAUCACCACCGAGCUAUUCUCUUAAACUUUAGAUAUUUUAAAUAAUUGAUCAAUAUAGAGAGUUAUAAGGUAUUAGAUGACAUCGAAGGAGGAGCUGAUGCUCCCUUGAUGCUUUCUUAUGCGGCGCUUUUGUUCUUCUUCUUCUUGAGAUGAUUGAAUACAAGCAUAGAGAGAACAAUUGGCGCAACAAGCACCCACAAAGGAACAAUGUGAAAUGAAAUAGGGCAUCUCUUUGUUUCCCUUUCUCUAACUUUGCCCUUUCUCCAUAGAAGUGUUGGAAAUUUUUUUAAAAAUAUGAAAAAUAAGAAUUAUUGGAAAAAUAUUUAAAAUGAUGAGAAAAAUAAGAUCAAUUGUUUGAGGCUUGCAAAUACUAAAAGAUAAUUCUGCCUUUUGGAGUACAAAAUUCGAAUAGGCCCUAACAAUUAUCCUCCUAAGAUACAACAAACUUCUUCUUUAUUCCACAUUGAAUAAUAAUAGGAACAUGAACAAAGUUAUGUGCAUAACCCGGCCAAAAAAGGAAAGAUAUGUGAAUUCUAUUAAUUCGGUGAAUUGUGGUUUGAAAUUUAAUCUUAUAUUCAAACAAAAAAGAGAGCCAUUAAGAAACCAUUAUAAAUCAAUUAAGAAUUAAUAAAAUCGUAACCAUUAUAGAUUAAUAUCACACAAAAACCAUUACAAAUUGAUGACAGUUAAAAACCGUUACAAAAACAGUUACUUUUCACAGCUUCUAUCAAAGCCAUUACUUUCGAAUAUUUGAAAAACUGCCGAAUGGUAGAGUAAUGUUAACACUAUUUUUUCCAAAUAUUUAAAAUUAUUUCAUUGCAAUAUUUAAAUUAAUAUAUAUAGGUAAAAAUGUAAAUUAAGAAAUAGUGUUACUUUGUCAAUAUUUUCUUUUGCUGAUGCACAACAACAUAUAAAAGAAACUUGGGGAAAUGUGUAAAAAAGGCCGACCUAUUGUAUUGGUAUAAUUUAGUCAAAAACUUUUUAAUGGUGCAAAUUUAAUCCCAAACUUUAUGAUCCAGUAUCAAUUCAGUCAUUCAAGAUACUUUAAGUCGAAUAUUGCUAAAUGUCACCAAGCCUACGUGGCAUAAUUGAUGCUAACAUGGAUAAUUUUUAAUAAUUUGAUUUUUUUUCUUUUUUUUUUUUUUUCCCUCCUCUUUCUAGUGGCUGACAUGGCCACGGCUGGUGAGGGUUGGUCUCAUUUGAGUGAGGGUGAACCUUGUCGACCUCACUAGGGUGAGGGUGAGUGCUGGUGAGGCUGCCCCUGCAAGAUCAGGUGAGCCCAGGUGUUGCCUGGGCGAGGGUGGCCUCGCUAGAUUUGGCGAGGGCAACCUCACCGAUGCUUGCCAACCAUCGGAAAGAGAAGGGAAAAAACAAGAGAGAGAAAAAAAAUUAAAAAUAAAUUAGUACCAUUAUGAUUUAUGACUAAAUUGAUAUAAAUAUAAUAAGUUUAUAACUUUCUAACACUUUUACCAAGAAACUUGAGAUUCGUCUCGUAGAUCUACCUAAUCAAAUUUCCAUUGCAAUCUCUACACCUUCCAAUUUACUUCACAUUGAAUCAUACUCAUUCCUUUUUACAUAUGAGUGAAAUUAAAAAAAAAAAAUGCAAAAAUUUUCCGCAUCAAUGCCCGUUAUGCCAUGUAGGAUAGCUAGAGUACGUCAUCAAUUAUCGGUUAAAAUUGGGAGGAAUGACCAUAUUGGCAAAUCAUCAAAAGGUUUAUGAAUCAAUUGGUAAAAUUAAAAAGAUUUAAGAUUGAAUUGGCACAAGUACAACAUGUUUAAGACAUUUUCGGUAAUUUUUCCCAUUGAAAUGAGAAAACAUGGUAUUUGUCUUUUGCAAUAUUGCUUGUUAAUUGGAUUUGGUUGUUUAAUGUGGAAACAAAGAAAUAAUCUUCAUCCUCAAUCACUAAAAAGCAAUUAAAAAAAGAAAAGAAGAAGAAGAUUUGAAUAGAAGGCAUGCGCUUUAAAGAUUUGUUCAUGAAGUUUUGGUUCAUUAUUAGAAGAUAUGUCAAAAAAAAAAUAGAAUGAAAUUUAAAGAUAAUUGAGGGAAGAGUUAUUGAAGCCAAAUAGAUUAUUCUUUUAAUGAAUUCUAAAGGACCAUAAAUGGGACUUACGUUUUUUUUUUUUUUUAGGUCGGUCCUACUUUAUUCAUCUUCUAACUCUCACUCUCACUCUCAAACUUUUGUCUUGCCUCCUUGCAGAGCGUGGGAGUCGAAAUCCAUACUUGAAACUAAAUCAUCCCCACCCCAACCCCUUAAGAAGGUGGAGAUUUGAACACCCCACCUUCACCUUCCAUGUUGGAAGAAUAGCCACCAGGACAAACCCUAUUUGUUGAACUUACGUUUUUCGCUUGCCCAUCAUAAUCAAAUUUUGUCGCACUUUUAUUUUAUAUCAAUCUAGGUCGAGGAAAAUUAAUAAGUCUAAUUUGGCCAAAAAAGAUAAAUUAAUGAGUCUACCCACUUGUUGUCACGCCCCGAACCUCGAGCGCAUGCCCAUCCCUAUCUGGUCGAUAAUAAAUUGCGACUUCCCAGGACGAGUCGCUGACCCUUUCCAUUUUAUUGCACAUGCGGAAGCGAAAAGAAAUCCCCUGACAGUAAUCAUCUCGAGAUAGAAAGGCAGGACAAUAGAUUCACAAACAAACAUGCUUUUAUAUAUACACUGAGUCAUGUACACAAGUCUAUGGCCAAAAGACUACAAAAGACUGGCCUUCCAAAAAGAAGCGGUCCUAACUGACCUACGCUUCCGAUCACCUCCUCUCAGCUCCAGGUCCUCCACUCGAUGACCCUGAAAAUGUUGUCCCACAACGGGGUGAGAUAUCAUCUCAGCAAGUCUAAGCUCUAAACCCCAAUUAGGAGGGAAAUAUGCCAAGAAGUGUCCUAAUCACACAAUCACACAAUCAAUGAGACUUACCUCGUCUCAGAUCUACCCUGCAAGUCAGUACAAUUUAUCUCAUAAACAACAUGAGAGUAUGAGCAACAAAUAAGCUCCAAUAAUUGAAACGCCACAUUCAAUUAAUCAUGCGUUCCUAGUUUUGAUCUCGGCAUAUAGCACGGCCUACUCUCAGUUCGGCGGUCUUCUGGCAUUGCCAGGCUUCGUCUCACCCCAUUGAGCACGGCAACUUCUCUUUAUCAGACGGCUUUCCCAAAGGAGCAUAGGGUCCAAAAUCAACUGCGACCGGCUUCCCGUUGUCCAGGGGGUAUCCCACAUAGGGAUAACGUCUAGCUCAACAGCCCGGGACGAUUUCUCUUGACCAUCACACGAUCACUCAAAUAUGGCCCAGGGCACCGUGCAUUGCACUCAAAUGCUUUAAUUAAAAUGGUGAGCCUGGCCUUUUUCUUCAUAUUAGAAAUUCACAUGAAAUUACUCGUGUGUGGGUACACGGUCAACUUGAUCCAGAAAAAUUGAUAUUCAUCCUUUUUGAAAUCCCACUAUUUUCUAUAGUACUAAAAACCAUUUUCAGUGUCAAAACCCGACACCUGGGAUUUUCUAAAUAAAUAUUGGAAAUUCACAAUUUUUGGAAUUAAAUACCGAAAAUCAAAUUAGCACUCAAUUUGCAUAAUUUAACACUCGAUUGCAAAAAUUAACCACACCAUUGCAAUCAGCACGAAAUUCCGGUCACCGGCUAUCCCGGCCUAAUUUCCGGAAAAAUAAUUAAUAAUUAAAUAAUUACUGAAAUUAAUUAAAUAAAUCAAUUUAAAUUCUAAAAAUACUAACCUAGGGCAAAAUCAUUAAAUUAAUAACCAAUACGAACUCGGAGAAAUUCCCGAACCCUACUAGAUAAUUAGUACAAUUUAUUUAGGCCUUAGCUAAACCAUGCUAAACCACCUAACAUGCUCAAUUAAAUAAUUCAAUUUCUAAUUUAAUCUAACUAACCACCUAAUUCCUAAUAAAAUAAAUCUAACACCCCUUAAACGUUAUUAGCCUACUAAGCAGAGUUUAGAGUAUAAACUCACCGGUUAAUUGCGGAAAUCGGUUCACCGCGACAACGACGCGACGGCGGCCGAAACCUUAAUUUUUGUCAGUGUCGACGAACUUGGGCCGGGCCUAAACUUAGCCCAACACAACUCAGCAAGGCUGGGUUAAGGUCUUGGGCUUCUGCAGGCUACUGGUCACGGGCUUGGGCCUUCUUCUCGAGCCCAAAAUGGCUGAACUUCAAAUGGGCUAAAACCAACUGAACUUGGGCCUGAGCUUGGGCUUCAAAAUUUGCUGGAGAAGGGCUGAAAAUCACUGGGCUGAAGACACUUGCUGGACUUGACUGCACUUGGGCCAAAGAUUGCUGGAAUGGACCGACGUUGCUGCUGCUGAAAGCUGGGCCUCGCUGACUCACGGGCUGAAGAAGAACGAGCGAGCUAGCGGAGAUGGAACUCGCAGAUACUGGGCCAUCGUGGGAGCUGCUGCAAGGACUUUCGGUGCUGAGGGUUUGACCAACAAAACGAGCGGUAGAGAGAAGAUGCGGCAGCAGCUUCGCUUGGUGGACCUUUGGACGGAGAGAGAUGGUUCGGUGGAAUCCCGGGGUUUCUUUGGUCAACAGUAGGGCUUUCGUGGAGGGGUGUGUUGACCGGCGGGGAACAAACCGAAGUGGAGAUUGUUGGAUAUAUUAUUAAUAUAGUCCAAAACAAUAUGUUCACAUACAAGCCCAAUAGGUAAAAGCAUGGUUAUUUGGGUCCAUAUGGGCCGAAGCCCAAUAACGUGCAUAUAAAAACUCUAGGGUUUCCCUACGCUGGAGGUAACACUGUUGAGCGUUCCAAACUUGACGUCUCUUGGUGUAAUACUUCAAGCAACUACUUCUUCUCUCUCAAACCUAUUACCUCUAACAAUCUUGAAGUAUUAGGUUCGUGUGUCGGAUUUGAGCGAGUAAAGUGUGUUCUUGAAGAUUUCGUCAAGACGAACUCGCGGCUGUAAUUUACUUUCGAUUUCGACGGUGAUAUUGGCCGGGAUCUGAGUUUGAAGAUUUGGGUGACCGAAAUCUUUGAUUCAAAAACCCAAAAAUUAUAGCCAAUUUAAGAGGGUGAAACCACUUGGGCUUUGAUCUACUCGUCGCUACGAACGUUUUUAGUGGUCACUCGCGUCAAUCGGAGGUCGGACGGAGAAGUUAUGGCACCCGGAAGUUUCCAUCUGAAUUUCUAGCGAAUUUUGGGGACGAAAUUUGUAGCGAAUUUCGGGGGGCGAAAUUUUUCAGCGAGUUUCAGUAACAAGGGCAGUCCAUCUUAAGGUUUUUGGGUGCUCCAGAUCCGUUUUUGGGGUUUGUUUUGGCAAAUUCCAUCUCUACAGAGCGGUUUGAUCAAGGUUAGGGGAGUUAUUCAACUUUGUUGCUCUGAGGACUUCAAGGUGCACUCUUUCUAACACUUUGCUUUGAUUAAAAUGGCAAAGCGUAGUUCCUAUGAUAUUAUAAAGUUGCAAUCUUUUGAUGUUACUGAAUUUCAUGGCUGGAAAUUACAUGUUCAAUUUGGCAUGAAAGAACGUGACAUAUUCUAUACUGUAUUGAGCGAUUUUACAUCUACCACUGAAGAUGUGAAUGAAUAUCAAUGGAACAAAGAUGAGGAUUUUUGUAAAGAUUACUUGCUGAACUCUCUGAAUCCUAAAAGGAUAGUCCAGUCUAGUUGAAUUGUAUCAUCAAGUUUGGAAUGACACAAUUUUUCCAGAUAGAACAUUUGAAUUAGGUUAAAGUCAUCUUCAUCAAAUUUGGAAUGAGACAACUCACCCUCUUCAAUUAGUCAGCAACUGUGAACAUCAAUGAAACAUAUAAACUGUGCUUAUCAUUGUAGCCAAUAAAGAAAGAUUUGAUAAUUCAAAACACAGGUAAGUAAAUGGUAGUUAAGACUUGCCUAUAUAGUCUUUAACCCCAGUUCCCCCACUGUUUUGAAUAAUCGAUCUUUAGGCAUACCUUUGGUGAGAGUAUCGGCUAUGUUAUCCUUCGAUCUCACAUCGAUCAAGGUGAUAACCCCUUGUUCUCUUAGAUAAUUCAACAACGCAUGUCUCAGUCUCACAUGUCUUCUCUUUGAAUUAAAGAGAGUAUUCUUGACGACUUGGACAGCUGCUCGAUUAUCACAAAAUAGGCUUAAAGAAUUAAUCUUUAGCCGAGUCAAAGGAAUAUCCAUAAUCAGAUUCUUUAUCCACUCUGCCUCUUCACCGGCUGAGGCUAAAGCAAAAAGUUCCGAUUCCAUAGACGACAAUGCAAUACAAGUCUGUCGUUUGGAUUUCCAAGUAAUAGCAGCUCCACCCAAAGUGAAUACAUACCCACUAGUGGACUUACUAUUUCCAAUAUCUGAGCACCAUGAGGCAUCAGAAUAUCCAUCCACAACUGGAGGAUAACCAGAAUAAUAAAGCGCAUAAUCUUUAGUACCUUUAAGGUAUCUCAUUAGCCUAUUAAGGGCAUCCCAAUGCUCUUUACUAGGAUUACUAGUAAAACGACUCAGCAUACCAACUGUAAAGGCUAUGUCGGGUCUAGUGCAACUCAUAGCAUACAUGAGACUACCAAUCAGUUUCGAGUACUUUAACUGAUCCACGCUGGUCCCUUCAUUAAGACUCAGUCUAUUAUUAUAAUCACAUGGUGUCUCACUCGGUUUACACUUAUCGUAUCCCCAAGUAGAAAGUAGCUGCUCAAUAUAAUGAGUCUGGCUAAGGGAGAUGACUUGCCGUUCAAAGCUUACUUUCAUACCAAGAAUGGUAUUAGCAAUACCAAGAUCUUUCAUGUCAAAUUCUUUAGCUAAAGUAGCUUUCACGUCGCUCACUACAGAAUGAUCGGAACCAAGAAUUAACAUGUCAUCAACAUACAAGCAAAUGAUGACUAUCUUAUUUGAUAUAGAACGAUGGUAAAGGCAUUUAUCUGAAUAACUAGACUGAAAGCCAUAACUCUUUACCACUUCAUCAAAUUUAAGAUGCCACAUCUUAGGUGCUUGUUUAAGACCAUAUAGAGAUUUAUUUAAUUUACAAACUUUGUCCUCAAGACCUUUCAUAACAUAUCCUUCCGGUUGUUCCAUGUAAAUUUCCUCAUUUAAAUCCCCAUUUAAGAAAGCUGUUUUUACAUCCAUUUGAUGCACUACAAAGUGUUCAAUAGAUGCCAAAGCAAGAAGAAUUCUUAUAGUUGAUAGAUGACACACAGGUGAAUAGACAUCAAAAUAGUCUAUUCCACUCUGUUGUUUAUAGCCUUUAGCUACUAAGCGUGCUUUGUAUCUGGCUAUUGAUCCAUCACUAUUCAGUUUCUUCUUCAACACCCAUUUACAGCCUAUAGCUUUAGCCCCUUUUGGCAAAUUUACUAGCUGCCAAGUGUAAUUCUGCAGCAGAGAGCUCAUUUCAUCAUCUAUGGCUUCUGCCCACAGUAGAGAUUCCCUAGAUCUCAUUGCUUCUUGAUAGGAGAAUGGAUCAUCCUCAAGAUGGUAAGCAACAAAGUCUUCACCAAAACUUUUGGGAAUUCUCUCUCUUGUAGAUACUCUAACUGGAAUUGGUUCAAUAGCCAACUGUGUGGAAUUAGUGUCAGAAGGGCCUGCUUCAGAUUCUACAGGAAAUUCUGAAAUCAUAUCUGUAGAUCCAGAAACAUUCAAGCCUUGAUCUCUGAUAAACUUGUUUUCAAAGAACACUGCAUCUCUAGAUUCUAUCACUGUGUUAGUAGAUAGAUCUAAAAACCUAUUUGCAGCGCUAUCUUCUGCACUACCUAGAUAUACACAAGUAAUAGUUCUAGAUCCCACCUUAGGUUUUUUAGGAUCUGGUAUACUUACAUAAGCAAUACAGCCCCAAGUCUUAAGAGUAUCAUAUCUACAAGGGCGCUUAUGCCAUAUCUCAUAAGGUGUCAUGGACAACUUAGAGUGCGGCAACCUGUUCAAGAUGUGAUUAGCAGUUAGAACUGCUUCUCCCCAGUAGGAGGAAGGCAUGCCAGCUGUAAGUAACAUAGAGUUUAACAUUUCAGUUAACGUUCUAUUCUUACGCUCUGCAACACCAUUUGAUUGGGGUGAAUAAGGAGCAGUGGUUUCAAGUAUUAUACCUUCUGAAGCACAAAAUUCCUUGAACCUUGACAUAGUAUAUUCUCCUCCUCUAUCACUCCUAAACCUCUUAAUUUUCAAGUUGAGUUGAUUUUCUACUCUAGACUUGAAAAUCUUAAAUUUUUCAAAAGCCUCAUCUUUCGAUUUCAACAAAUAGACAUGACAAUAUCUAGAAAAAUCAUCUAUGAAUGUUAUUAGAUACUUCCGACCACCUUUAGUAAUGUAAUUUCUAAAAUCACAAAUGUCAGAAUGUAUUAGCUCAAGAAGUUGUGUGCUUUUAGAAAUCAAUUUAAAGGGUUUUCUAGUAAUUUUAGCCUGUGCACACACUUCACACUUAUCAAAUCGAAUAGAAGUAUCUAAUGGAAUGUUAUGAGUUUUAGCUAAAUGUUGCAUUUUCCUGUAAUUCACAUGUCCAAGUCUAUUGUGUAGCAACUUUGGAUCGAUCAAAGUAGAAUUCACAUGGUUUAUGCUAUCAGCAUUUAAACUCAACCUAUACAUACCAUUAACCAUGAAUGCACAACCAAAAUAAUAUGAGUUAACAGAUAAAGUUACUCUACCAUUCAUAGUUGAAAAAGACAUACCAGCUUUAUCAAGUAAACUCAUAGAUAUUAAAUUCUUCUUAAGUAAAGGUACUACUCUAACAUGUUUCAGAGUUAGUAAUUUACCUGAAGAAAGCACCAAAUUUGCAGUUCCAGCAUGAGUCACCUUUGCCUCACCACCAUUGCAAUUUUCCACAGUGUCUUUCACUGGGUAGCAGAGUGUAAGUUGCCAAGGAAGCCAAAUAACGACACACCACAUAAUGAGGCCAAUAUGCUUAUUAGAGGAUCUGAGCCUCGAGCCUUUAUUGGAAUGAUGAAGAAUGGAAAGGCCAGCAUCUCUUCUGAGUGGUGGUUGGACAGUGGCGCUACUUGUCAUGCUACAAAUGACAAGAAUUUACUCACUGAGGUCACAGAAGUGCAAGACACUGUGGAAAAUUGCAAUGGUGGUGAGGCAAAGGUGACUCAUGCUGGAACUGCAAAUUUGGUGCUUUCUUCAGGUAAAUUCAUCUUGUUUUUGCAUGUAAGUGCUGUUGUGAAUCAUAAUUCAGGUCCAAUUCAAAUGGGUUACUAAGUCGAAGAGGAAUAAGUUUGCAAAGUACUUCCACCGAAUAUGGGUUCUAGAUUUCUAUAUUUCCUCACAGUUAUUGGCUAUGCCAUUAUCUCAUAGAGGGUGAUGAUCUAUGACUUAUUUUAUCCCAUAAUUGGUUUGAAAUUAAUUUCCUUCAAUAAACAAUGUAUCAUGGUAGCAUGCAAAAUAUUUGAUAUACUGAAUUAAGGAGGAAGAUAUUAUACUGGAUUUAUUAAGCUGAAUUUUUUAGAAAUUUUUUCUAUUUAGUCUUGAAGUAGUUGAUAUAUGUUUCUAGCAGAAAGUAAUUAUAAGACAAGUAGUGACAACUAGUCAUUCCUGAUCAGCUGAAGGUGAAAGAAAUAAUAGUUCCCUUCUCCCUUCCUUUCCUCAUGCGCUCUUCUGAUGUUUUUACCCUUCGUUUCAGCUGCCAGCAACUCUUAAAAUAGGUGUCACGGUUGUUAUAUCUCCCUUGCUAUCUCUCAUUCCAGAUCAAAUAAUUACUCUAACGCUCAAGUAUGGAAUACCAUCUACUUUCUUGAACUCUCAACAAACUGCUGCCCAAGCGGCAGCUAUUCUCCAAGAACUAAGGCAAGGUUUAGCUCUAUUGGACUUCUAGAUUUUUUAUGCUUAGUGUUGUGACUGUCAAAUUAUUAAUCUCCACUUCUGCUUUGCCUACCUUUUCAGAAAAGAUAAACCAUCAUGUAAGUUAUUGUAUGUAACUCCUGAAAGGAAUGUGGAAACCCAUCAUUUCUAGAGAUAUUGAAAUGCUUGCAUAAAAAGGUAUUGUUUCUAAUGUACCUCGAAAGCAAGUUAACUUUCCGAACUUUUCUUCAUUUUUUGUGUUUCUAGCCUAAUUAAAUUGUCAGUGUUACACUAGACCUUUUGAAGUCCAGAACCCUGUGAAGUUCUAAUAGAACAUAAUGCAUCGUUCCUUGUUUGAGAGAUCUAGGUUCCGUCGUUUGGGAACACUUAGUGGCACAUCGUUGAUUGUAUUGAGGAAAGAGCACACGCUUAAUUAAGCUCCAAUGGAAAUUACUUCCCAGAGUAAUUAGAACCGUCUUGUGUUUUAGGGCAUUGUUUCUCGAGAAAUCUGUUACUUUUGAGGUUGCCAUCAUAAGUUCUGUAGGUCAUAUGAUUUGUAAUAUUCCUCAAAAUAUAAUAAUCUGCCAAAGUUUUGGGUAAAUUUCUUUUUCUAUGAUUAGUAAAUUACUGGAUAAAUCAUAACUUUCCUUUGGUGACGUAAUUGUCCUUGUUGGUAGUAAUUUUACCUCUAAAACAUCCUUUCAUAGGUUUGCUUUUGAGUUUGGGGGGUGUACUUUUUCUUUAAAGGUCAUAAAUUAUCUGAAACCUAUGUUUGGUAAAAUUCCACAAAAAUAAUAUUUUUCAGUUAAUAGUAAAUUUGUUUUGUGUAUUUUUACUAACGUAUGUAAAUUAAUUGUAACUCUCCUCUUGUUUGCACUCGACAGUUUUGAGACCUAUGUUUUAGUUAUUUUCCUUACUCAUCGUAACUUUUCUUAAUCAAAUGAUAAUUUGAUCAAGUUUGUGUUCACAAUUUUCCUUUAAUGUUCGGAAGUGAUGAAAGAAAAUCGAUUUUGCAAAAUAGAUUUGACGGAUCAUGUUUUUUCCCUUUUUAUCCAACAAUCCAUGCUGAAUGCAGGAUCAAUCUCGUAAAAGAGAACUUUCACUUAUGAAAUUUCCAUUUCACUUAUGAAAUUUCCAUCACAAUCAAGACGUUUUGGCCAUAAUAAAGUAGUUCUUUAGUUUUUGCCAAACGAUAAAGUAGUGUUGGAAAUGUUAUUUUUCCAAAAUUUUGUAAAUCGUUCCAUUGAAAUAUAUUAAAGGUAAAAAUGUAACUAACCAACUAUAUUACUUUGUCAAUAUCUUCUUUUGCUGAUGCACGGCAACAGAUAAAUGAAAUUUGAAUGUUCUCUUUGCAUCCGAACGUGGGACCCUCCUCAAUCAGGGGGUCUUUGGACUUUGGUAUGGCGAUGGCGGAUCGACUUUGUCGUGACUUAAUUGACUCUGUCGUCCUACCGUUCGUUGGAUCGGUCGCGAACGAGAAGUGCGUUCUUUCCAUUGGAAAAGGCUAGAGAGCCAACUACCCAAAUAAGCUUCAUUCAAUAAACUAGACUCGAACGAAUAAGACUUUGGAUCCUGUAAUUUUCAUGUUUGGAGUGAAAUCGAAAUGCCAAAUUGGGUUCCACAACGAAUGAGGCUUUUCUUGAAAAGCGUGCAGGGAAUGACUCGGCAAUAGCUUAUAGGGAGAUGCCAAUUCCAGAUCUUGAAACCACUAUACCCUCCCAAGCCCAAUUCAAUCACUUUGCCACCACUACUGUUGGCCGCAAGUUGUCACCCCCAUUGGUCCCUAGUCGCCCAUCGCUUAUUUUAGUUGCCACUACCGUUGAGAAGUAUUCCUUUUCAAAAGAUUCAAAUCUCUUACAAUUCAGGCAAAUUUUUUUUUUUUGAACGAAAUUCAGGCAAUUGAAAAGGAGAAAGAGAUUCCUCAAUAUGAGAAUCCAUUUGAGGAAUUACUUGCCAUGGAACUGACAAAGCCUUAGCGUAAGCUUUUAGUUUGAAUAUGAAAACGCCAUCCGAUAAAUAUAUGUUACAAUCCCAAGAUAUAUGAGCGACCUCUCAUUUCAGCAUAUACAAUUUAAUUUUUUUAUUAAUGUGAAACACAUUGCAAUUUUAGAAUAAUAAAAUAAUUCACACUAAACUUUUUUAAGGGGAAAAAAGAAAGAGAGACUAAAGUGUAACCACACCGUUGGUCACUGAAAGAAAUCUAAUAACAUUCAACGCAUAUUCUUGUGAUUGAAAUAAGGAAAAUGGCGUCCAUCCUUCUCCUCCCUCUUGAUCAUAUGAUUUUCAUAGAGAGGCUAUCUAAAUACACGUCAGAAAAUUGUGGCAACUUGAUAAUUAUUUUAGCUUAAUUCCGAGGGAAAAUUAUUGAUUCAUUUCUCAAUUUUCACUCAAGAUUGCUCAUGUGGUGAUCUAAUAAGUAUCGACCAUUUGACGUGGCAUGGUUGGCGACCUGAUGUAGACCACUUUAAUUGAAACGUUUCGUGAAACCCACUUUAAUUUCAGCAGGCACAAUUCUCCAAUUUGUCGAAAGCCUCACUCUCCGUUGGCGACCAAGUUUAGUGUUGUCUCCUUUCACAUCCGUCGGCAAGCCCCUCAUAGGAAUUCCCACGUCUGGAAAAUACAUAUAUCCACCUUAACUUGCUCUUUUUCAUAUUCUAAGGUCUGAAUCUUCACCUUGUUCAUCCUCGAAUCGCGAUAUUUUUAACGCUCUUCUGUCUCCCUGUCUCUCCCAGCAUUCUUUGGUAUGUUCUGAUUCUCGAUGUGAUUCUGAUGGUGAAGUCAAUGGGGAUGCUUGUACCAUCUGUCGCCAUCGCGCUUGAUGGUCUGCUUUUCUUAUCUUUGGGUUUUUACCAUAUGGAUCACGUGCAAGACAAAGGAACUCAGCAGCGACAGGAGAAGAAAGAAACGGGUCGCUCUUCCAAAUCUGUUGCGUAAAUCAUCAUCAUCGCCCAGCCUCAGCCCACAAAAAGCAGUAGGCUCACUGGAGCUUUGUGCCCAUUGCCAAGCCCCCCCAUCCCAUCCCAUUCAAUUCAAUCACGCCCCCUAUCCCAAGAUCAACUUUGGAAAGGAGACGUUAGAUCCCUAUCACCACACCACCCCUGGCCAUCACAAACAACAAAUUUGUGUCCAUUGGAGCUGCGACUAAGUGAGCGAUCCCCUAGCCGCCCCCAGUAUGAUAACUUAACAUGUAUUUUCGCCAAUAUCAGCGACGCAACCGGGCCAACCCCAUUGGGCAAUUAGGCUUUCCAGGCCCAUGCUUGUCUCAAUAUGUCCUAAUUUUCAUAUAUUAUGAUGAUCCGUCUUAUCAUGACGAGUCUUAAGAAGACCCGCAUUCCGCAAAAAAGCAAAAUGAGAAUUUUCAUCAUAGACCCGCCAAGAACAUAACCAUCCAAACUUUAUAAGUUUGACAUGCAAAGUCUUCUCUUUGCAGAGGAAAAAAGAAAAGAAAAGAGAAAGACAUGAGAAAGUAUUUUAUGCGAGAGUUAACUAUUACCGUCGACGUGAGGGGGGUGUUCGUAUAAUUUAAGAUUAGGCGUUAGGUCCAUGGACUUAAAAAUUCAACAUAUGAAGGAAAUAAAGAGUGCACAUAAAAAGAGAGAAGAAAAAAAAAAGGACAACCCUAAAAUAACAAGAAAAAAAAUACGUGACAAAGAAAGGAAAGGAGAUCUUCUUGGAUUCCAUGUUUCAUGUGUCACAAAUUGGAGUUUAUAUAAUUUGAAUUUAAAAAAAAUAGUAAUGCUGCUUAGCAAAAAGUAAAGAAAUUACCUAAUCAAUAAAUUUAUUGUACAUAUGCCAAUUCAAUUCCAAAUUCUUUCAAUUUUAUCAAUUUAGUUUUAAAAAUUUACGCGAAAUUUCAGUAGUCAUUUUGGUCAACUUUCGCUAGAAAUCAUUGAUGUAGCAGUCUAAGUAUCGUCAGCCGUCUUAUGUGGUACACUACAAUGUUAGCAAUUUUAAGCAAAAUUAGCCAAAAUGAUUAUAUUAUGAUUUUGAGCAAAGAUUUUAAAUUAAUUUGAUAAAAUCAAAAAGUUUAUAACUUAAUUGAGGGAAAUUUUCAAAAAAUGACCUGAAGUGCCAUGAUUUUCUCAAAUAAGGACUCAAAGUGAACUUUGUUUCAAAUAAGGACUUGAAGUGGCAUUGAUUGUUUCAAAUAAGGACCUGAAGUGGUUUUGGUUGUUUUAAAUAAGGACUUGACUACAUCGGUUGCCGAUUGAUUAAAUUUUCCAACUGGUUAAUGGUAUUUUAAUUAUUUACCAUUUCCCUUAUUUUCUUCCUUUUUUCUCUUUUAUUUCCCUUUUUUUUUUUUUUUGUUCUUCUUUUUCCGCUUCACCGGUGGUUGGCCAGUCACUGGCAAUGCCCAUAGAGGGCUGGGCGAGGGUUGCCCUCAUCGACAAGGGCCACCCACGCCAGCCACAGGUGAGGUGACGCUCUCCUAGGGCCAUCUGCGAGGUUGGCCUUCGUCUACCCCAGACGAGGGCUCGACCACCCUUGCCAGCCAUAGGCGAGGCCCAAGCGAGGGCUCGACCACCCUCGCCAGCAGGCAACGACCCUCGCUGGCCCUUACCAACGGCCGGUCUGGCAAGGGUCGCCUCGCCCAAGUGAGUCUAUCCCUCACCUAUGGUCGGUGUGGGCGGCCCUCAUCGGCAAGGGUGACCCUCGCCCAACCCUCUGUGGGCAUCGUCAGUGGCUGGCUGACCACCAGUGAAGAGGAAGAAGAAGAACUAGCAAAAAAAAAAAGAAAAAGAAAUGGCAAAUGACAAAAAUAUCUUUGAUCGUCGGAAAGUCAGGUUCAUAUUUGAAAUAGACAUAGUCACUUCAGGUUCUCAUUUGAAAUAACAUUCACUUCAGGCCCUUAUUUGAGAAAGUAAUGUCACUUUAUAUUCUUAUUUGAAACAAGGUCCACUUCAAGUCCUUAUUUGAGAAAAUAAGGGCACUUUAGGUCCCUUUUUGGAAUUUUCCCCUAAAUUGAUACAUUUAUAAAUAAUUUUAGAUUUGAUUUGACAAUCUCCCCGAUAAUUAUAACCGGCAACCACUUUAUUAAAUAAAAUUUGGCUUGUUGACAUCCACGGUCUACUUGCAACUCUCACGUAAAAUACUUACUCUUCUUCUUAUGCUUACAUAGACCCAACGAGCUUCGAUCCAAGGUUGAUCCUGGACUAACCCUGGACCAGCCUAACCCUACUGGUCCUGGUUCGGUUCCUAAAAAGAUUGGGUCGGUCCUUGGUCCUAAAAUUUCUGGACCAGCACUAUGCGGGUUGGUUUUCGGUCCUGAGAGUUUCGAGUUGGUCAAAUCCAAACCAACCCUGAUUAUAUAUAAUAUUAUUUAUAAUUUUUUAUAUAGAGAAAACCUUAAAAUUAAACGGCUUUAACAACAUUAAACGGCUCUUUAGUAAGAAGUUCAAGUAAUUUUACAUUGUUCUUUAAUAACUUAGGUUUUUAAUGUCUUUUACGACGUCAAUUGUCAUAAUUUACGAAGGAUGAAAAUGUUUUUAUGAGGAGUCCUCACGGCAUCCAAAAAGGCACCUUAUGGCAUCUUUUUUUAGUAUUCUUUCUCUUCUAUCUUAUUUGUUUUCUUAGUCUUCAAUUUGCUAAAAUCGAAAAAAAACAACUUCUCCGCUCACCACUUGACACUCGCCUUGCUCGCUUUGGGUCACUUGUGCCGCUCGAUGCUCGCUUGGCUUGUUGCUCCUUGCUCGAUAUUCGAUGCUCAUUCUAUUCAACGCUCACCUCGCUUGAUCCUCACCGCUUGUCUUUCUUAGCUGACCUUGCUCAUCAUCGAAUCCAUUGGGUUGGUACGGUCCCUUUCAAAGAGUACAAAAAAUGAAAUAAAAAAUUAUUGGUUAGUCCUGAGUUGACAUUGAAACUGGACCAAACUUAUUGGAUCAGUCUAAUCCUCAAUCGUUUUUUUAAGGAGUACAAAAAAUGAAAUAAAAUAUUAUCAGUUGAUCCGGGUUGACCCUGAAACUGAAUUGAACCCAUUGGGUCGGUCCGGUCCUCAAUCUCAAGCUCAAUAGGGUCGAUCCUCAGCUCCAAAAAUUGAGAACCGGCAUUGUGCAGAUUGGUCCUAAGGUUAAGGGUGGACUAGCCCAACUUGGAUCAUGCUCACCCCUACCCAAGGGUGUCAAAUGAAACUAGAAAAACUUAUGGAGGGGGGGUGGGGAGCAAAAAUAGAGCUUCCAACAAAACUCAGGUGCAAAACGGAAUUUUUUAAAGAAAUAAAAAAAAUAAUGUGGCUACGGUAAAAAAGCAGAGCAAAAGAACAUCAGUCCCGCCAUCACUAGCAUGGUUUUUCUUCGAAGAGAGCGCUUCAAGCGAGCGCUCUCUCUCUCUCUCGAGACUAUGGAUCGAUUCGAUUACUACCCUCAUCGAUCGAUCGAUUCGAAUCCCGUUGAACAGGUUGAGAUUCCAUGGAGCAUCACGGGUUGGAGGAGGCAGAGAAGUCUCGGGUUGCUGAGCUUGGCUCUCGAUUUCGGCUUCGACAAGCAGUCCUCCAGCAAGUGCCUGGGACUGUCUCGUUUCGCUCUGUAGUAACUUUAAUCGUUACUUUGUCACUCAUCUUUUCUUUUUUCUUUAUGCUGAUAAGCAUUUGCAGAGGUUAAAUUGUGUAGGUAUUUCAUCGUCCACCACGACGAUGGUGAUGAUGGCUAGGGAAUAGUCUGCUCUAAGCUUGAAUAGAUCGGAGCGGGUUUGGUGAAGUAGUCUUAUCUCUGAUGAUAACUGGGCACGCGGCAAAGUUUUUCUUGCUUAUUGGCCAAAAUGCGCUGUAUCUGGUCAUUAGAUAAUGACAGCAAAUAAUCAAUGUCUUGGUAUUAUGCACAGUUGCAAAUGAAUUUAUAUAGAAAUGAAGCUCUUCUGUUAAUGCAUUUUUCAUUUUGACUUUUAAUUCCAAAUUGCUGAUGAGUGUAUUGAUUGAACGUACCAAUGGCAAUACUGGCAUUGCCUUUGGCAUUCAUGGCGGCAACAAAGGGUUACGGGCUAAUCAUUACAAUGCCAGCAUCUAUGAGUUUGGAAAGAAGGAUCAUCCUCCGUGCUUUUGGAGCUGAGGUGGUCCUGACCAAUCCUGCCAAGGGCGUGAAGGGGGCUAUUCAGAAGGCAGUGGAGAUAAUGGCAAGGAAACCUAACUCUUACAUUCUUCAGCAGUUCGAGAAUCCUGCUAACCCAAAGGUACAUGUGUGGUCAACUGUCAUGUCUUGCUGGUUGUGUAUGCAGGUGAUAACACGAACUUCAGCUUGGUUGUCAUUGUUCUGUUUAAAUACAUUAUAAAACAACCGGACCAGAGAUAUGGAAAGGCUUGGGCGCCAAAGUAGACGCCUUUGUUUCUGGGAUAGGAACUGGUGGUACUAAAACUGGUGCUGAAAAGUUUCUGAAAGAGCUAAACCCUCAUAUAAAGGCAGAUUGUUUUUAUGAUACUGUUUAUCACGUGUUGAACGACAAAAUAUUGUCAAUUUUGGGUGAUUAUCAACUAUGGAUGCCUUGAAUAAAAAACCUUGUGCCUGAACAUUCUUUUUGUGUUGAACCUGUUGAAAGCCCCUUAUUAUCUGGAGGCAAGCUUGGUUAGUUCCCUUGAACACGUUCAUACCUUUCGCGAUUAUUAAAUCUCCAUGCACAAUCUAGUUUAUCAUCCAAUUUUGUUUCAUUAAGAUUGGUUGAUGACCUGUGAGAGAUUGAUAUGAUGUGGUCUCAUUUUUAGUCCUUAUAGUUCAAGGCUCAUGGUUUCGCAUCAUUGCAUGGGAAGAGAAACAAACGGUCUCCGUAGAAAGCUAAAACAUGAGAUGCUAAAUUGUUGAUAUAAAUAGGCUGAUAAAAAAAGAAAUAGAAAAGAAAAGAAAUAGAAAAUUAAAAGAAAAUUAAAAAUAAUUCAAAUUAAAAAAAAUAAAAUAAAAAAUAAAAAAUCAUUCUAACAAAAAAAGAAAAGAAGAAAAAGAAAGGGGAGAAGGAAGUGAGGAUUUAUAGAUGUGUGAGAUAAGAGAGAUUAAGUUAGGAAAAUAUUUUUCACUUUUCAAAAGUAGAAAAUAUUUUCCUUUAAUUUAGAAGACUUUUUUUUCCUUUCAUGGAAAACAUUUUCCCGGAAAUUAUUUUCCGCAAAACGAAUGGAGCCUUAAAUAUUGAUAAUUUUCCUUACUCAUUAUAACUUUUUUCAAUCAAAUGAAAGUUUGAUCACCUUGUGUUCGCAACUCUCCUUUAACGUUUGCAAAUCCAAAUUCUAUGACAAAAAGUAGAUUCCGCAAAACAAAUUUGACGAAUUGGUUUUUUUCCCUUUCUUAUCCAGUGGUCCACGUUGAAUGCGGGACCAGUCCCAUAAAAGGAGAGCUUCGACUUAUGGAAUUUCCAUUGUGAUCAUGAUGUUUAUGGCACAACAAAAUAAUGUUUUCUUUUUUGCCAAACAGUAACGUGGUGUUAGUACCAACCAAAAAAAAAAAAAACAAUGUUGAAAACCUAUCUUUCCAAAUUAUUUGAAGUUUGCUCUAUAUAUAUAUAAAGCUAAAAAUUUAAAUUAAGAUAAGUAUUACUUUAUCAAUUUUUCCUUUUGCUGAUAAACAGCAACAGAUAAAAAGAAAUUUGAGAUACUUUUCAUAUUCUUAUGUAUACAAAGAAGCCUUUACCCAUAUUCCGAUCUGCCAAGUUCAAGAAUGAUUCAAGCCCGGAAAAGAAAAAUGUAAAAUAAAAAGGCCCCCAUCCCCCAAAAACCAACCAGACCCAACCGUGGAGGCAAAAAUAGAACUUCAACAAACUUCGGGUGCGAAAACGGAAUUUUCAAAAGAAUGGAAAAAAUAUGGCUCNNNNNNNNNNNNNNNNNNNNNNNNNNNNNNNNNNNNNNNNNNNNNNNNNNNNNNNNNNNNNNNNNNNNNNNNNNNNNNNNNNNNNNNNNNNNNNNNNNNNAUAAAAUAGGAAAGGAAAAACAUCAUCAAUCCCGCCAUAGUUGGCAGGGUUUUUCGAACAGAGCACUUCGAGCGCGCGCUCUCUCUCUCUCUCUCAAGAGACUACGGAUCGAUUCAAUUCCACUUCGUGCAUCAUCGAUCGAUCGCUCGAAUCGCGUCGAGCAGGUUGAGAUUCCAUGGAGGUAUCGGGGCUUGGAGGUAGAGAAAGCUCGGUUGCAGAACUUGGCUCUCGAGUUCGGCUUCAACGAGCAGUCCGCCAGCAAGUGCUUGGAUCGUAACGUUUCCCUCUACGGUAACUCGGAUCGUUACUUCGUCGCCCAUUUUUCAUGCUGAUUACCGUUGGCAGAGGUUAUGUAGGUAUUUCUCGUCCCCGCGAAGACGAUGGCUGUGGAAUAGUUUGUUCUAGGUUUGAAAAGGAGCACUUUUUGUCCUGGUCAGCGUUGCGGAGGUUGUAUAGGUCCUUCUGGAAGUCUGCUUUAGGUUUGAAUAGAUUGGAGCUGGUUUAGCGAAGUAGUCUUUUUGACGAACAAAAUGUCUGGUGCUGUUCCAGUUUGAUGUGUUUAGGUUGCUUUGGGUGGUGGUUUUUCUUGGUUAUUAGCCGAAUCGCGUGAUAUCUGGUGAUUAGGGAAUGACGUAAUUGCUUGUGUUGUGAAGAUAAUUUUUCAUUGAUCGAUUGUGCAUUUGCAAGGAAGGAGAUCUAUUGCUGUCAGUCGUCACUCUGAUGAUGGCUCUGGAAUAGUCUCCCUUUUGGAUUUGAAUGGACCGGAGCUGGUUAAAUCUAGUUCAUUGAGCGUUAAUCCCAUCCCCGUUUCUCCGAGGGUUUUGCGGAGUAGUCUUAUUGACUAGCGAAAUGUCUAACUUAUCUCUGAACUAACCACAAAUUACAUAUGGUGUCUUGCCUACAAUUAAGUAUGGCAUCUCACGGUAUUAGCUGCAGAUUACAUGUAGAUUGUAAUUAUUUGAUCUUUUUUUGGUCAUGGAACUUGCAAAAUCAUCUCUCUUCUUUUGGUUGUCUGAAGGUGAUGAAGGUCAAGAAUUUAUCACUGUGGAGCACUAUGGCGAUGAUUUUCUAGCAGAACUCGCCGAAACUAUGCAAGACACUGAGGAUUGGGAUGAUUUGCAAGCUGCAGAAUCAGAAGCUUGUGGAGUUUUGACUGAUAUGUUUGGCCAAGAUACCCCUAAUGAUAGCAAAUGCAAUGUUGUGCACGAUAUUAAUAUUAUAGAAGAUUCUCCACAACCUGAGAAAAAUCGGACUGUUUUUUUAGGUGGAUUCCUCUACUGACAGUGAAGACGAAGAAAUAUAUUUGGCAGUAAAAUGGACAGGAAACCCUCAUGCUAUAUUCCUGAUCAAAGCAGUACUCCAAGCAAUUCAUCCACUCAACUUCUGGCCAGACCAUCUUCAGAAUACAUGGUAUGCUUCUGAAAACUGUGAAUUUGUCUCGCUCCUUCUGCCCCCACCNNNNNNNNNNNNNNNNNNNNNNNNNNNNNNNNNNNNNNNNNNNNNNNNNNNNNNNNNNNNNNNNNNNNNNNNNNNNNNNNNNNNNNNNNNNNNNNNNNNNNNNNNNNNNNNNNNNNUGUCUCAGUAUUGUAUAGGGUUGGCCUUUCGGUGAAGCAACUGUGGACACCUGAAGAGGCCACAGUAGUUACUGGGAAAAUCCCAGGAGUCUGGCCACAAUGGUCUAGUUGUUUAGGAGGUUGACAAAAAGUUGGCAGAUCUGGGCACUACUUUUUGUUCUUUUAACAAUGAUUCUGCAACCCAUAUAUCCAUUUAUUUUUGUUGCUGAGGUAUAUCGGGGUCAACAAGGACAAUGAGAAGAAUUGAGAACAGACUGUCUUGGUUUUUGAUUGGGAGAGAUUAGAGUAUCCUUCUUAUAAAACUGUUGGGAAACGCUUUCCACUCGUCUCAUUCGUUUUUGAUUGACUCUCACAACUGGCGUUUUGGUUAGUGAGACAUUGAUUUAUUACUAUUGUAAUUCCCUCUUGGUCCUUGUGGAACAACUCCUCCUGUUGACGUAGAUGAAACUGCUCAUCCCCUUAAAUUAGGGUGUCACUGUUCUUUGCUCUUAAAAAUAUGUCUUUCCUGUCAUUUCCAGUUUGCUUGUAAUUCUGCUCCCAGCAAAGGACCUCAUGCAAUGUAACUGUACAAAAGUAUUUAAUAAAUUGCUUAUGAGGUCUCUCAUCUGAUCAAAUGUUUGGUAGACACUCCUAACUUGCCAGUUACUUCCACGGUCUUUAAGAUCUAAAAUGACUUUAUUAGAACUGUUUGGUCAAUAAAAACAGUUGACUUUUGUUUUGGAUGACAUAACAAUACCCAUAUUCCAUACGUCCCAUUGAUGGCCUUAACUGCAACUGCCACUUAGCCAGUUCAUGAGGUACGAAACUUGCACAUUAUCCUCCAGAUCAUGUUAAAAAAUCAUUUGGGUAUGAUCGAAAUGUACAUCUAUUGCAGGAUAUCCUAAAAGCUCUUGGGAUCCGCCAUGCUCUUGUUCUGGAGCCAAGCGUUGACAGACCAAACCUAAAAUAUGAGGUCAUAGCUAAGACCAAUGAACCACUGAAGCAGCUUGGAGAGCUGCUAAAGAAUCGNNNNNNNNNNNNNNNNNNNNNNNNNNNNNNNNNNNNNNNNNNNNNNNNNNNNNNNNNNNNNNNNNNNNNNNNNNNNNNNNNNNNNNNNNNNNNNNNNNNNAUGUUGCAAAAUACUUGAAUGAUAAGUGCGGUAUAAAAGACAGGGUACUAUCAUGCUGGAUUAGCAGCCAUCAAAGAGUAGCUGUUCAAAAGAAAUGGCAUACUGGAGAGGUCCAGGUUGUAUGAGUAACCAUUGCUUUGGGAUGGGAAUAGAGAAACCUGAUGUUAUAAGUUGAAAUGGACUCUAAGCCUUUGCCUGCUUUUAGUUUUAGAAUCAAGGUGACAUGCUGGCAAAUGCUCAACUAUUUCACUUUUUUUCUAAUGUUUAGCUUCGCUGAUCGGUUUGAUAGUUUGCUUGGAAGUAAACUUUGCUGUUUCCAUGGUUGAGUGGCCUGCUAAAUUGUCAUUCUUGGCUAUUGAUUGCGGGAACUAGCAAAUUAUGUGUCUUUUUCAAGUCAAAUUCUUUCUUCCAUGCAUGGAACUUUGGUGUGCUGAAAUUAAGUUAAACUAGGAUAAAGUUCUUUUCUUUACUGUAAAAGUGGCAAAUGAAUCUGAUCUAACUUGACUUUCUGUUAUAAUGUCUGUCAUAUUUCAACUUAUUUUAGUUGGUUCAGUAAUUAUUUUUUUUAUGGCCUGUGGUCAGUGUUUUGUCGUCCACAACACAAUGUCCAAGUCAAUCGAAAGCUACUACCAAGAAUCAAGGAGGGCAGGAAGAGAUAAUCUACCAGCAGUGGGCAUUGCUCUAUAUGGCAAAAAGGAUUUCAGCCGGGUUGUGUCCAUGUUAAGGAGUGGUCAAGGAUGUAAAACAGAAAUCCUUAGAAGUGCAAUGGCUUAAGCUAGGAAAAUGCAGCAAUAUUGUGAACUCAAGGUAAUCCAGUUUCUCAAUUUAUCUCUGAUGAUCUCAACUAAGCGAUGCUUCUAUUUUGUCUUUACACUUUCCAUUUUGUUCUAUUGAUUGUUGUUAGUGUUGGUCUGGCAUUAACUCGUCUGCGUGCUGGAUUAUUAGAUGGGUCUGUUGACAACAUAUUCAAACAAUAAUGGAACCUUUGGGAUAAACUCAUAAUCCGCACACCUAAAUGGAGCAAAGUCUAUUGAUAAACAUGCGUUUCCUCUCUAAUUUGUGAAAUUCUCAGGAUGAGUGAUGGCGGCAAACCUUACUUGGACACUAUGGCAAGUCUUUGAAUCAGAAAGACUGUAAAUACGGUUCUAAUCCCUAUGACAAUUGUCUCAAAGCCUCUAUCGAGCUAAACCUUUCAGGUGUCAACUCUCCUGAGGGCGAAAGGUGUUGACUUACGCAUGACCUUGAGCCGCACAGUUCUAGUUCCAUCAUCCGCAAUUAUUGGAAGACUAAAUGGUAAUGGAGGGGCAGAGGUCCUUAACUAUGGACACAGAAUUCUUCAGUUCCGAUGGUUCAAUAGGACGAUUCGACCAGUUGACCUUUAGACUAGAACCCAAACCGGUUCUUUGACCGUCCGGGUCUGGAAGCGCUGCUUGACACGAUUUCAAGACCCGAUUAUUACAUGUAAACAAUAAUUGCCGGCUCUCACAGCGAUAUUGCUGUGAUAACAUGGAGGUUUGAGCGGCACUAACUUGGCAGAGAUAUGGUGGCUACUCGAUGCUGACAUUAUCUUCCUAAGGAUGAUGCAAGGUCAGGCCGUGGCACUAACUUGGCGGUGAAUAGCGCUAGCUUGUCUGAUGAGUGGUUCGUUGACAAAUGAGUGUCGAAGUUUGGCGGGGUAUGAUGGCACAGAUUGGAGGAGUUUUUGUCGUCCCGUUUCGUGAGGCUUUCAUCCAUGGUGGAGUUGGGUCGCAGUGGACCUCAAUUCAGCAACGUGAUUCUUGGAUUCAAAGUCUUUUUCAGUAGAUUUCUGCAGAGGCUGUCUCAACGGGGAUGGCGAGCUUCGAAACGCUUGCGAGCGACGAAUGAACUGAAGGCCUUUUGUACAUAACCAGAAUGUCUAAUACAGGUACUGGCGAUCAGUUAUGUACACCCCAAAGUAGUAUAGAGAUGCACAAUAUCAUGAAUGUAGACAUAAAAUGACCAUCUACAAGAUGCACACAUUAUUCUGAAUAUGUAAGAGAUUUGGUAAUUGUGUGUUGUUCACCGCAAUCAUAUCUGACAAUUUGUAACAUUGUUUUGUAAAUUAAUGAUUUUUAUCCAAUAUUGCAAUUAAACAGAUUAUGGGUGUUGUUUGAAGGGAGGUUUUUGGCUCAUACUUUUGUUAGACAAAUAGGAGCCUGGUACAAUUUUUACACUUAAAGUUAGGUUUUCCUCUAUAUAUAUAGCUUUUCAGAGUUUGAAAUUAGGUUUUUAUUUAAUGUUAACAUCUCAAUUUUUUGAAACUCGGAGAAUGAUUUUCAAAGCUGGCGUUUUAAUUUGGUUCGUAGCAAGAAAAAUUUCUUGUUAAUUAUUUAUGGGUUAUUGAAUGCGUGAAAAUGAGUAAACAUGGUAUUUGUCUUCUGCAGUAUUGCUUGGUAAUUGGAUUUGGUUGUUAAUGUGUAAACAAAGAAAUAAUAUUCAUCUUCAGUCGCAAAAAAGAUAAAUAAAUAAAUAAAAGAAGAAGAAGAUUUUGAAUAGAAGGCGCGGUUUAAGAAAUUGUUCAAGAAAUUAUGUUCUAUUAUUAGAAGAUAUGCGAAGAACACUAUUUACUAUCAAUUAUUAAAAUGUUUGCAUCUUGGAUAAUGUUUUUUAUUGAUUCAUAACCAAUGACUUUCAAAAAUAGUCGCAGGACAAGUUAUUGAAGCCAAUUAGAUUAUUCUAUCAAAAGAACUAUAAAUGAAUAUUAUCUUUUUGAUAGCUGAUCAUAAUUAAAUUUUAUCACUUCCAUUUUAUAUCAAUCUUGGCAGAGGAUAUUCUUACCUUUUACCAAAAAAAAAAAAAAAAAUCUUGGCAGAGGAGAACUAAUAAGUGUAAUUUGGCCAAAAUAAGAAAAAUUGUAUACUUCGUCAGUCACUAAUUAUUUGUCUUGGUCUUUUAUAAUGGUUUGAGUCUUGGUCUUUGUUUUUUAUUUUUUUUCGCUAGAAAUAGUCUUGGUCUUCGUAGCAUCUUCCACUAGCUAACAUGGAUGGGACCUUAGAUUGUGACAGUCUCCCCAAGGGUAAGAAUCAAUAUUUGCCUUUUAAAAGAUGGUCAUGGAUAAUGAUGUAGAAAUAUGAUAUUCUUAAAUUAAUCAUUGUAGGUAAAAGCACAGCAAUUAUAAUAUUAUUUCAAUUUAAAAAAUAGAAUUAAAUAGGAAAACUACUCUUAUUUAUGAAUGUACUUACGCAAUACUAUCGUUAGAUUAUAAUUAUUAUUGGUUGUAAUCUUGCUGAGAUGAUUCAAUGUUUGCUGAGAUUUCAUGUAUACAUUUAUGAAUGCAGCCAACACUUAGAAAGAUUAUUGAAAUCUCUUGAAAUUGUGACAAGAGGGCAAACAAAGAAAUAAUUAAAUGUUGGAAAUGUGGUACGGUCACUUUUCAACUUGCUCACAGGAAGAAAACGGUAAGUAGAUGCUAAUCUGCAAAUUCAUUAAUUGAUUCUUGUCCAUCUCCUUCUAAGUUCUAAACUUCAUCAAUCCAUUGAAUGUGCGAGUAUAUUUCAGACAAGUUAUAAUAAGGUGCAUAUAAUUAUAUAGUAUUUUCCAUUUGAUAAACAGUGCGAUGCACUAAAUAAACCAUAUAGUCCAACCACAUAUUUCCUCGACCUUUGAGAAUUAAGGAAAAAAUUAAACCAUUUCAUGGCAUCUUAUUUAAUAAGAUUUGAUCAAGCAGUGAAUGGAUUCCAAUUAGAUUGUUAUUUUGGACAUGCAUUGAAAAUGUAUAAAUGGAUGAAUUAUUUCUAGUAUAUCUCAUAUCGGCCUAUUGGAUUACGAUAUAUGGAAAUUGGAUCAGUGCUGAUGGUCAAACUACGUCUUGAGAUAUGUUAUAUAUUUAUAGGCCGGUUUCAUUUCAAGCUUAAUCACAAUUGACAUGAUUUCUAAGCUAACUACAAUCAAUGUAAUUUUCGAGCCUUAUCACCUCCCAAAACGUGACUUGAACUGAGCAUCGAGUUAUGCUUGGGCCAGCACCACCCACACAUGGUCGGCAUGGGCCUAGACAUUUUAAAAUUUAAUUUAAGAAAAAUUAAAUUAAAAACAAUGGUAAUUUUUUUCAAAUAAUAAAAAUAAUGAGAAAUCAGUUGAUGGAAAUUAAUAAGAAAAAACACUCAUUCAGUAAACCAAAUUGAACACAAGUAUAUCUUCUAAUAAUUUGAAAAAAAAAAUUACAUCUAGUGGUGCUCUAAUAAUGAUUACACUCACACAAUCGUGUCAUUCACCAUGAUUCAUAUAAUCCAUUACUGUCGGUGCUCUCAUGUCCAUGUUAGGCACCGUUCCUCCAAAGUUAAUCACUGUUUCGUACGGACGCCUUGUAUGUGCCUCAAAACUAGGCAAUCGAUGUUUCAUGUAUUCCACCGGAAUUGAGUGUUUUACCUAAUCUUUUUUGUAUUUGUGUUCUGCAUCUACCAAUUCCUUUAUAUAGAUAGCCAUUUCCGAAAUUCCUACCUCUUUUUCCUAUUAUUUGCAAUUAAUUGUAUCAUAAGGAUGCGUAUAUUAGUCUUUGGCUUAACAUUAUCUCCCCUGCAAAAUGGAUUCCACUCGAGAAAGGCACUCUAAAGACCAAUGUGGAUGGCUCGCAUGCGAAGGGACAGAGAACAGGAAGCGUUGCCCUGCGUUUGUAGAGACGAGUCUAGGAACGUUGUCGCUGGAUUUACGAAGGAAGUGCAGGCGAACUCGACGGAGCAAGUGAAAGCUCUAGCGUGCACAGAAGCCAUAUGCUUCUUCUCUUCUACUUAUGAACUCAAGUACUAUCUAGAGUUAGAUAAUUAGAUAACGAAAAGCGCGCUUUCAGAUCAAGAACAGCCAACGUGGAGCAUCCAUGCUCUCAUCUCUGAAGGCAAAAACUUGCUGGCCAAUACAAGGGCAUCCGAUUAGCCCACUGUAGGAGAGAAGCGAGCCAAGUAGUUGAUUGAAUCUCUAAGGCCCAUCGGCAAAAAUCCCUUCCCACCAACUGGGUUUCUUAUCCCCAAAAAUAUUGUAGCAUCUAAUUUGUUUAGAGGUUCGCUUAGUUUGUAAUUGCGGAACUACUUGAAAUAAUGAAAGCAGUUUAUUUUGACAAAAAAAAAAACAUUUAGAUUUCUCCACCAUCUCCCGAAAUGUAGAAGAUUGUACAAAAUUUUUGUAGAAACACUUAAUUGCAUAAUUUUUCGAUAAUCAGGGUUCUNNNNNNNNNNNNNNNNNNNNNNNNNNNNNNNNNNNNNNNNNNNNNNNNNNNNNNNNNNNNNNNNNNNNNNNNNNNNNNNNNNNNNNNNNNNNNNNNNNNNNNNNNNNNNNNNNNNNNNNNNNNNNNNNNNNNNNNNNNNNNNNNNNNNNNNNNNNNNNNNNNNNNNNNNNNNNNNNNNNNNNNNNNNNNNNNNNNNNNNNNNNNNNNNNNNNNNNNNNNNNNNNNNNNNNNNNNNNNNNNNNNNNNNNNNNNNNNNNUCUUUCGCGUGGCUCCUCACACUUGCCCAUCCACCACUGCGAGCGAUUGAUUCCAUGAAUCGGUCAGAGUCUUAGGCCUUAUGUGAUAAACAAAUGCAAAAAUGGCGGAUUUCUAGAAGGGCGACGGUGCUUUAUUUUGCUUGAAGGGGAUGAUUAGGAUGAACCCUUUGCCUUCACCUCUCUGUUUCGCUCAAUUCUUGGAGGGAUCGUGGAGAAGAUGAAGAAGCAUUGCGCCCCGGCCAUCGACAGGACCGGUCGGAUGAAUUCGAAGGGAAUGACUCCCAUCGUUUUUAGGCCAUGCAUUCUGAUGAAUUGUCUCUGCCAAUUGAAAAGGUCCAAUCUUGGACUCGAACCCACAACCGUGAGCUUUAAUCCUCAACAGAUGGCUUAUGUUGCAUAGGCAAAUGGAAAAUAAAGCAAUGAUUUUGUUAAUGAAUACAACGCGAUUUACCAUUCAUUGUUAAAAGAUUUGCAUCUUGGAAAUGUUUUAUUGGUUGACAAUCAUUGAUUUUUCAAUGAUAGAUGAGAAGAGUUAUUGAUGGAAUUGAAAGGACCAUCAAUGAGUUUACUUUUUUUGUUGGCUGAUCAUGAUGAAAUUUUGUCGCACUUUCAUUUUAUAUCGAUCUAGGCCAAGGACAACUAAUAGAUUUUAUUUGGCUGAAACAUCUUCUGACUAGGUAACAUAAAUAGAACCUUAGGCUCCAUAUGUUUCGCGGAAAACAUUAGACCAUGUGAUUGCAUUAAGGAGCCAUGAACCCAACCCUUUGCUAAUAGGGAGGCUGUUAUCAUCCGUGAACACAAAUAUUGGUACAAUUCCAUCAUUUAUCAGAUUGUUGUAGUCUCGAAAGCUCAAGAAUACAUCACGAUGAUCACUUCCCCCCUUUGGUGUUGGAGAGAUGAAUGUAGAUGUAGAUGCUCUGGCAGCGCUCUUCUUUUCAGCGAGCGCUAUUGCUUCCACUAUUUUUCCUUGUCUUGAGAAGAUUAUAAGCGCACACCGAAAGAAGAAUUGGCGCGACAAGCACCACUAAAAGAAUGCCCCAAAGCCGAACUGAUGGCACUUCGUUGUUCUCGUUGAUUUGGCUCUUCCCUUCAUCCAUGGAAGUCCAAUAGCAAAAAGAAAAAAAGGGAAAUGCCCUUCCUGUAGCGCAUAAAGGAUAGAUUAACGUAUCAACCGGACUUAUGCAUCAACUUGAAACGAUCGCCGCCACACGCUCAAGAGUGAAGUGCACAACUUCUUUUACCCAAGAAAAAGAAAAAUUACAGACCCAAGGGUGUCAAACGAAACCAGGAAAAACUUGUGGGGGGCAAAAAGAGAGCUUAAACAAACUUCGGGCGCGAAAACGGAAUAUUUAAUAAAUAGAAAGGUAAAACGUCAAUCCCGCCAUCGCUGGCGAGGUUUUUCGAACAGAGUACUUCGAGCGCACGCUCUCCAGAGAGAGGCUAGCGAUCGAUUCGAUUCCGGCUCGUGCAUCGUCGAUCGAUCGAAUCGCUCGAAAAGGUUGGAAUUCCACGGGGGAUUGGGGCUUGGAGGAGGUAGAGAAAGCUCGGGGUUGCUCAGCUUGGCUCUCGAGUUCAGCUUUGAUGAGCAGUCUGCUAGCAAGUGCUUGGACCAUCUCGUUUCGCUCUACGGUAACGCGAAUCAUUACGUCGAGUUAUGUAGCCCAUUUUUUAUGCUGAUUGGCCGUCGAAGCACUUGCUGGCAGACUGCUCGUCGAAGCUGAACUCGAGAGCCAAGCUCAGCAACCCCCGUGGUCCGUCCUCCAGCAACGCGGCGUCAAGGUCCGCGGAUCCGACGUAAGUGCCCCUUUUUCUCCCACGCGCAUUGCGCACGCUAGCAAGAACACUCGUUCGGCAGAUGACUUGACGCGCUAGCUCAGCUUGCGUAGUUCCCGUCCUGCUGGGUUGGCGUCGGAAUUCGCGAUAGCUUCGGUUCAUUCAAUGCACGAAAAGUUUCGCGCAAUGUUUUUUUUUUUUUUUUGGUUACGUGAAAGCCUAGUUGAGGUCUUGUAAUGCUCGGGGCGUCUUGAUUUCAGCUUUUCAUGCUUUGAAAUGUGCGGCCGUGAGUUGUGGGGAUAAGAGGUGGGAGAGUGUGUGAUGUGUUUGAUUUUAUGCUCCAUCCAGUGGAGAUGCGAAUAUGGGUUCCUGGGUAGUUUCGUAUACGGCCUUGCUGUUUGGAUAAUUCUUCUGUGGAUAAAUUGUCCUUGUUCUCAAGGAUUUUUCUGUGCUGGCUGAGCUGUGGUCAUUGGUCAAAUUUUGUACUCUGGACAUGCUUACUAACAAGAUUAGUGAGUUGACAGUCUCUUUAAAUGGGUUCGUAGGUUUUGUGUGAGAGGGUGAGUCUCCCGUUGAUGAACUUCACAUUUCAUAUCUCGAAAUUUGAGUUAGAUUCGAGAUACAGCAGGAUAAGUUUGGUGUGACUGUAAGAGAUUCAUGCCAAAUAUUAGGAUACGGAUAUCCAACAAACAUCAAACGGCAGAGAGGGCGGUCAGUUUGAUGAGUAUCAGCUGUCUCAUAAUUGGACUCGACUAUAAAGUGGUAAAUGAGGAUUGCACAUCGAGUGUGUUUAUCAGGUUGUUCAGUUUGGUAUUUUUCAUACAGUCAUAUAAUUUUUAAUUUCUCGCAUCACUGAACUAAGUGCAAAUCGCAUAUUGUAUAUUGUGUUUAUUUGAUCUCUUAUUUGCCAUGGAAUGUGCAAAAUCAUCUCUUUCUUCUUUUGGUUUUCUUAAGGUGACGAAGGUCAAGAGUUUAUCACUGUAGAGCACUGUGGCAAUGACUUCCUAGCAGAACUUGAUGAAACCAUGCGAGAUUCUAAGGAUUGGGAUGAAUUGCAAGCUGUGGAAAUCAGAAACUUGUGGAGUUUUGACUGACAUGUUUGGCCAAGAUAUCGGUAGUGACGGUGAAUGCAAUGGUAUACAAGAUAUCGAUAUUGUAGAAGAUUCUCCACAACCUAAGAAGAACCAAACUUUUCUUGAGGUGAAGAUUCCUCUACUGAUAGUGAUGACGAAGACAAUAUAUUUUCAGUAAAAUAGGCAGGAAAUCUACAUACUAUGUUCCUAACUAAAGUGGUACUCCGAGCGAUUCUUUCAUUCAACUUUUGGCCGAACAAUUUUUUAGAAUCCAUGGUAUGCUUCAACCAUGGACAUAGCCAAUACAUGCCAAACCACUUAAAUCACUAUGUCACUGUUAUGUUCUCAUAUAAUUUAUUCUCUGCUUGAUCAUUUUUAAUUUUGCUUGCAAUUUUGCACAUAGCAAAGGACCUACAUGAUGUACAUGUACAAAAGCAUUUAGUAAAUUUUUCUUGUGGUGCCUCUCAUCCAAUGAAAUGUCCAAUAGACAGUCAUAACUUUUGCCAAUUGCUUCCAAAAUAUUCGAGAUCCAAAAUGACAUAUUGGAACUCUUUGGUCGAUAAAGAAGUUGACUUUUGUUUUGGAAGAUGUACAAGUACCUAUUUUCUCAAAAUACUUUGAGAGUAUAGCAAAUCAUCAAAGUGUGGAACUCAGUGAUCUAGUGUCUUUGAUAGGAGUGUUUUGCAUAAAUGAAGGCUUGUAAUUUCUUUGUGCACAUUUUUUAUUUUCCAUGACAAUCCAUUUCAGAAACUAUUACGGUGCUAAAGAGGCUUAUUCCUGUUGAAGGACUGUAAGAGCACUGUCACUCAAGGUUCAAUAUCAGUUUCAAAUAAAAACGGCCAAUGUUGUCAUAUUCAGAAAUAGAGCAUUUUGACCAAUGUGGCAUUAGGCAUGUAAAGCUUCUGUAGCCAAGCAAGAUUGCUUCAUUCUCAUGCUCAUUGGAGGUGGUAAAAGUUUAUGUUACUAGGUUAGUGAAUGUUAACAUUAUUUCAUUUGCGCAAUGAUCGAAUGAAGACGUAAGUGUGGAGACAAUGUUUAGAGCGCAAGCCCUGUGCACUUUGCUCAAUGGUUCCACUGAUUAAAUACUAGACAGAUAGACCUGUACAUUGAAAUUUUAAGCUUUUUAAUGAUCUUGUAAUCUGCUUUGUUAGCACUGUUGCAAAGUUUGUGCUUAAACUUAAGGAUGAAAAUAUUUUCGAAAUGCAAAUUAAGCUAUAGGAAGUGAUUCGGGUACAGAACCAUGGGUUCCAAUGUACAGGAUCUGACUAAGUUGGAAAAGAAUAUUAUACUGGACAUUCUUGUUCUGCCUUCGCACAUUUCUAUCUAUUCUGUGAUUUCUAGAAUUUGAGGUCUUUACUAUUCUUCUAGGACCUUCUAAUUACUUACUGAAAAAUUUAUCUUGUUUUUGCAUGUAAGUGUUGUUGUCAGUCAUAGUUAAGGUCCAAUUCAAAAGGGUUAUUAAGUCAAAGUUUUUAAAUUACUUGUGCCAAAUACAUAUUUAGAUCUCUAUAUUUCCUGCAGGUAUGUGCUAUGUUAUCAUCUCAACUGGGGUGAUCAUGUAAGAUGGAUCUUGGUAGCAUGCAACAUAUUUGAUCUACUGAAUCACGAAGGAAGAUAUUAAUCUGAAUUUAUUAAUUUAAGUUAUCCUGAAGUAUUUUCUGUUGAGUCUUGAAGUAGAUGAUAUAUGUUUCUAACUGAGGUAAAUAUAAGACAAACAGUGACAACUGGUGCUUUCUGAUCAGCCGAAGGUGAAUGAACGGAUAAUUCCCUCAUCCCAUCUUCUCUUCAUGUGCUCUUCUGAUGUUUUUACCCUUCGUUUCAGCUACCAACAACUCUUAAACCAGGUGUCACAUUUCAUUAUAUGUCCCCUGCUAUCUAUCAUCCAGGACAAAAUAAUUACUCUAACCCUCCAUAUGUUACAGUGGAUGCACAUUUUUUAUGUAUUUAAUGAAAAGGUUCAUGCCUAAGAUGUUUGCCUCAAAUAAAUUUUAGGAUCUUAGUGUUCCUAGAGAAGUAUAUCAUAGCAUACAAUCAUCAUNNNNNNNNNNNNNNNNNNNNNNNNNNNNNNNNNNNNNNNNNNNNNNNNNNNNNNNNNNNNNNNNNNNNNNNNNNNNNNNNNNNNNNNNNNNNNNNNNNNNNNNNNNNNNNNNNNNNNNNNNNNNNNNNNNNNNNNNNNNNNNNNNNNNNNNNNNNNNNNNNNNNNNNNNNNNNNNNNNNNNNNNNNNNNNNNNNNNNNNNNNNNUGCUUGCAUAGAAAGGUACUAUUUCUGAUACACUGUAACUUUCUUUUUAAAGUUUCUUUUUAACUUUUUGAUGCUCGACUGUCGUGCAUUGCAAGCACAACUAGCUGGUUUUGUUGUUGAUGAGGCACAUUGUGUGAGGUAUGUUCUUUGGCAUCCUUGCAUCUGAAGCAAAGUUAAUGCUAAAGUUACUUCAAAAGGAAUAUGUAUUUAUGAUGUUGCCACUGCAAAACUACUGUCCUUGUCCCAGAUAAAGAAGUUAACUUUUAUAUACACUCACUCAAACUCUCUUUUUUGAACGUUUUUGCAUAUUAUGUAUUUCUAGCCUAAGUACAUUGUCCGUAGUACACUGAACCUCCUGAAACCCAAACCUUCUGUGAUGAUCUAGUAUAACAGAAUGCAAUGUUGAAAUAACUAAUUUUGGAAAUGAUCUAGUUCCUUCUUGUGGGAAAAGUCAGUGGCACAUCGUUAAUCAAAUAAAGCAAAAUGCACACAACUAAAAUGAGUUCCAAUGGGAAUUACUUUCGGAAGUAAUUGGAAGUGUCCAUGUUUGGCUUGGUAGUCAGGUCUCUUUAGGUGGUUCUUGUGUCCCUAUUUAUUAUUUUAACCUUUUUACUAUAUGUUAACAACUUGGGACAUAAGGCAAAAGUUCACCCAUUGGAUCAUUGGUUGUGUUUCUUAUUAGGUCUUUACUGGAUUUGUGCCGCCAGUGCCAUCUCAUGAAAGAAACAUACUGCUGGUUUGAGCUUUUCUCAUAUAUUUGAAUGAUUGUAAAUGAGUAACGCUUAUUGAUCAUUACUUUCUCUGUUGUCAUUAUUGCAGUCCAUGGGAACGUGAAUUUUGUCCAAAUUAUAGAGGACUGGAAUGUCUCAAGCAAAACUUUCCAUAUGACCCUGUGAUGGCCUUAACUGCCACUGCCACCUGUUCGUGAGGUAUGAAACUUGCACAUUAACCUCCAGAUUUUGCUGAAAUAAUCAUUUGGGAAUGAUUGACAUCCUAAAAGCUUUCAGGAUCUGUCACGCCCCAAUCCUUGGGCACGCACACAUCCUUCAUCUUGGUCGAUUUUAUAAUGCGAUAUCCCAGGACAAUGUAUCGCCGACCCUUUUAAUUUUUAAGCACAUGCGGAAGCAGUUAAAAUCCCCAGACAAUAAAACGAUGGGAUAGAAAAGCAGGGCCAUAUUUUUCAUAUUGAAAUUUAUAACCAAACUUUUAUACAAACCACAAACCCUUCAUAACUAUUCACAUCAAAACGGAGAUCUCAAAAGAAGACAGAAACUUAGAUGAACUAGGCCGUACUCAAGGCCCCUCUCAGAAUUGUCUUCUUCUUCCAAAAAAUCCUUUUCUUCAGAUCUCACCUCCGAGUUCUCCUUCUCGGAUUCCUCCUCCACAGCUCUUCAGCGGGGUCCUGAAAUGGUUUUCCCCAAACUGGGAUGAGACUACGUCUCAGCGAGUUCUACCCCACUAAGCCCGAUUAGUAAACUAUUAUACUAAAGGCUGCCUAAACACGCACAGGGCAGAGGACUUACCUUGGCCUCAGAUCUUACCUGCAAGUCAGUACAAUUCACAAUAGGCACCCAUUUACUCAAAACAAAUCGAACCAGUCGAUUACAUGUCAUACAAUUCAAUCCCCACCGUGGGAUAUUUAAAAGCUAGGCCACGUGCAUUCUCCAGGACGACCUUCCAAGUCUCCGAGCCACGUGCCUCAAACCUCGGACCCACGUGCAUUCUCUAAGGCGACCUCUUCGCCAAGGUGGUACAUCAAGCCACCGAGCCACGUGUCCUUUUUACGAUGCCCGGGCCCACGUGCAUUCUCUAAGGUACUCGCUUACCAAAGUGACGCAUCAGAUCACCGAGCCACGUGCCCUUUUAGAUGCCAUUCCGAAUACUGGACCCACGUGCAUUCUCUAAGGUACUCGCUUACCAAAGUGACGCAUCAGAUCACCGAGCCACGUGUCCUUUUAGAUGCCUGGGCCCACGUGCAUUCUCUAAGGUACUCACUUACCAAAGUGACGCAUCAGAUCACCGAGCCACGUGCCCUUUUAGAUGCCAAACUCUGUCACCGAGCCACGUGCAUUCUCCAGGACGACAUACCAAGUCUCCGAGCCACGUGCAUUCUCUCAGGCGACCUCUUCGCCAAGGUGACAUAUUCAACCACUGAACUCACGUGCAUUUUCCAGGUGACAUUCCAAUUCACCGAGCCCACGUGUCCUCUUUCAAGCGGUUACCAAUCUUCUUUCAACACCGACAACCAAUGCCCAACGAUUUCUCAAUCAAAUAAUUAAAUCAAGUCAACAAAGCAUUAUAAAUGCUGAAUAACAUACUUGGCCAAUCACCAAUCAAUAAUUCAAUCUCAAUCGAUUCCAAUCAAUUUAGGGUAAAUCCCUAAAAUAUCACAAUUUAUUCAAUUCCAUACAACGUAGAGCUCAAAUAAAUAAACGGACUGCGCCACGACAAUCAGCACGAGAUUUCGGUCGUCGGCCAUCAACAUCUUAAUUUUUGAAAAAUAAUUAAUUUCGAAAAAUUAAAUAAUUAAUAUUAAAAAUUCAAUUUAGCUCAAAAUAAAGCCCGAUUAAAUAAACGGACUUCACCACGGUCAUCAGCAUAAUAUUCCGGUCCCGGGCCAUCUCAGUUGAAUUUUCGGAAAAUAAAUAAUUAUUUAAUUUAAUUCCGAAAAUUAAUAAUUAAAUACUAAAAAUAUCCACUUAGGCCCGAAAAGCCUAAUUGGAGCCCACUAAGGGUUGGGAAAAUUCCCGAAGCACUUCCAAUAAUUAGUAGACCACGUCUACUUGCUAAUUGCGCAAUCAAUUUAUCUAAAUCGCAUCACAAUUCACUAAUAAUUGCUAAUUUAUUCUAAUCUAACAACCUAAACAUAAUUAAUUAAAUCUAAACCAACCUUAAGCAUAAUUAGCCAACUAAUCCUGGAUUAGUGAGAUUACUCACCAAAUCGCAUCACAAAUCGGAUCAAUCCGACGGCGGCGACGCGAGGAACGAUUGUUCCCAAAGCACGGCUCGGGUUCGGGGCCCGGAAACGGCCCAAAACGGCCCAAGAGCCGGCUGAAAACCCACUUCGUGGGUUGCUGGAUUAGCUGCGAAACAGAGGAAAACAGAGAUGGUUAGAGGCGGAGAGGGGUGGGGAAAGCAAGAGGCGGUCCGGUGAGGCCACACGGCGGCUCCGGCGGCUUGCUCGGCCACUCACGGUGGCUGGACGAGACGGAACAGUGGCUGGUUCGUGCGGAGGGAGGAGCGGCCGCGAGCGACGGACGGCGGGACGGCGGCGGCGCACAGCCGCGGCCGCGGGUGCGGGCGCCGGUGCGGCCGGCGGGACAGCGACGGAGCUGCAACUUCUGGUCUUCUUCCGCUUCUGGUUUCCCGCGAAGAAGAAAGAAGAAAGAAGGAGAAGAAAGGAGCCGGUUCUGACGUGCAGGGGAAAAAAGAAGAGAGAGAGAGAAGGGAUAAGCAUUGACCGGUCAAAAGGGAAGAGAGAGGGAAUAGGCGGUCGGGAAGGGUUUCGCACGAGGGGGAGGGGAGAGAGAGAGAGAGAGAAAAAGAGAAAAGGGAAAGGGAAAGAAAAUAAUACUUUAAUAAGAAAACCCAAUUUUCUUAUUUCUAGUAUUUUCCUUUUUUUCAUUCCCUUUUUAUUUUCUUUCAGGUCUUCGAUUUUUCCUCCGAUAAUUUCUUUCUUGAAAUUUCGGACUCGGCAAUAAAUUGAUAGACGAUGAGACGGUCCUAAAAAUGAAUUGUGACACGUCUGAAUAUUCGAUUCCCGAAACCAAAUCAAAUUCCAUGGUUAAAAUCGACCGGACGUGAUUUUAGUCCAAUCCAACCAAUUAGGUAGCUUUUAGGGAUUUUACCAUGGAUAUAUCCCUUAAUAGCUUCACCCAAUAGGUUAGUUAACUCGUGAGUGAUCAGCUCAAAGAAAAAGGACCAUAGGCACGUCGACGAAAUGCACAUUUCAUUUUAUCGAAACGGGGUCAAAUUUCAGGAUGUCACAGGAUCCCCCAUGCUCUUGUUCUUGAGACAGAUUUGAUAGACCAAAUCUAAUGUCUGAGGUCAUAGCUAAGACCAAAGAACCAAUGAAGCAGCUUGGAGAGCUGUUAAAGAAUCAUUUUGCUAAUUUUUGUGGGAUAGUAUUUUGCCUCUCAAAGAGUAAAUGUGUUGAUGUUACCAAAUACUGAAUGAUACGUGCAGUAUAAAGACGGUGUACUAUCAUGCUGGAUUACCAGCCCAUCAAAGAGUAGCUGUUCAAAAGAAAUAACAUACUGGAGAGGUCCAGGUUGUAUGUGCUACCGUUGUUUUUGGCAUGGGAAUAGACAAACCUGAUGUUGUAAGUUGAAAUGGACUUUGCGCCUUUGUCUAUUUUUAGUUUUAGAAUCAAACUGACACGUUGGCAAAUACUCAAUUAAUCCACUUUUCUUCAAAUGUUUAAGUAUCACUAAUUGGUUUCUUAGUGUGCUUUGAAGUAAACUUUGUUAGUUCUAUGGUCCAGUGGCCUGCUAAAUUAUCAUUCUUGGCUAUUUUUCGAGCCGAAUUCUUUCUUCCAAGCACCAAAAUUAAGUUAAACUAGGAUAAAGUUCUUUUCUUUACUGUAAAAGUGGCAAAUGACUCUGAUCUAACUUGACCUUCAGUUAUAAUGUUUUAGUCAUAUUUUAACAUUUUUUUUAAUUUGGUUCAGUAAUUAUAUUUUAUGGCAUGUCAUCAGCAUUUUGUCAUCCACAACACAAUGUCAAAGUCAAUCGAAAGCUAUUACCAAGAAUCAGGGAGGGCAGGAAGAGAUCUACCAGCAAUUUUUCCACUCGACUUCUGGCCAGACAAUCUUUAGAAUCCAUGGUAUGCUUUAACCAUGGACAUAGCCAAUAUAUGCCAAACCACUUAAAUCCCUGUCACUGUUCUGUUCUCAUAUAAUUUAUUCUAUGCUUGAUCAUUUCCAAUUUGCUUGUGAUUCUGCACACAGCAAAGGACCUACACAAUGUACAUGUCCAAAAGCAUUUAGUAAAUUGCUUAGGGGGCUUCUCAUCCAAUCAAACGUCCAAUAGACAGUCUUUAACUUUGGCCAAUUUCUUUCACACUCUUCAAGAUCCAAAAUGACAUACUAGAACUCUUUGGUCAAUAAAGCAGUUGAUUUAAGCUUUGGAUGAUGUGCAAAUACCUAUAUUUCUCAAAUACUUUGAGAGUACAGCAAAUCAUCAAAGUGUGGAUUAGCAAUCCAGCAUCUUUGAUAGGAGUGUUUUGCGUAAAUGAAGGCUUGUGAUUUAUGCGGAGUGUUUGGACUGUCAAAUUAUUAAUCUUUGCCUGCCUUUUCAGAAAGAUAAACCAUUGUGCAAGCUACUGUAUGUAACUGCUGAAAGGAUUGUGGGAAACCCAUCAUUUCUUGAGAUAUUGUAAUGCUUGCAUAGAAAGGGAUUGUUUCUGAUGCACCAUAACUUUUUCUGAAAGGUUCUUUGUAAAUUUAUUAUAUUCAACCAUCAUGCAUUGCAGGCACAGCUAGCUGGUUUUGUUAUUGAUGAGGCACAUUAUGUGAUGAAUAUGUAAUAUUUGGCAUGCCUUGUACAUGAAGAAAGAUCAUGCUAGAGUUACUUCAAGAGGAAUAAUUAUUUGUGAUGUUGCCUCUGGAAAAAUGUUGUCCUUGUUCCUGAUAAAUAUAAGCAAGUUAACUUUUAUAUAUGCUAACUUAAACUCUUUUUCCAAACUUUUCUGCAUUUUCUGGGUUUCUAGCCUAAUUAAAUUGUCAGUGUUACUCUAGACCCUCCAAAGCCCAGAACCCUAUUAAGUUCUAAUAUAACCAAAUGCAGUGUUCCUUGUUUGAUGAAAAGAUUUAGGUUCCGUCAUUUGGGAACACUUAGCGGCACAUCGUAUAUUAUAUUGAGUAAAGAGGACACAAUUUAAUAAAACUCCAAUGGAAAGUACUCCUAGAGUAAUUGGAUCCAGCAUAAGCUUGGAUAAGAUCCAAUCUCCUCUUUAUGUUUGGCAGGACACUCAGUCUCUGAGUGGUUCUUGUAUCCCUAUUUNNNNNNNNNNNNNNNNNNNNNNNNNNNNNNNNNNNNNNNNNNNNNNNNNNNNNNNNNNNNNNNNNNNNNNNNNNNNNNNNNNNNNNNNNNNNNNNNNNNNNNNNNNNNNNNNNNNNNNNNNNNNNNNNNNNNNNNNNNNNNNNNNNNNNNNNNNNNNNNNNNNNNNNNNNNNNNNNNNNNNNNNNNNNNNNNNNNNNNNNNNNNNNNNNNNNNNNNNNNNNNNNNNNNNNNNNNNNNNNNNNNNNNNNNNNNNNNNNNNNNNNNNNNNNNNNNNNNNNNNNNNNNNNNNNNNNNNNNNNNNNNNNNNNNNNNNNNNNNNNNNNNNNNNNNNNNNNNNNNNNNNNNNNNNNNNNNNNNNNNNNNNNNNNNNNNNNNNNNNNNNNNNNNNNNNNNNNNNNNNNNNNNNNNNNNNNNNNNNNNNNNNNNNNNNNNNNNNAUGCUCUUGUUCUUGAGACAAGCUUUGACAGACUAAAUCUAAAAUAUGAGGUAAUAGCCAAGACCAAGGAACCACUGAAGCAGCUCGGAUAGCUGCUAAAGAAUCGUUUUGCUAAUUUGUGUGGCAUAGUAUAUUGCCUUUCAAAGAGUGAAUGCGUUGAUGUCGCAAAAUACUUGAAUAAGAAGUGAUGUAUAAAGACAGUGUACUAUCAUGUUAGAUUAGUAGCCCGCCAAAGGGUAGCUGUUCAAAAGAAAUGGCAAACUGAAGAGGUCCAAAUUGUAUGUUAUAAAAAGAAAUGGCAUACUAUCAUUCUUGUGUUAUUGACUAGCUAUAUUAUAAAUUAUAUAAUCAAUACAUUGACUUUACUAGCAACUUUUCUCAUGUUAUAUAUAAUCAGUAUGCUCAAAAUUAGAUUAUUUCAUGUUUAAUAUAUUUAACUAAUGUUUUGACUUGUUAGUGCGGCCCGCAUUACGUAUGAUUUAGUGCUUGAAUAUGCAAACUUGGCUUAACAAGUUAGUUAAAGUUUUGGUAAACAACGACCAAAUUUGAAUAUAUGAUUAUCUUGUGGGUAGCUUUUAACUACUAAAGUUCCACUGUUGUAAUGUAGUAUGAUGAAGAGGAACAUUUGAGAGUACUGGCCCCAAAGAAAAUGGUUCUAUUGAAACUUGAAAGCAUGACCAAUGACUACAAUUUGGUGUAGUAGAGUCCAAGUACUAACCAAGUAGAUGACCGUUCAAUGGUUUAGUCCAAAUUUGGCGUAGUAGAGUCCAAGUACUAACCAACUAGACGACCGUUCAACGGCUUGGUCCAAACCAAAUGGAUAUAAAUUUCGGGAAGAUUUAACAUUUUCUUUAUCAGUCAACUAUAGCCAACACCAAAGAAAAUUUGGUUUCAAGUAUGAUUAUGUAUGGCUGUGUCUACACUGCUUUAUAGGCUCAUGCUUAAAGGAAUCAAGUUUGAGAUUAUACUAUCAAAGUGAUUGCAAAAUGCCAAUACGUGAACUUCCCAAAAUCCAAGAGCUGAUUGUACACUAACGAACACUUUUAUGUUGCGCUCAAAAUUCUUCCGAGUGAAAAACUACUGUCUUUUGGGAACCUUUUUACUGAAAAUCUUGCCUGCAAUUGACAGAUUAUUUGCUGAUUCCAUGAUAUUCACUUUUUACAUUAAAGAAGUCUCUCACAUUCACAAAAUUGUAGCUAGAAGUGGACAUCUAAAACGGUAAUCUUGUUGACAAACAUGACUUUAUGCUUAACUUCACAUCCAAAACCACCUGUACAUGCAGUCUUCCUGCAAGCAUUUUGAAAUUCUACCUUUGCUAAAUAAUAGCAUGAUGUCAAAGUUUGCAAAGGACUACUUCACCGCAUUAGAAGAGGUCCCUUUAUAUCAAGAAUCCUAUCAAGAUUAUCAGCAUAGAGCACAUUAUAAACACCUUUAGCGAAGAACUUCGGAACACCUUUCCAUAACGUCUCAUGACAUAUCUCAUUUCGGUCCACAUCUCUGUCCUGUGAUGCUCGGGAAUGUUCUCUGAAUUUUAUGAAAUGCAACUUGAAUCUACACAAGAAGGAUUAUUUACUAAUUAUCAAUAAAUGGGGAUAUUUGAGAUCGGAGCAUCACAAUUUACAUCAUGAAAGAUAAGGUACAAAUGCACAAACAUCAUUUGCACCAAUUGCAGUUGGACCGUAAUGAACAGAGACUUCAUGAGCUGGCCGAUGAAAACGUAAACAACAGGCUUGGAAGAAGUAGCAAUUAGCAACACUUUCCCUGUUUGUGUUUAGGAACAUAAUUGAUGUCAAUAAAAAUAUGCUGAAAGGUGAAGUGCUUAAACUACAUAAUAGAAAGAUAAAUUUAUUAUUUGGUUAUUCUGCAAUAUCCUGUUAGCAAAAUCAGCAAAACAGGAUAGUUUGCUAGGAGGUGAAUUUUAACUUUACAAAGUCAACGUCGCAUGAGAACUGACCUUAUCAAAUUAAAAAAGUCAGAAACCUAUAUGACAACAUUCAAAGGAUAGUAUCACAUUGAUGAACUGAUAGAAAUGAAGGAGAUUGUCCUCAUGCAUACUUGCAUACUUUUCAGGUGCAAUUCCAUAGCUCAUAUAGUAUGAGCAAACAAGUUAUUUUUCCAAUGUUAUGGUACGACUAGUAGUGCAUACCUCCCUUUGCAGAGCCUUAUCAAGUUCCAGAAUGAUAACAUUAGAAUGCAACAGCAUUAAACAAACAUUUCUGCAUCAGGGUGACAUACAAAAAAAUCAGCAGCUACGUAUUGGAUUAACAGAGAGGUUGAACCUCAUGAACAUACAAAAAGCAGAUUCAACUCAAAAUACAACAUCAAAAUCAUUUGAGUAUGUGCUGUCGAGACCAGAUAAAGUGUACUAGAUCCUCACAAGCAUACAAAAUUCCCCAAGUAACAUAGAGAAUCUCAAGCGAAGACAAGUCACCGAUUUCACUUGGAAUUGCUCUUUUAGACAACAGCGUGAUGGGAAACUUAUAGUGCACCAAUUUUUCAACCUUCCUAUAGCACUAGGAAGCUUUUCAAUACCAGAACCACUAAUGUCUAAAUGUUGCAAAUUCUGUAAAUUUCAAGUUGAGCUACUGAUAUCAGUGAGCGACUCACAACAGCUCGCACUCGGUUUCUCCAGCUUCCUCAGAGAACUGAUAGACGUAGGAAUCUCAGUAAUAUCAGCAAAAUCUAAUAUAAGUUCUAAUUUGACAGAUUCACCUCCUUUCAGUUCUCACAUACCCAUCCGCUCUUGGUCCAGUCCGUUGCCACAUUCUUCUUCCAAGAUCCCAAAUCUCCUGUGGAUCCUAAGAUUGCCACACUCUCCCCAAUUUCAACUUGACGAUCCAGCCGAACGCUGAGAUGCACCUUUUCCCGUCCCAGCAAUGAUCUGAUCUUCUUUGCUUUCUUCUCCUCUUCUCUGCAAUGAACACAUUAUUUCAUAGCUUCUACCAAUAGCCUCCUUCCUUGUCUAAACAACUUAAACAACAAUUUUCACUUGAACCACCGAUUCAUUGUUUGUCAUUUAACACCACAUUCAAAGAGAAACCUCAAAUCAAGACGGUGUCAGAUAAUCCGUGCCGCUAGCUUUUAUUGCAACAAGAACUCGAAAGAAAAACAGAAUAACUCUUUUUUCCGCACCAAUUCUUGUUCAAGUAAUAAACCCCACAUAAACUCCAUCCACACUAGAGACUCAGAGAAACCUUUGAUCGAGAAUUCCAUAAAACAACUCAAUACCUCACUCCAAACCCCAGUGCUUGAUCAGACUGACAUAAGUGCACUGGAACAAAUCCAGAGAGAGAGAGAGAGAGAGAGACCUGGUUUUAGUGGUGAAAACACCGCGAACAACCAUGAAGGAGCGACUCUGAGCUGCAUGAGCUCCAUGCAUCCACAUGAGAGAAUCUUGAAGGGGAGAAGUAAUGCUGCUCUUCAAGAAAAAACUGGUCUCUUUACUUGGUUUUAGGUAUGAAAAUGCACAUGGCUGUGUCUCUUUUGCUUUUAUAUUUAUGCUUAAAUAAAUCAAGUUUGAGGUUAUAUGACCAAAAUGAUCGGAAGAUGCCUACAUAUGAAUUUCCGAUGUAACCAGACCAAAUGAAUGAUUUUAGAAUGCCAUUAUUUUGGGUUCAAAAUUCUUCCAAAUGAGAAACUACCGUCUUCUUGGAAACCUUUUCAUUGAAACUCUUGGCUGCAGUUGACAGAUUAUUUUUUGAUUCCACGGCAUUUGCUUUUUCCACGAAAAAAGUCUCUCCCAGUCACAAAACUGUAGCUUGAAGUGGACAUCUAAAUGGUAAUCUUGUUAACAAAUCUCAUUUUAUGCUUGACUUCACAUAUAAAACCACCUGCACAUGCAGUCUUCCUCCAAGUGAUUUGUGAUGCAGCCUUUGCUAAAGAAUAGCACGAUUUCAACCUUGCAAAGGACUAAUACACCACAUGAGAAGAGGUCGCCUUAUAUCAAGAACCUUUGAAGAGUAUUAACAACAUGGAGCAAAUGACAAAUGCCAAUGGCAAAGAACUUCAAAAUGCCUUUCUAUACUGACAUAGCUCAUUCUUGCCCUUAUCUAAACCCCGUGGUGUUUGGGGACUUCCUCCGAAUUUCAUCAAAUGCAGCUUUAAUCUGCACAAGGAAGAUAGCACUGAGUAAUUAUCAAUAAAUGAAGAUGUCCAAGAUCGUAGCAUCAGAAUUUACCUCAUGAGAGAUUAAGGUACAAAUGCAUAAACAUCGACACCAAUCAAAGUUGGACCACAAUGAAAGGUAACUUCAUUAGCUGGCCAAUGAAAAAGAAACCAACAAGCUUAAAAGAAGUAAGCAAUUAGCAACACUUUCCCAGUUUGUGUUUAGGAACAGAAUUGAAAUUAAUAAAAUUAUGCUGAAAAGGUGAAGUGCCUAAACUACAUAACAGAAAGAUGCAUUUCCUACUUGGUUAUUUUGCAAGAUCCAAUUAGCAAAAUUAGCAAUACUGAUCGUUUGCAAAGAGGUCAAUUUCAACUUUACAAAUCCAAUGCCACAUACAUGAGAAUUGAGCUUGUCAAACCUAUAUAAUAACAUUCAGAGGAUAUCAUCACACAAAUAAACUGAUAGAAAUGGAGGAGCCUAGCAAUGCAUACCUCCCUCUGCAUAGCAUCAUCAAUUCCAGAGUGAUAUCAUUAGACUGCAACCGCAUCAAACAACUCUGCAUCAGGGUAAGAUACAAAAACUCAUCAACUUAGUGUUUGAUUAAAGGAGAGCUAGAACCUAAUGAGCAUACAUAAAGCAUAUUUAAUUGAAAAAAAAUACAUGUACAAUCAUUUAGGGAUGUGACAUUGAGAUCAGAUCAAGUGUUUUGGAUCUUCAUGAGUAUCAAAACUUCCUUAGGACACUCCAGUCGGCCCCAAAGCCUCUUCAAGUUUGGCACGCAAGAUGGUCCUCAGCUGUUGCUGAUGCUUCCUCUGCAAAAUCCCUUUUCUUUAUUUUGAUCAAUCUCAAGUAUGGAAUUUGAAGUUCCUCAGCCAAGUGAGCCACACCCAAAUCAGUCAUGUAAUAAAGCAAUUCCAUGGCAAUAAUAGGAUCAAAUGGUAUGCAAACUAAUUAGCAAAUUCUUGAGCUCCUCAUCCUAGCUUGUUUCACGACGGGCAAAACAUUGUUCAUUAAUGCAAAAGUCAUCGAUACAGUUAAUCGAACUGAAGUCCCAAAGUAAGCCUUGAUCAUUACACAGACCAACCAAACCUGUCAUGGAAGCAGAACCAAUUUACCUUGCUUAAUAAUAUUCAAAACCAUAGUUUGACUACUAGUAAUGUUAAGGUGGCGUACAUUCAUAUAUGACAGACUAGCCAAAACUACUUUAACAUUUUUUUUUAUCACAAACCAAAAACACUUGAUAUGUUUUAUUUUAGCUCACUUCAUCAUACUUAAUGGGAAUCGAUGCUAUUCUUAGAAGGUUCAAGAGGAACAUCAAGGGAACAAUAAGAAACUUGACAGGGUUUCUGUUCAUUGCGGAAAACCAAUAUGUUUGUCUCAAACAGGACAUUUGCCAUUAGUCAAAUUUCACACAAAAGAACUCACAAAGUAACUCAAAAUGGCCAAGGAUUUUUUCAAAGAAAGUAUUAAUUAUGGACAGGGAAAUUCUGGGUGUAGUUUAAAAUAUUGAGUAGCAGAAGUUCAUCAGCCUCGAUUUGAAAAUUUCAAAUCCCAGGUUUACUUAUGGAGGAACUGUUAAAUCACUAGAGAAUUCUUGUUUACCUUUGCUUGAUAUUUUCAUCCUUGCCUCGCAAGCUGCUAAUCUGUUUGUAGUCUGCAGAAGCUGCCAAUGGAAGGAUAAACGAAAAUAUUGCUACAUCGUAACCGACAGCAAUAUGUGUAGGCAAAUUUGGAGUUUCCAAAAUCAAUCAAAUAGAUACCCAGCACAGAGCAAAUCAUUCUGAAAGAAAUUAAAAUAAAACUUUAAGAAAACUAUUACUCUAUUUGCUCACGCUGGCUAUUCAAGGAUGGAGAAUCUUACUAUGCCUUCUAUUGACAUUUGGGUCUAUAUUUUGAUCUUGGCUGAAGCAUCAUGUAUGACCAACUCCCCCAUUCCUUCAAUUAUGACAGAACCCUGUCAUGGAAGACCUUCUUGUCAAAAGAAGAUGGGGAUGAAAAGUAGGCCAUGAAUCUUAGAAGAAAAAUGAUUGUUAACUGCUUAUUUACCUCUGUUGAGGAAACAUCACUCCAAAAGUCAAAAGACAGCUCUCGCUCAUAAUUUCUAAAGACACGCAUCUCAGUAUUGCUUCCAAUGAGUCACAAUCAGAAAUAUCCAAAUCAAUUAAAUCCAACUUUUCAAGUCCCCAAAGCUAAGGAGGUUUCUUGCUGUCUCAAACUCUUAGAGAUCCUAACUUCUCACAUCCCAUCAAAUCUGGAAAGUCUCUAUUGAUUUGCAUCCUGUAAAAUCCAAGUCUUCUAAGAACUUCGCACCAUCAAGACCUUGAAUUUCGACUAUAUUGUCGCACCCGACAGCCACUAAUUUCUUCAGAGACCGUGAUUCUGGACAGAGAAGCCUUUUAAUGGAAUUGCAAUCAUAUAUAAAUAUGACCUCCAAGAAUGCCAAAUUAUCAUGCCCUGAAUUUCAACUAGGCUAUUGCAAUGCUCAGCAUGCAAUCAUUUCAGACGAAUCAAUUGUGAAAGGUUCAAUCUUUCAAUGGAACUACAUUUUUCUAUGGAAAAUCUCGAGGGAAGGCAACUCACCAAUUUCACUUUUCAGACAACAGCACAAUGAGAUACGUAGAGUCUGCAGAUUUUUCAGCCUUCCAAUCGCAUUGGGAAGCUUUUCGAUCGCAAAAAAACUCAAAUGAAGAUGUUGCAAAUUCUGUAAAUGCCCAAUUGAGCUAGGGAUUUCUCUCAGAGACUCACAACCAUAAGCGCUCGAUUUCUUCAACUUCCUCAGAGAACCAAUAGACGUGUUCAUGGUCAUCAAGAGAGAAAAAAAAUCCUUCCCAUCCGAGAAAGGGGAGAGGUUGAGAGAGAGAUAGAGAGAGAGAGAGAGGGGGGGGGGGAGAGAGAGAGAGAGAGAUUGAGGACACGGAUGGACCCGUGGUCGCCGAGCUACCAGUCCCAUGGAGUUGGCCAGAGUCUAGAGAUCAUGACGAUUCAAACUCUUAACCAAAACCAGAUGUACUUAGCCAAAUCCCGGCCUCGCAUGCUCGAACACGCUUCACCCCCGCACAGACUAGACAACGUGAAGGAGUCGGCGAUAAAAGCAUCGUGGUGGAAUGAUCCAGAGAAGAAGAGGAAGAGGAGGGUGGCCAGAUACAAGCUUUAUUCGGUCGAAGGCAAGUUCAAGGCUUCUUUCAAAUAAGGGUUCCGAUGGUUGAAGCGCAAAUGCUCGACCUUCGCACGUCGAUUCUAAUUAGCAUAAAUUAAGGAAUACCGUGUCCAUCGUCAUCAAGAGAGAAAAAUGGUGAGAAAGAGGAAACAGAGAGAUUUGCUGUGCUAUUUGGGUGUUCAUCUUUAUAUGUAUCUAAUGGUGAUCAAAUAUUCAGAAGGGUGCCGCUAAUGUUCAAUCUUUCUGAUAUAAUGUUCAUCUGACUCAUUGUUUCAUUCAUCGAUCUCCAACAUUCAAAACAUAGGCAAAUGAGACAACUCGUACGUGAUAGUAAUAUAUAUUUAUAUUUGCCAAUUUUUCUUUUUCUUUUCUGAAUUUUCUUACCUUCUAAUACAUUUGUAACAGGAUUUUGCAUCCAUGCCCAUGCAAAUUAGAAUUGUCUGAUUUGUUCAAUUCUCCUCUUUUCUGUAAGCUCUUUUCCUUAUAAAUGUGAUGCUGAUUGCAAAACCAGAUGGAUACUUGUAUUUGUAGGAUUGACAUUACCAUCUAUUUUGUGGUCGAUUUUGUUGGGUACGAUUUUGUUUUGGCCGAAUGUUGUCUACGCCUUGUUUCUGGGGUUCUUUAACCCCCCCUAAUUUCCUCAAUUUGUCUAGUUCGAUUCCUCUUCGUUGUACAAUUCAUCAUAUGGCAACAUAUAUUGCUGUAGUAGAUAUUCUAAAAUGACAUGCACCGGUGCUAAACAAAACGAAAGGCUUUCGAUGGUUCCAUUUUGAUUUGAGGACAAUUUUUCAUAUUUCGAAUGCCGUCCCAUUGAGACUGGAGUUACGAAAAUGUGGAAAACUGAAAAGCCCAAAGGGAACCCUCUUUAAUUCUAUCAAAACUUGCGUAGUUAAUGUUCAAAUGGUCGUAAUUUAUAGGAUCUUGAUGUAAUAUGUGAUAUAACUUUCAAAAACAAGGUGAAAACGAAGGAGAAGGAGAGUAUGAAAACCCAUGAGCAGAACCGAACUGAUUCACCAGGUUUAACACCUUCAUCCAGUUAUCCAGUCGAUUCACAGUUUUCAAAUUUUAAAUCAAUUCAGCCGAUAAGGUUGUGACUAAAAUCCUAAAAGUAGUCAAAACACAUAGCCAUUGCCCUUUAGAAUAAUGGCUUAGACAAUGGUUAAGCAACUUAGCAAAUAAACUGUAGACUCAACACAUCGACUUUACUUGUGAUUUUUCUUGUGAAAUGUUCAAUCGAUAUUCUGAAAUUUAAUUAUUUCACAUUAAGUAUGUUUAACAAGUAUUUCAACACGACCCACACUAUAUUUGUGUUAAUAAUUAUAGAUUCGAACUUGGCUUAAAAAGCUACCUGGCCUUACAAGCUACUUGGCCUUGUAUUGAGCUCCGGAAAUAUUGAGUUUCAGUUCAAGUAGACAAGCAGCGAAUCAGACAGAGUACCUUGCCAGUAGCUUUCAGCCUUUCGACUACUAAAAUUCCACCAUUGUCAUCUAGUACAAGGGUACAGGAGUAUCAAAGAGUGACCUCAAAGAAAUUGCUUCGAUUGAGGCUUCAAUGCGUGACUGGUUAACACAAUUUGGUUUAGUAGAGUCUGAUUAUUAACCAAUAAGAUGACCCUUUUAAAGUUUUUUGUUCAAACCAAAUGAGUAAAUUUUGGGAAUGGCCUUUUCACCCUUCCAAAAAUUUCCCACAUUUUUCAAUAGUCUUCAAUCAUAGCCUACGCCAGAGAAAAAUAGGUUUCAGAUAUGAAAAUGUACAUGGAUGUGGCUCUUCUGCUUUUAGAUUCAUGCUUAAAUAAAUCAAGCUUGAGAUUAUACGAUCAAAACGAUUGCAAAAUGCCUACAUAUGAUUUUUCAAUGUAACCAGACUAGGAAGAUGAUUUUACACUGAUGAGUGCUUUAUUUCGUGUUCAAAAUUCUUUCAAAUGAGAAAACUACUGUCUUCUUGGAAACAUUAUCGUUGAAACUCUUAACUGCAAUUGACAAAUUAUUUGCUAAUUCCAUGGCAUUCGCUUUUUCCACAAAAAGAAUCUCUCCGCCACAAAAUUAUAGCUUGAAGUGGACAUCUAACUGGUAAUCUUGUUAGCAAAACUCAUUUUAUGCUUAACCUGCAAAUGCAUUCUUCCAGCAAGCAAUUUGUGAUUCGGCCUUCGCUAAAGGAUAGCACGAUGUCAAAGCUCGCCAAGGCCUAAUGCACCAUAUGAGAAGAGGUCACCUCACAUCCAGAAUCCUUUGAAGAGUACUAACAACACAAACACCAACAGGAUAGAACUUCGGGAUGACUUUCCAUAAUGACAAAGCUCAUUCCUGCUCGCAUCUCCAUCCCAUGGUAUUUGGGGACUUUCUCCGAGUUAAAUAAAUUGCAGCUUGAAUCUACACAAGACGAAUAGCACUGACUAUAAUCAUCAGUAAUGAAAAAAACCAAGAUAUGUAGCAUCACAAUUUACCCCAUCAAAGAUAAGGUACAAAUGCAUAAACAUCAUUUCCACCAGUUGGACCACAAUGACAGACGCUUCAUUAGCUGGCUGAUGAAAUAGAAAACAACAGACUUGGAGAAGUAAGCAAUUAGCAAUACUUCCCUUGUUUGAGUUUAGGAACAGAAUUGAUGCUAACGGAAUGAUGCUGAAAAGGUGUGAGUGCCUAAACUACAUAACAGAGAGAUGUAUCUGUUACUUGGGUAUUUCACAAUAUCCUAUUAACAAAAUCAGCAAUACCGGAUAGUUUGCAAGGAGGUCAAUUUCAACUUUACAAUUCCAAUGCCGCAUACACAUGAGAGAUGAGCCUAUCAAAUCAAAAACCUACAUGAGAAUAUUUACGAGAUAUUAUCACACUAAUAAACUGAUAGAAAUGAAGGAGAUUGUCAUCAUGCAUACUUGCGUACUAAUUUCAGGUGAAAUUACAUAGCUCAUAUAUUCUAAGCACACAAGUAAGUCUUUCAUAGUACAACUAACACUGCAUAUCUCUCCCUUCAGAGCCUCAGCGAGUUGAGGAGUGAUAUAUUUAGAAUGCAACUUUAUCAAACAACUCUGCAACAGGGUAACAUACAAAAAGUCAGCAGCUACGUGUUUGAUUAACGGAGAGAUAGAACCUAAUGAGCAUACAAAAAGCAUAUUUAAUUGAAAAAUAUACAUUUACAAUCGUUCAGGUAAGUACUGUUGACAUGAUCAAGUGUUCGGAUAUUCACAAGCAUCAAAACUUCCUCAGGACACUCCAGUUGGCCCCAGAGCGUCUUCAAGGUUGGCACAGAAAAUGGUCCUCAGCUGUUGUUAUGGAAUUGAAGUUCCUCAGCCAAGUUAGAACUAGUAAUCAUGUUAACAAAUCUCAUUUUAUGCUUCAAUUCACAUAUAGAACCUCACAUGCAGUCUUCCUGAAAGUGAUUUGUCAUUCAGCCUUUGCCAAAGGAGAGGACAAUUGCAAAGGUUGCACAGGACUAAAACACCACAUGAGAAGAGGUCGCUUUAUAUCAAGAAUCCUUUGAAGAGUAUUAACAACACGGAACACAUGAUAAACGCCAUUAGCAAGGAACUUCAAGAUGCAUUUCCAUAAUGACAUAGCUCAUUCCUGCAGUAUUUUGGGACUUUCUCCGGGUUUCAUGGAAUGCAGCUUCAAUCUACACACGGAAGAUAGCACUGACUAAUUAUCAAUAAAUGAAGAUAUCCAAGAUCCUAGCAUCACAAUUUACACCAUGAGAGAUAAGGUACAGUUGCAUAAACAUCAUUGACACCAAUUGCAGUUGGACGACAAUGAACAGAGACUUCAUUAGCUGGCUGAUGGAAAAGAAACCAACAGGCUCAAAAGAAGUAAGCAAUUAACAACACUUUCCCUGUUUGUGUUAGGAACAGAAUUGAAGUUAAUAAAAUUAUGUUGAAAAGGUGAAGUGCCUAAACUAUAGAACAGAAAGAUGUAUUUGCUACUUGGUUAUUUUGCAAGAUCCAAUUAGCAAAAUCAGCAAUACAUGAUUGCUUGUGAGGAGGUCAAUUUCAUCAUGCAUACUUUUGGCCUAAUUUCAAGUGAAAUUCCACAGCUCAUAGAGUAUCGGCACACAAGUUAGUCUUUCAUGGUACAACUAGCAGUGCAUACUUCCCCCUUCAGAGCCUCGUCAAGUUCAGGAGUGAUAUCAUUAGAAUGCAACUGUAUCAAGCAACUCUGCAUCAGGGUAACAUAUAAAAAGUCAAAAGCUAUGUGUUUGAUUAAUGGAGAGGUAGAACCUAAUGAGCAUACAUAAAGCCUAUUUAAUUAAAAUAAGUACAUUUACAAUCGUUCAGGUAUGUGUUGUUGAGACAAGAUCAAAUGUUUGAGCAUUCACACAAAUCAAACUUUCCUUUGGACACUCCAGUUGCCCCUAAAACGUCUUCAAGGUUGGCACACAAGAUGGUCCUCAGCUGUUGCUGAUGCUUCCUCCGCAAAAUCCAUUUUCUUCAUUUUGAUUGGUCUCAAGUAUGGAAUUUGAAGUUCCUCAGCCAAGCUAGCCACACCCAAAUUAGAUGAUGAAACAAUUCCAUGGCAGCAAUAGGAUCAAAUGCGAUGCAAACCAAUUAUCAAAUUCUUGAGCCCCUCAUCCCACCUUGUUUCACAGACCAGGCAAAAAUUGUCUAAUUAUGCAAAAGGUCAUCGACACGGUUGAUUGAAUUGAAGUCCCAAAGUAAUUCUUGAUCAUCGCAUAGACCAACCAAACCUGUCAUAGAAGCAGCACAAGUUUACCUUGCUUGAUAAUAUUUCAAAACAACAGUAUGACUACUGGUAAUGUUAAGGGGGUCUACAUUCAUAUAUGACAGACUAGCCAAAACAACUUUCAACAUUUUCUUUAUCACCAAACAGAAACACUUGAACCUUGAAUUUUAUUUUAUCUCAGUUCAUCAUAUUCUGAGAAGCGAUGCUCUUCUUAGAAGGUUAAUGAGGGACAUCAAGAGAACAAUAAGAAACUUGACGGGGGUUUCGUUCAUCACAGAAAAUCAAAACGUGUUUGUCCCAAUCAUGAUAUCUGCCAUUAAUCAAAUUUGACAUACAAAAGAACUUACAAAGGAACUCAAAAUGGCCAAGGAUUUUUUUCAAAGAAAAUAUGAACAUUGGACAUUGGGAAAUUCUGG
rnacentral:lncRNA from 1 species